UUUUUUUCGGUUUUCGUGCGUUCGCGAUGUCUCAGCGUGAGUUCGAUCGUCCCGCGGCUGUUCCGUUCGCGAAAAAAUAAAAUCGCGUUCUCGUGUGUAUGUGUACGUGUGUGUAAUUUUUCAAGUAUUAUUUCGCGCGAGCUUGAGUUUUGUGCGAAUUUUUUUUUCUACAUUUGAUGUUGUUUAAUCGUUCUCCGGCAAAAUAUUAAAACAUGACGGAUUUAAAUACGGUGAUCGAAGGCACGGUGAAAUUUCGCGACGGCAAAAAGGUAAGUCUGUAAUUUUUUUUUUUUAUUUUUUUAUUUUUUUUUUUUUACAUUUUUUUCGCAAAAUCUAUCGGGCGAGAGUUCUGACGACGAAGGCGUCGAUAAAAUAUUAAUAUCGGAUUUCUCGCGCUCGCGCAAAUGUUCCCCCGCGAAAAUCUGUUUUCGCGGAUUAUACUAUUUAAAUCUUAAUAACGGCACCCGGAGCGAGGGCCAAAGUUUCCGAUAAAAGCCGAUUUGUAAAACCGCGUAUUAUUAUUAUACAUGCCCGUGGACCGAACAUUGACACAAGAGCUUAUAAAAUUCCGGACAUUUAUUAUUUAAAAGGCCAAUGCUCUACCCGCGACGCUCCUCCUCAAUAUACUUGUUUAUCACGUCUCCUAGAGGAUUCGGCUUUUCUGCGCCUUUCAUUUCUUUCUCGUCUGUUUAUCGCAGUUAUAAUAUUAUCGGCUGCGCGGUUUCGAACACUCGGCCUAACCUACGUAACAAUUAAUUAUCAUUAUAUUACCGCGCCGUGUCCCGUUUCGACCGGUUGAUUUCGACGCGUUUUAUUACUGGCGUACAAAUUAAAAAAAAAAAAAAAAUUUCCAUUUAAAUUGUCGCUAUAAAGUUUAGAAUGUUUUUUUUUAUUAUUCUCGAAUGCUUAUUUCUGUCGAAAUCAGGAAAACGGUUUGGUUACCGGAGCAACAUUAUACACGAUUUAUAUCGAGUAUAAUAACAUUAUAUACUUCGGUUAACUCUGUACGCGCGAUAUAAAUAUGAGUAUGUAUAAAAAUUGCGUCGAUAAUAUUAAUAUAAUUUACAGUUAUAGUAAUUAUAUUUUUUUUUCUAUACGGCAAUACAAAUAAUACACUUUAAGCAAAUUAAAAAAAAAAAAAAAAAAAAAAUAAUAAAAAAAAAAAAAAAAAAUAAUAAUUAUAAAAAAAUAAAAAAUUAUAGGUCAGGUACCUAUGACUAUACAGUCGAGAGUGUUAUGACCUUCUUUUCUUUUAUGUAUAUGUAUAUGUAUUUAUUUUUUUCCUUACACCGUUCAUAACACUAUAUUUUUAUAAUCAAUACUCAACACGAACGCGUCGUAAUCAUAUCGGGUACGUGUAAUCAUUAUAAUAACAAUUUUCUUUGAAGUGCCAAUAACUCAUAAAAGUGAUCAAUCCCCGGACAGUAUACAAUGCAGUAUAUAUAUGCAUAGGCCCGUGUAGGUGAAGAACAAUCGCAAAACAAACAUGACAAUAUAACGGGCCGGGUCGGGAAUUGAACAAUGUUAAGUUAACGCGCGACGACUUGUAUAACCAUUGACUUAAAUCGGCCGGUUAAUUUCGACUCAAAAUACCGAGUGUUUCCGAUUUAUUUUAUCACUAUGUUAAAAUUACUGACAUUUUUUUUUCACCCGAUAACGCGGUUUUAGGUGAAUUUUUUCGCAAAUAAAUAAAAAGCGAAAAUUCACUGUCGAGUUAUAUGAUAAUCGGUUACGUUAUUUGACUCGGCUCUGUCUCGAUCGCCGUGCAGAACGAUUUAAGUUUAACGGGUUAACUAUAGUUGAAUUUUUUUUUCCCCCACGACCGAGUCGGCGUUUUAUUCGCCAUGACAAUUCGGUCCGCGGCCUCGCGAAUAAGGGCGGAGGUACAAUAAUAAUUGCGAUUUCUGUUCGGUUAAUUAAUUCGUUAAAUCGAUAAAAACGCCGUAUGACGGCGGCGUACCUAAUGUCCGUGUGGACACGGCGCGCGUUGAUUGGGUAUUUUUACGCCGGGGAACGGGGCCAGUGUAGGGGGUAGGGCGGCGGGGCAUUGAGGGCCGGGCGAUAAUAUUGUUAUUUUCACGGGAGUUCGCUGCAAGGUAAUUUAAACGCCGAAAAUAACCCGCACGUCGAAAGACCGAUGGGUCGUUUACGCGGUCCGUCGCUUCCGAAACGAUCCGAAACAGCCGGCCUAAAAUUAGAAAGAAAACUGUUUAUUUUCCGUCCAAGGGGAUCGACAGCGGCGGCGACGCGAGGAUGUUGUUACAUGCACGUACAUAAUAAGCACAACCGUUGAAUAUUAUCAUAAUAUUAUUUACCGUCGAAAUAUUAUGUGUCCAGUAUACGCAUUAUAAUACAGUGAAAUAUGUCGAGGUCGGUUACCCGGAACAUGAAUCAUUUAGUUCGGCCGCCGCCGUUGCAUUUUUACACGCGAGGAAAAAUAAAAUUAUACAUUUUUACGAUAGCUCAGCAGCGGCAACAGCAGCAGUCUCCGGCAUUAUCUUUGCACCGUCGCCGAUGCCGUUUCUUCUCGUCGUCGUCGUCGAUAAAUCGCGUUUUGAUUUGUUGUUGUAAAAUAUCAGUUUUUUUGUGAUUUUUUUCUUUAAUGCACCGAAACUCGCGUAAUAGACAUACGCGUCAUCGUCGCGGCUAAACCUUUCACUGUUAUCGGAGGUCACGGUACAUGCGAUAUUCGUAUAGGAAUCCUAUACAAUAUUACAAUACGAUUUGCAUCGAGUUUUUGAAUAUUCGAAAAAGUUCCCCGUUGUUCAUAGCUUAAUAUUAGCACGGUGUACGCGUAUAGGGUUUUUAUUUCAUUAUCACUGUCGUAUUUUCCCGAAACCGGCAUUAUAUUGAUCUACCGAUUCGUAAACUGAUCGCAUUAUCGGAUUGUCCGGGAUACGCCGGGUGAUAAGAAAAUUGAAAAGAAUCGAGAAAAUCUUACGAAAAUCUAAUCCGAACCCGAGACCUCCCCAAGUCAAUGUCCUAAGUGUAAGCCUAAAAUCCCGAAGGGUGUUAACAAAAUCAGGGGUGAAUAGCCACAUCUGGUAGAUCAUUUGAAUUUACAUAGACAAGACAAUAAACUAGUUUUUCGUGAAUACCGGUCAAUUAGCUCCCGGUUAUUUUUGGCACAACAGGACAUUGUUUUCGGGUAUAAUUUUUUCCACCCGUAUUCAGAAAUAAUUUAUUUGAAUGUUUUCGUAAAAUUUAGCCACAAUACAUAGCUAAUAUAUUAUACAUUUUUUUGAAUUUAUACUUUCACUAAAUGUAUUUUAAACAUUAUUUAUUAUAAAACUACUUCUAUCUACUACUUUUUAUUGUAUCGAAAUAAUAGACAACGAUUAAUAGACAUUUAUAUACAUUUAGAGUUAUAAAAAUCUGAGGAAAAAAGUAGUGGAAACGUCCUAAUACAUCGAAAAAACCCAAGAGGGCGGAAAUUGUAGAAUUUACAGGGAUCCAGGGAAUCAUCAAUUCGUUAACAUUAAAAUUCGUAACGAUACUAAAUUUAUUAGUUGAUAAUUUUUUUUUUUUUUUUUGAGAAUAUAAAUAUAGUGAUGAUAUCCGCAUAGGUAUAAUACCGUUGAAAAUAUUCUAUUGACAAUGAUGCUUAUCAUUAUACCGUCACUGUUUCGUUUUCAAAGGAAACAACUGGCCGUAAUUAUAAUUAUUAUUCCUGAGCGUUUAAAUCCGUGUCUCAGUAUUUUCUUAAUUUACAGUUCUGAAAAAAAAAAAAAAAUCAACUCGCGGAAUACCACUCCUGUUUAACUAACUCACGCGCAUAAAUUACUGUACCUCGACAUUAUAAUGAAUAUACGAUUAACACGGAGUAACCCGUUUCCUGGCGUGUUUAUUAUUUUUUUUUUUUUACUUUAUUUUUUUUUGCGGUUAUAUGCUCGUGUCACCGCCGUGGCUACCUGCAUAAUAAUAUCUCGUCGUCGAUUUUUGCAUUGUUUCAGCGCGCGGCUCGGACAUGUGCUUUAUUUAAAUGCGUUUAGAUGACGUCAUUGUUGCGCAUGUACGUUUUUUAACAAGAUAAUUACAAUAAAAUAUAAUAAUAUACGGUUUUCGAAUCGCUUUUUAACUUCUCCGCGCACCGUCAAACGAACUCCGCCCGCAUCGUAUUAUAUCAUUUGCGAAAUUAUUAUUAUAAUAAUAUGCCUACCGUAUCUAAAAUGUUAAAUAAUAAUUGUGUGCUUUAUUGUUUCUCGCAGUGGAAGUCCAGAUGGUGCGUCAUGCGAAAGCUGUCUCCGGUUGCAGGUAAAUAAUAAAAUACGUCUACACUAACAUUUCAGUAUUUUUAAUAUUAAAUUAAUAAUAUCCCGUCGAAUCCGCGGUCUUGUACAUACAAUAUUAUAAACGCUCCUCCGCCAGUUUCGAAAACGUUUUCGAAUGAAUUACUUUUAUAUUAUUGCUGAUCUGGAGCACGAAGAAUUUUUCUCAGAUUCUGCAGUUUACCUUCUUAUUAUUAUUUUACUUCCGGCGUCAUUUAAUAGACCACCUACUAUAAGAGUUUCCGCCAAGCCGCGAUAAUCCCCGUCAACAUUGCUCGAUAACGAACUCUCCGCAAUCCCCAUUCUUGUGUACUCCCAUUCUAUCAAAUUCUUCUUCCAAAACAUCCGACCCAUAUUUUCGUACACGUCGACUCCGAGGUUUCUGGCUCGUCGAUUUCUUAAAUUCAGAAAUGCCGUCCCGUCAAUCGUCCUAGUCUUUGUCCUCGUACGAUACUCCCACGGUCUACUCGUGUUAUCACUUAAAUCGGCCCACGCAUUGCAGCCCUCCGUAUUGUAUUUUAAAACUUAUCUAGUCUUCGUUUAUCGCGUUUAAAUUUUACCUACUGGUUAGUCUAUGUACGUUAUGUAAUUGUAAUAUGUAAUUAUGUCUUAUUAUAUAUUUUUAAACUGUUGUACAUAAAUCGGUAAUCAAAUACUUUUCCUCGAUCUGUGAAAGACUGAGGCUUUUCGCUGCAAGUCCGACGGACCACCUCGCUUGUCUCAUCCAUUUACAUAAAGCCGAUCUCUUCAUAUUGACAUAAUAGGUACCACGAUUAAGCAAUUACGCCUUACGUGUCUCAUCAUAUUUCUUCGGCAAACACCUUCCUGGCUUCCCACAGGGUCUUCUUCGUCCUAUACGAUCCGUACGCCCGUCCGAAUCGUUAAAAAAUUAUUAUUAUAUUAUUAUUUAACGACGGGCGCACGCUUUCAGCAGGCAUCCGUUUUACCCCCUUUUGGGGCACAAAAAGCGCCCGCCCAAUUGUCUGUCACUCACAGCAUUAUUGUCGUCGUCUCUUAACUUCCGUUAAAACAUACCGCGUAUACCACGAUAUUAUCACACCCGCGACGAUUGUUUUCACGUCCGACCGUAAUAUGGGACCCCCGACAGCAGGUCAACGAGACGUCUACCCCGGGGCAUAGAACAAUACACUCGUAUAUGCGUAACAGUUUUCAAUGUAUUUACGUGCACGCGCCCGCGUAGUUGAAAACGUGAAGCGUAUUGGAUACGUGUUGGAUAAUAUACAACAUCUGGUGCACUUCAAAUAUUCAAACAUUCACUGUAAUUUGCAUAAAACAAAAUAAUAAUAAUAAUAAUAAUAAUAUAGGUAAGUAUAUUGAAAAAUAUGUACGGAGUCUACUGCACUGCACCAUAUCAUAUCCUAACAGUAUAUACCGCGCUGUCGGUAAAUUUGUUGAUUUAAAAAAAAAAAAAAAAACAAUUAAUUAAUUAAUUAAAAAAACCUACACCGGUCGCACUAUACCGAACGAACGAAAAUAACCAGCAAAUUUUUUAUACGUUGCGGCCAUCGCUUUUGCAGUGUUAUGAGAAAAAUAUUAUGUAUCGUUAAAAAAAAUGACAAUUUUUACUAGAGUCAUACAAGAUAUACACGGAUUUAUGAUUUGUAAAUAUUGUAAUUACCUGUAUUACGGAGAUCGGAUACCGAUAUUUUCUAUUGUUGUCAAACUAACUGAGCCCACUGAGACCGAUUUUCUGCGAUCUAUGCUCUGUGAAGCGAUACAGAACACAGAUUCGAAUUCAACGUAAAGUGUACACCGCGAGAUCGGCCACAAUAGUUUUUUGAAUUUUGGUCAGUAAUAAUAUACUUAAAUGUAUGGGGGGGAGGGACCGAAAUUAAAUCAUUUAAUAAGUGUUUUUUAGACGUCGCGAACGUCGUUCAAUAUGGAUAUUAUUCCGCUUGAUAUUUUUUUCGGGAUAGGUACCGCGGUAAAACAACAAUAACAUUUUAAACGCCGUUGAUAAAGUACAUAGAUAAAACUUUAACGGCUAACGAAGGCCGUAACUCGUAUCAACGCGCGCGCACACGUGCGCGCGUUCGAGUGUGUUCUGAUGAUUUAUUUACUGCGGUUCGCGAGAAUAAUUUAAUACAACGUGAACGAUUUUAAUGGAUUUUUCAAGAGCUGUGUAAUAUAUAUAUAUAUAUACUGGAAUUACGAUGUAAACUUCACUAUAAUUAUGAGGAAAAACAAAAAAAAAUGAUAACGGCCCUCAAAAAAUACAUACAAUUUGGUCAGGUUUCGAGAUAUAUCACGUCGUAUGUUUGAUGAACGUUUUGAGUGUUUAUUUACCUAUAAUAUUAUUAAUUAACGGGUUAUUUUUUCGCUUUUUCUAUAUGCACCGUCGCGAACUAAAACAAUAUUACAUACUUACUUUGUAGUCGGACGCGCACUCAGCAUUUUCGUUUGGGGGAGCGCUCUUCUACCUAUAUAACUUCUUCGUCUUCGUUCGCUCUACAGCGGCGUUAAGUACCUCCGCGGUCGUAACAAAACACCGUCCAUAAUAAUUCUCUGUAAACCGAGGAUAUUCUUUCCGAUUCGUAAUACCAAUAGUCGAUCCGUGUCUUAUUUUAUUUUAUUCCUUUCGUCGUAUAACACCGGUCUCUUGAUUUCUUCUCCGCGGUUGGAUUCCACUCGACCGGUAGCUUUAUUCAUUCUGCACUCUCUUUCUCCAUAAUCACACUAUACGACCUCUCAUCUGUAACAUACAUCGCAUAUAAUUAUAAUAAUCAAACUGGAGAUAAUUUUAAAAAACCGUCGUAAAUUAUCAAUACAUAAACUAACAAUAUUAUUAUUAUUAUUAUUGAUUUUUUGAUAGAAGACUUUCAGUCCCUCGUUUUUUUCAAGUAAGCGUCACCAAAACGGAAUUCCCCAGAGCGUAUAUUUUACGUUAAAAAAAAAAAAGUAUUAGGUAUAUUUAAUGAUUUGCCAUGUGCUUAAAAUAAUAUUUUACAACUAGGUCUCAUAAUUUAUCUUCCAUCUAUUUACACGAGUAUGUAUAUUAAUAAAAAAAAGUGCAAUACACACACAGAACCGGAUGAACGGGUCCGUGUGUAUAAGUACCUCGAAGCAGGAUUUCUGAAAGUCAACCACUUCAUGCAGGGUUAUUGGUAUUUUCGGUAUACGAAAAUUGUAUUUCCUUUUCUUUUUUCUUUUUUUUUUGUCAGAGACACCGAUGAAAAAAUAUUUUUAUUAGUCGAUUUGGUUAUUAUGACGGGCAAAAGAAACGAUCUUUUUUUAAAACAUAAAUUAUCGUACGACGACAGCUUACGGGACGGAGGUAGAAACGGGGUAACAAAGGGACACACGUUUUUAUUUGUUUAUUUCGUUCAAUACCGUGUACGGACAAAGCCCUUACGGAAAGAAUCUAGCUCAUAAUGGACAUGUAAAAAUGGUCAUUUAGCAAAAUUGCCGGCGAAAAAUAUAACCGUUUACCUAACGAAAUGGCCAGAGGAAAAUUUUCGCCGUGUCCAUAUUUCCCUCUAUUGAAGGAUAUUGUAUAGCUAUUAACUAUCUGAAAUCGCGUUUAUAAUAUUAUUUUCUACGCGGUUUUUUUAUUUUCUGAAUAUUAACUUUUUCGACCAUUAUCACUUUGAACAUAAUUAUUAUAAAGGCAAUAACGGUAAUGAAAUACGGCCGUAGAAAAGAUUUUUUUUUACCAACCGAUCGUUUUUUUCGCCCGUGGGCCAUUUUUGUUUUUGCAAUUAUCACCGUACCGCGCGGGACAGUAGGUAGGUACUUCACGAAACAACGAAAUUGUUUAAUCUAUUAUUUACAGCAUUAUAUUGGUGUAUAACGUAUGGUAUCUUUCAAAUGGAUUCUUUUCAAUUUUACACUCGGGAACAUUGUUCGGUCGCUAAGUAGCCCUCGUUGAUGUAAAAUAUUAUAAACUCGCGCGGCGUACGUUACCCGCCGGCAACUGUGGCCUCGGUUGACAUCCGGGACUUUGGUCCGUGACGCCGCAGAGGGAAGUGAAGUCGUCUAAACACAAUUUCUCGAUUUGUAAUAUUCCUCGGGGGGACGGGGGGGACGAGAGCGAUAUUUUUAUGCAAUUGUAUAGAUUCUUGCGUACAUAAAUCCUUAUGCGCGUUUGUUUCCUUUCUAAUCGCGCACCCGACUGCAGCACGUCGGGGCUGUAAAUCGAAUUUGUUUAAACCGUGUGCGACGCCGAUGCAAACUACCCGAAUUUCCGUUCGAUAAUACACCACUUUUUUUUUUCAUAUAAUAUGAUGUAUACGUAAAUACGAUAUGUAUGAGCACGAGACAAACAACAUUUUAAUACUUUUUUUUUUUUUUAUUUUUUAUUUUUUUAAUAAAUUUUUUAUCGCGUCAAUAACCACACGCGUUAUACAAGGAUUGCGAUUGUAGCAGUAGUAAUCUACUGCUACUAUUAUUAUUAUUAUUAUCGCCAUAUCGUAAUAAAAUAAUUGUUAUCGUGACCUUGCAACUUAAUAUUAAUAACGGGUUUUUCUCCAUCAAUCGACGAUUGGCUCCGGCCAUAAUAGUAGGUUUUACUUUUUGUAUUCAUAUACAUUAUACCGCGGUAUACUCUCGCCGUCCACUGCCAUAAUAACAUUAGAGACGCGCACGAAUUCUGUCCGCCAGAAAACGUAAUAAUUUGUCCACAAUAAAAACGUAUCCCGAUAAGAUUCGAUAUUAUAAUGAAAAAUGUAUUAGCGACUUAUAUCGCGAUGUCACGAGGUCGUUUUUAUUUUAUUAUUUUUUUUUUUCUUUGACAUCACGUAAUAAUAAUACUCUUUUUCUGUAUUAUAAUACGACGCUAUUGAUAUAUGAUUCGGUGUCCGGCAUAUUAUUAUAAUUUAUAAUUGUAUUAUCCGCCAGAGUAUAUUGAACUCGUUUUAGAUUCUGAAUGGAGUAAAGAAGCUUAUAGUUUUACAAAGAUGUUUAUUUGUAUUAUUAUUAUUAUGAUUGUUAUUUUUUUUUUUACGUCAUCAACGAGUAAAAAAACUGAAAAGUAAAAUUAAUAAUUCCAAGUUUUGAUUUGACUUUUGACUUUUUAUUUAUGAAACUUUUAUCUCAAAUCGUUUUGUUUUGCUUUUGUUUAUGUUAAUUUAAUAUUGUGCCGAUUUGGUUUUAAAUUUUACCGCAGUGUAAGUUAAUUUCUACAAUUACUCGUGUUUAAUAUUAUAAUAAUACCAUCAAUCGCCGUUCAUUUCAAAUAAUCACAGAUCCUAGGUUUGUAAAUUUCGUCGUAUCAUCGGUUACCUAGAAAAACUCGGACAGAAGAAGCGAAAAACUACCAUAGACUUAAAAAUUCACUUACAUUUUCAAAAACAAAUGAAAACCAAAAUUUCGACUCACGAGGUUUUGAUGGGUGACCGUCGAUAUAAUAUAAAAAUGUAACCAAAAAUAAAAUUAACUGUAUUUCAGGAUAAAUAUUAUUGUUUUUGAAUUGUCAAAAUUAACUUUCAACUUAACAAUAUACAGCUAUAUAUUAAUGAUUGAUUUUUUACGCGUUAACUCGUUAAAUUUUUUGAUUGUGAGUGAAACGAGGUAGUCGAUUUUUCCUGUAGUUUAUAAACAAUAAACCCUGACGAUUUAUCGGAUAAUUUUUAUUGACUUUUGGGUUACAUAAGGAAUAACUGAAAAAAUAAUUACUUAUAACACUUUGUUCAGAUUCGUUUUUCAGUAAUGGUUGUUCUAAUCGUUGCGUACAGAUAUAAGUUAAAUUAUUUCAUACGCAUUAUAAUCCCAUCCAAUUUUUUGGUAAAACACCCAUGAGCUGUAUUAGAAUUUUUUUUUUUUUUUAUAGCUUUUAUUUCUUAACUUUACCACGCGAGUCAAGUAUUAUUCGUUAUUAUAACUCGUUUAAUCUUGUUUUUUACCACUUAAAAAAAAAAAAUCGUUAUUUUAUCGCAUUUUACAUGUUAUUUAUACCUACUUAUCGCGAGGGUAUACUAUAAUAAUAUAAUACCGUACUUUCUCACGAUAAUAUUAUUAUAUUACCUAUCUAUCUUUAAUAAUCGUGUGAAAACGAAAUCGUAACACAUUCGGACGGCGAUACGAUGGCGGCGGUGACUGCGGUGAGCGAAAAACUCUUACACUUAUAAUAAUGGAAAACCGGUGUCACGUUCUUCUGGCGGACUGCACGAAAUACGCGUUCGGUUCGAAUAAUCCGCGGUGAUCUCGCCCACCGACUUUUCGACAAAAACAAAAAAUAAAAAAAACAUUCUUAUAAAUUGAUUCGAUAUUACAUUAUUUCAUAUUCGUUUAAGGCGAGAAAAAAUUACGCAGCAUCCGCGCCGUAAUAAUAUCUUAUGUAACGCAAAGCCAUUCGAUAUCGUUUCGCAACAAUAAAUAUAAUUUUAUUUGAAAAAAAAAAAUCCGGUACGUACUUCGAACAUCACGGGAAUAUACGUACAUUUAAUACGGGGUAAUUUAAAAAUGUAUACACCGUGAGCAACGAUAAAUCGUCACGAUCAAAUUUGUGUUUCUCUUAUAGCCUGAUGCUGCAAGGUCGGUAACACAGAAAUCGACCAAAAGUAAAACUGGCGUUCGAGACAUUUGUUGUCGGUUGUUUUUUUUCUUUUUUCUUUUAUAGUAGACGGUUGGAAUUCCAGUUUAUUUCCAAAUAAUGUACUGUCCGGUAAAAAAUUUUAAGAUACAGAUACGGAAAAAUCGGAAUACGUUGACUAACCCGAAAGUAUUUUCUGAGAAAAAAAAACACCUGUGUAAAACUUUAUGACAGUUUCUUUCGCUCUAUUCAGAAUCUAAAAUACCUAUUAUUGAAUAUUUUGUACCGGGUAUAGCUGCUUUUUUUUCAUAUAUACAGUCGAGACGAGACAGGUGCGAUUUUAAAUAUAAUAUUAUGUUUUUCGUUUAUUCCGUACGGAGAAUAAUAUCGGGUUAAUUUUCUACUCGUGGGGUACUACAACAAGCGGAUCACGUGUAUAAAUAUAUUAUAAUAAUAAUAAUAUGAGAUACGGAAUCUAUUAAACUCUAUAACUAUAGCACUCGUUAUUUUCGCAAACGCAUCAUUAUACGUUAAAAUUCAUGAAUAUUAAUAAAUGUUUGUACGAAAAUUUUAACGGUUUACACGUAUAGCCAUCGCUGUACGUGUCUAUAUAUAUAUAUAUAUAUAUAUAUAUAUUAUGUGUGUGUGUGUGUGUGUGUGUGUGUAUACCUAAUAUUAUAUAGAAUAAUAUACGAGUACAAUAAUGAGUGUGCCUAAGUAAUUAUUCAAAAUAUUUGAAUUUGCCCGUCGUAAUAGGUACAUUGUUGUAGGUAUUGUAGGUAUACUCGAGUGAAUAUUUAUAUUAUUGCGAUUGUUAUCAAUACAACAUUGUAUAUCAGUGGCGUACCUAUAGACAGAAAUUUCCCGAUGAGACGGAGAAGGCGCACUAUAGAUAACUGGGCCGUUGAAAAAGGUACAAUUGUAUCUUUUUUAGUUUAUGCAACGUGUUUAUUGUACCUUGUAUCGAGAUACUCUUUAUAUUUCAGUAUCAACUGGCAAGUACCUUUUUGUACCGAAAGAUAAAAGAUAAUAGAACAUGCUUUAAUAUAUAAUUGAAACAAAAUAAACGAAAUAGCGAAAAACCAAAAGAGGUAAACAUGUGUUGCAAAUUUCAUGCUUUUAAUCUUAAAAAUUUAAAUAAUUAUUUACUCGUAUUAUAAAAUACUAAAUAGUUAUAAAGUUCCGUGCUACUCUAGGACCCUAUGUACGAUAAACAAAGAUUAAAAAGGUAGUACGGGCUCCUCAGAUCCUUCCAUAAAUACGCCACUAUAAUAGUAUGCCAAUAAUUGUGUACAUUAUAACGUACAGUCAGUUUAGAAAUCAAACUAAAUGUCUAACGUCGUUCCAUUUUUCUAUUACUUACCUAACUCUCGUAAUAUAAAAAAGCAUAUAAAUAAAUAUAAAAAAUAAAAAUAAGGCACUUAGUAAAACGUCUAGGCGUUUAGUGAAAUGGUCGUUUCGACUGAAUGACUGACAUAGAAAUGCGGCCUCUGUGAAUUUACCCGGUAAAAUUUAGGUGCAUUUUACCGAUUGAAAAUCGAGUGACCCCUCAUUUCAAUUGUUUUUUGUUUUACGUAUUCUAACGUUUGAUUAAUUGUAUAUUUCCACAUUUAACCCGGUAACACUGGCAACGCACGCGACAAUAACAAAUUAAAUAACAUCAUAUACAUCUAAAAUCUAACCAUAUAGGCGAGCGCACGCGGAGAAGAUGGGGGGGGGGCGUUCGUUCAUUCAAUGUCAGACCCCCGAAAUGUGUUUCCAGUCACGGUCAUGCGACUCGACAUUUAAGUGCGGAAAUAAAAAUUUCAAAACAUUUUAUCGUGCUUUUAUUACAUAUUUUUGUACAUAUUAUAUAGGUUGUAGGUUUUCAUAAAAAAAAUAUUUAAAAAAAAUCUUGGGGCAGGUACCCUGGUAAAUUUACAGAAAAAAAUUAACCUGUAAAAUCGAUAUCUCUGCCAGGACAAUAAAUGUAAAUAAUAAAUUUUAUUAUUAUCAUGUCGACAUGGUAAUAACAUGUUCUAAAUCAUAUUUCCUCACGUUAGUAACCAGUAUGGUUCGCAGUGUUUGACCGCAACAUAAUAUUAUAUAAUACAAAUCGACGAACAAAGAUAAAAAAAAAAAAACAUAAAAAGAAAUAAAGUUCAAAGACAUACGCGUUCUCUGAAACAUUUAUAGUUAUGCGUUGUUACCUCUCUGUAAGUCGUUCGCUAUUUUUUUUAUUUUUUUACUAUUAUUAUCGUUAACACAUUUGUUUUCGUAGAACGGAAUAUUUUUAUUUUGGGAAAGCGACGUAGAAUUCUUGAAAAAAAAAAGCCGCUCAUGUGUUGUAAUAAUAAUAAUAAUAAUUUUAAUUGUAAUAGUAUGUUUUUUUUUUUUUCUAACCAACACGAUAACAUUUAAACCGUUUAUAAUACAGAAUAUAUAGUGUAAAUGCGGGUCAGAGAUCGCACGUGCUAUUAACGAUUAAAAAAUUAUAUUUUAGCAACGAGAAAAUAUCUAAAAUCUAUGGUUUUUUUUUUUCAAAUUUUCAGUCGCGUACACGCGUAAUAAAUUCCGCGUGGCUUCGAAAACCGAGCCGCCAUCACGAUCACCCCCUUUAUAUUUGAACUUAUAAUAAUAAUAUUAUACGAGUGCAGUGUCAGUGUCAGUGUGUGUGUAUGUGUGUGUGUGUAUUGUUUUAUUACUCGGGCCCGGUUGAAAAUUUGCAUAGAACAAAACCGCCAAACGGUCAUUGGAAACAGUUCUCGUUGUGUAUAUCAUUUUUUGUUAUAGUAUUAUUAUAGCGUGUGUUGCAGACGUUAUCCUUAAAUUAUUGCGCGAACACAACGCCCUCGUGAAUAAUAUUCCGGUGUGACUAUACGCGGUAAAAUAAUAUAUUAUAGUAUAUAUGCUGGUGUAGGUCGGCUCGGACGGAUUUCCGUAUAUCGACUCGUCGCAUCGUCUUUCUAAAAAAUGUCGAAUUUUUUUUUUAUAAUUUUCACCGAAUCAAUCGCUUAAAUUCGUCAAUAACAUUAUAUAAUAUACCAGCUCGCUUUUCUUAACAAACGCCAGAGACCCAAAUAUAAUACAAAGGGAGGUGCCUAGAACGCAAGGCCGUAUAAGUGACGUUUUAUUGAUUUCGAAAAAAUCAAGUUUAAAAUCAUUUGUAUUUAAGAGGACGUUUCACAUGCAUUUGUUGUUUCCGUCUUACAAACACAAGGUACAGUAAAAACAUGCUUACGCAGACUAUACAAAACUCGCUUGGUUUUGGUUUUCGAGUAAAACCACUUAUUAUAAAAUUAACAAAGAAUUAUAUUACGGAAGACAAGACGUUGCGUUUUUUUUGAAAAAAUUAUUAUUAUUUUUAAAGUUUUAGCUAAUUAAAAACUCGCUUAAAAAGUCAUUAUUUAUAAACGGUAAAUUGACUGUUAUAUUCGGAGAAAAUAACAAAAACGCAACGUGUUCACCUCCGGAAUAUUGUUCUCUUUUGAUUUUGUCUUAGGUGAUUUUACUCUAAAACCAAAAUUAACCGAGUUCUGUGUAGUCUGCGUAAGCAUGUUUUUACUAUAUCGAGCGUUUGUAAAACGGAAACAACAAAUGCAUGUGUACUCCCGUACAUUUAAUUACAGUAUAUUAUCAUAUCAUCACUGUACCUUGGCACGAAUGAUGAAAAAAAAAAAAAGUUUUAGACACUUGGCGGUAAAGACACAUACAUGUGUUAACAGACGUUGUGCACACGCUUGUAUUUAUUUACUUCUAAACUAUUAUGGCGUUAUUGUUUGGAAAAUAUUUUAGUGUGAUCUAGUGUUUGAUAUUAGAUUGAAGAUCAUUACCGGAUUAUCCACUUAUAUUUAUUCACUACAAAAUAAAAUAGACAAUUUGUUGUUCAGUCGUGCACAUAAUUCAAAUUUUUUUAAAAAUUUCACUUAUACCUUUUGUGUUUUCUAGGCGCCUCGUAUAUAUAUAGGUUCUUACUCUCUACGCGUGUCCUAAACAAAUAUAGUGCACGAAGUACGCUUCAAUAUUAUUAGGCGUCCGUAAUCCGUAGUUCGGGCAUUGUUCGCAUUAUACGCGUACGCUAAAUACCAGCUACCUAUCGGUAUAGGUAAACCUUUUACGUUACCCGGGAACAUUCUUUCGACGUCUGAUACCGAACAAUAAUAAAUGCAAAACGUGCGCAACGCCUAAUAAUAUUAUUGUUAUUGUUUCUGCAAUGUUUUUCGUGUAUGAAACUUGUACGCAGCGUAUAGUUGUAUACAAUGUCUACCCGCAGGCCCGCGAGUCUAUACCUGCGUAAUCGAGUUUAAAAACUAAACAAAUUUAAUUCCGUCUGAUAAUUGAAAAUGAUAAAUUUGUUUUAUAAUAAUAAUUUUAGUACCCGCCCGGUUUCCGAGCGGAGUAAUAUUUCGAAAAUCAGACGCGCGGGGAAAAAAGGUCGACGGCUCGUUUUUAGCGAAAUAUUUCAUUUUAUAACAAGAUAGGUGCCUAAAUUUUUAUUAUUCGAAUGAACGUCGUAUUUUCGUUAAAUAUUCAGUAUAGGCGUUUGUGCGCUUUUCGUGUAUCGCGAAUAAUACGCGUAUACGAGUUAUUCGCUACAUAACCGCGAAUGCGUUAAGAAAAUAUGAUCAUAAUGUUAGCUGGGGAAAUGUCGUCAUGUAAUACAGUCGUGUUAAAACCACGACGAAAGACCUUGAAACUUACUGAUUACAAUAAUGUGUUACCGCGGUCGUGAUGUAUGCGGAACUGUUUAACCGAGAUAAGUACCUGUACGUAAUCACAUUUAAAUGCGUUACUUUCUACACGGGAGAUUUACAUGCAAAAAUUCGAAAAUGAAGACGACAAAAAAAAAAUAAAACAAAUUUUUUACCGUAUUAUUUAUACGUGAAAUCCUACAUAAAGAUAUUCGCGAAAGAGUACAAAAUUAAAAUAUUAUUAUUUGCCGUUUCGAGUGUAAAUACUCGUACAUUGAUCAAACGAGUGGGUAUACCCAUAUUGUUAUACUACCGAUUCGACGACAGUAUUGUCGUGUUUAUGUAAAUAUAUUAUAUUUUGUUUGGAAUCGAUGAAAAUAUUAUUCAUUCUUUGAUUUGACCGAUUUUUAAAUAUUCACAAUUCUGUGUAAAAAAAAAUAAAAAACGCUUUUUCUUAUAUUAUCUUUUAUUGUCGUGUAGAUCUAUAGUUAAAUGGGCAGCUAAGAUGAAUCCAGAAACCGAAAUCGAUAGUAAAUAAAUACUCACGACUUACUAUUACGACCGUCCGUACCAACCCAUAAAUAAUAUAGCGGUCAAGAGACGGAGACGAUUUCCGAACACCGGUGUAGGAUAAGGACUCGGUACUUUUACUUUUCAACCUUCAACAGUAUCACUUACAGUAUCACCUAGUGAUAAUCGCUCAUCAAUUUCGAGACGAACACAGUUAUUCGGUAUUAAUAAGGAUACGAUAAUGGAUAUAACUGUAACACUAUAAUAAUAUUGAAGACCCUUUGGAGUGGGGGUGCGGUUAGAUAAGGUUUUUCGACGUGACCGCUGUAAGGAUAUAAUAUUCCCUUAUCGUUAUUUUAUGACAACCGGACACCAUAAUACAAAAUAAAAUCUACUUAAUAUAUAAAACGUAUUGUUUUUUCAUUGGAAUUCGUGAUAUUACUUUGGAAUAAUAAUUUAACGUAUUCGUGAUACUGCUACGGUUAAACCAAUUAAUAUAAUAAUGUGUACGUUAAUUUCUUUGGAUUUUGUUCUAUACACGUGUAGUUACGCAAAUUUAUCGCAUUUGUUACCAUCGGCGUCAUUGCGCGUAUACACUUUCACACGAACGUGCGACUGAAUUUUUCCGACUGCGACCAAUCGUAUUAUUAUAUUGUUAUAGGAACGCCAGCUGAUUCAACUGAACCUGACGCAAGCGAUAUUUUUCCCGUUGUUUGUUUUAGAGAAUUUGACGGCCGUCGAGUUGUUUUUUUUUUUUCUGAAGUACCCGUGUGUGGUCGAAUAUUAUUCGAAAUAAUAAAAUCAAUUUACCGUUAAGAGGUACCUUAAGAGGUAUCUAUGACAUGAUAUGUUUAACGCUUCCCAAUUUGGAAAGUCAAUCCUUAUAUUUAAAUAUAUACAAGUAUUAUAUACAGUUUUAUAUACAAUGGUUACCUUUUAGAGCAGCGGUUUUCGACCUUUUUUAUUCCAAUUUUUAAAUUUUCAAAAAUCUCACACACCCCUUCCUUUUAAAUUAGGUACAUUAAACUAUUAGAGUUUAGACGACUUUUUUUUUUAGUGAGCUAUAUAAAUAAAUUUUAAAAAAUAAUUUUAUACAUAUUAAAAAUUGUAGGUACAACUAAAAUUAAUUUAUUGUUUUCAAUUUUACUGAUUGGAAAAUGGCAUAAAUAUUUUAACAAAAAAUAUUCUUGUUUUUUCAUCAUCACUAUAUUUUCCUCGUGCAGUAUUUAAAUUUCUCCCCACCCCCCGGUCGAGAAUCACUGUUUUAGAGUAUACCUAAAAUUUCAAAACUACAUUUUGAAACCUAUAUAUAAUAUUAUUAAUAUAUGGUUUGCUACUCUAAUUAUAUAUUUUAUUCGUUUCCAGUGUAAUUUUCGUUCGAAUAAACACGCGUCGAGUUUUUACAACAAACGUUUGUAUUGUUUCUUUUUUGUCGAGAAACGCUUUUUUUGCAGAAUUAAAAAUGAUCCGAAAGUUUCGCAAAUAUACACUGUAGUUCGUAUCUACGGAUUACAAAUUAAACGCAGAUGGUACUAGGCGUAUUAAUAUAUACUUUAGAAAGGUAUUAUUAUUCUUUUGCAGCGUCGUCGUUGUUGUUUUAAAAACGUUGUAUAGUCGAAUAAAAGAACUAUUAAAAAACUGUUGUAGCCUAUGGAAAGUUAGUGUAUAUAAGAGUCGGUGAGUAGGUAUGUAUAAUAUAUAUAUAUAUAUACUGUUCUCGGUUCAAAGUUUCUUUCCAACUUUUUAAUUAUCCUAGAGGUUUCGAAUUUUCACCCGGUUUAUAUGUGUUGUUUUGUGUGUAUAUAUGUAGCGCCGUAAUGCGAUUUUGCCGGCGUUAAAGAGAUUUUAACCGCGAAUGUUUUCAACUGUAUCUAUAAUCUACGAGGUUUUAUAAUAAUUUCUGAGGGCGAUUUUAAAUGAUUAAACCCCGAAUAAUAGGCUGCAAUAAUCGUUAUUAUUCCAAACUAUUCCGGGUCAAAACCGAAAUUCGGCUACAUCCUCCCUCUCCUCGGCGUCCCCGUAAGGAAUAUAUGAGUUUAAAUGCCUUCUCUAAACAUUUUCAAGUUCUGAGUAUAGCGAAGCAGCUAUUAUAAAGUUCUACUAUGAUGCUUAUUUUUCCUCCAAUUUUUCGGUUCCGCAUAGCUUACCUUAAAAAUGCGGAUUUUUGUCACCUGUUACCGGUCCUUUAUUUAAAUAAUUUUUCAAAAUGCCUACAAUUUCUAACAAAAAAUUUAAAUUAAAAACAUUUAUGGACAUUUUCAGCACUAGCUCCAUUUUUAAUUUCUGGAUUCUCUUGGCAACGAGGAAUCAAACACAACUAAUACAUUUCAAAAUCCUUUUUCGAUAGCAAUAAUUAAUUAUUGCAUACACUGUAUGAAUUAUAUAAACUAAAUUACUCUGUAGGCAUCUUUUCUUUCCAGCUACUUACCAACAAAAUUUACCAGUAAUUCCGUGAACUGUAUCAACUUGUUUUUCUUUCAAAUACACAAUACAGAAAUGCAAUGUCCUACUUACUCGUAUAUUGUCGACCUGUACAUCCUUAUUAUAUUAUACGAAGCAGGUAUAAUAGAAAAAGAAAAAGUCUGAAAAUUUAAAUUUCUUUAAAUCAGCCAAUUCGUAUUCAUUUUUUAAUAUUAGGUAGGUACCCGCAACGACGGUUUCGACAAAUAUUACAAUUAACAAUAAUAUAAGUGCUCGUUUCGAAUGUUUUGAAAUUCAAAUGAACGGCAGCGGAGGCGGCGACGACGGUAUGGUUAUACAUUCUGUAUAAUAUAUACAGUAAAAAAAAAAUAAAAAAAAAAUUUCCUCGUGUUUAUAAAAUAUUUUCAUUCGUGAGGUAGAUACGUACCGACCGUCACGUUCGAUGUAUUAUAUUAUUGUAACAUUGCCCCUGUAACCCGUCAGUUUUUAAAAACUCCGACGAAAGCCCGAAAUACGUUUUCUUUAUAAUAUUUUCUAAUUUUAUUAAAUAAUAAUAACAGUGUUUCCAUACAUUACAUUGCGGUUAACGUUUGUUUUUCUUGUUUUUUUUUCUUUUCUUUUCUUUUUUUUUUUAAUUUACAAAGAGGUUUUCGUUAGUUGGCCCGCAGCGGAUAAAAACAAAAACGCGUUAGUCGGGUUUUUGGCAUUUUCUCCUGAAAAUGGAUACUUAUAGAGCGCUGUAUUGUGUUUGUUAAGGAUUCGCAAAAAGCGAACUAGGGUAAACUUAUAAAAAAAUAUAUUUAAAUGUCUUGUUUCAUCCCUGUACAGAAAACGUGGCCAAGUGAUUUACAUUAUACACAUUUUAGAAACCGUGCGCACAUGGUUUUCGAUAAAAAUUAAAAUAGAAUAAAAUAACAGUUAAAAUUGUUUAAUCACUUUGUGAUCGAUUGCAAUACACAAUCUGUUAGGUUAGAUGUCUUUUUUUCCCGCUAGUUAUAUGGACACUUUUAAGCGGCUCUCUCUGGAAUAAACGAGUUUUAAGAAUCAGACAUUAGAGUUAAUUUCAAUAUAAGGAUUUUUUUUUUUUUUUUGGCAGGUCAGGAGAGUUUAACCUAAAACAUAGAGGUAAAGUAAUUAAGCUUUAUAGACGUAAUGAGAUUUUUAAAAUAUUUUAACGUAUUUACGUGUUAUUUAUUGAUAUCUGAAAUUUUCUACCUUGUUUAGUUUUAGAUUUUGAAUGGAACGAGGAAUAUAUUGGUUAUACAGUGAUGUUUUUUUUUGUUGAACACUUUUUCUACCAGAAAUCUUACUCUGAUUAUCAAGUAUAGCAUUUUUUAUGAAGGGAAAUAUUUUCUGGGUAGUACUUUAAAGAGGUAAUUUUUUGAAAUUAAUUAAAUUAUAUUUAGAUUAAUUUUUUAAAUUUAUCUCAUCAAUAUUCGAGAUAAUAAGGAAAACCUGGUUCUUUAAGUUAAAAAAAUAUUAAACGAUUAAAAAUAAGGUUGUCAUUGGCAACCGUUUUUAUUUAUUUUUUUGUUAUAAUUAAGUUUUUAUUAUUUUAAUUUAAUAUUUUUUAAACAAUCAUUGUUGUAAACAUUCUAUCAUAAUGUGAUAUACAUUACAAUACAUACAUACAAUACAUAUUGUUGACAAAGCAACACUAUCUACUGAACUCCGCUCAGAAUCGUUUUUCGUUUACAAUGAUUUAUUGUUACUUACAGAUGUACACACGAUUGCCGUCUGUAUCCUACCUUCCAACUUCUCACCUACAAUAGUGACUGCACCCACGUGCAAAGUAUUUCCGUCAUUUAGAUUCCGAUCAUAGCGAAGGAGCUAUUGAUUUUACAAUGCUGUUUAUUUCUUUGUUCUAGUCUAUGGACACAUUUUUUCCUAGUAAACUUUCUUCGACUUUUACGUGUUGUAAUUUUUCUGAAAGGUCAAGUUAUCUUGAUUGUACUUUAAAGAGGUCAUAUUUUGAGUCUCAAUACUAUUUUUUAAAUAAAAGCACUUAAGUGGGAAAAAAAAGUAGGAAAACGCAAAAUUUUACAAUUUCAUUUUUUUAUAAAAACACGGACGACGUUUUCUACUUGAGAAAAUGAUUUAAUCGAAAAAUUAAAACGUACAUUUUUUUCGACUUUUUGAUUUAUUCUUUCUUGCAAUAUCUUCACCAAAACUUUUGAGGCACUUUUGAUUUUUUCUGGAAUUUUAAUUUUUUGUUUUAAUUUGGUUAUAAAUAACUUAGAGACUUGAAACUUGGUAAUAAUAUUUAGAUUUGACGUACCUAGACUUGGUAAUAUUUUCAAAAUCAUCGGACUACUUUUUUUCCUUUUUUUAAUUUUUUUACAAUGGUAAUUAAUUUGUUUUGUUAAUACUGUAACCACUUUCAUUCAAGAAAACUUGCUCUAAUGUAUAAAUUUAACACCUUUUCUGAAAGUCAAUUUUAACUUCUUGAUUGUAUUGACCAAAAAAUGACCAAUGUAUGAUUGGUCAUUUUUUGAUCUUCGAAACGUUAUUUAAAAUAAAAACGAUUAAACGGGGAAAAGAAUACGAUUUUUUCACGAUUUCGUUAUUUUAAAUAAGUACCUAACACGUUUUCUAACACAAAUAUGGCUCCAAUUGAAAAACGACUAGUGACCUUUUUUGUUGAAUUAUCCAUCUUAUUUUAAUGAUGGGGUUCAUUUUUCUGAUUUUCGAAAUAGUUUUCAUAAUAAUCGGGAAAAAUCGUAAGAAGGUUGGAUUAAAAAAAAUUACGGCACUUCAAAUUAUGUAUUACCGAACUGCGUUCGGAAUCGUCUUUCAUUAUCAAUGGUUUAUUAUUGCUUACAGAUAUAAAUGAAAUAACCUUAUGUAUUCUACCUUCCCAACUUCUCACCUACAAUAGCGCCGCUCCCAUUCCCAGUAUCAGCUCUUUUUUAUAAUUGUAUUUCAAAUUAAAUUAAACGUAUAAUAAUAAUAAUAAUAAUUUAUAAUAGAUUAUAAUAGUCGAUAAUAGCUUAGAGCUAAUAUGAAAUAAUUUAUAUUUACGCAUGAACAGUAUACUCCUUAAUUUUUCUUACUAUUGAAUACACCAAUUAUUUUCAACUUAUUCAUUAAAUUUUAAUUUUAAAGUUUCUUGAACUAUCGUCUAAUUAUAUUAGACUAUUUAAAGAUUAUAUUUAUAUUUUAUACUCUUAGACCAGAGUUAAACAUCGAUCAAAGUAUGUCAUCUAAAAAACAAUCGUCUAUGACACAUUUUUUCAAAAAAUUAAACAUCUGAAAAUUUGCCUAAUUAUUUAAAAAAUUCUAUUGAGAAACCAUACUAACUACGUAGACAACUAAAUUAGACGAAAAUAGAUGCGUUCUCGUCGAAUCAAUAAUUACAACUAUAAUAGUUAUUAUUAUUGGGUAUAGUGGUUUAGAUGUUUUAAUAAGUAUUUAUGUCCUGAUACUGAUUAAAAUAUUUAUAAAUUCCGAAUCAAUAUAAUCGACAUAAAUGGCAUAAUAAGAUCGUAAAAUAUAUCAAGUUCAAGAAGUCAUAUAUAAAUGUGUAAUAUCAUUUUAUUUGAAUACAUAAACAAAACAUUUAGUACACAAUUGUUAACAAUAAAAAUAAAGAGUUUUUCAAAAAAUAAGGGAAAAUAUAUGUACAGAGUGUUCCAUUUAAAUGGGCACAUUUACUAUUUCGGAAAAUAUUAACUCACUUCGGAAUUUGUUUUAUAGAACACUUAAAAAACAAACAGCUCUACAAUUUUAAAUCGAUGUUAUUUUUCGUCCCCCUAUUUUUGGGGGUAAACCACUAUAGAUUUUCAAAUGGCACCUAUAUUAAUGAUUUAAAUAUGUUUUUAUUGGCCUCCAUCUAAAAAUCAAAAGUAAGUAGUGGCUUUAGCCCCAAGAAUAAAGGUGAAAAAAUAACAAAAAUGUAAAAUUGUAAAACCGCUUGUUCCUUAAAUGUUCUACAAAACAAAUUCCGAAAGAAUUAAACACUUUCCGAAAUAAUGAAUGCACUAACUUAAAAAAAAAACACCCUCUAUUAAUGACAAAGGUCAUUUACUAAUAGUACAAAAAAUAUAAAAAAUGUUUAGUAAAAAAAAAUAAAUUCAAAUUGUAUAAAUUCAAAUGUUAAAAAUAACCGAGAAAAACUUAUUUGAUGGUAAGGCAGUCCUGACUUUUUAUGUAUUUUGCGAUCGUCCGCUUGGAAAAUGACAUCGUGACCUCGGAGGUCUUUCCAGCGGACGACGUUCAUGAAUUUUUUUUAUCAACCGUCAUUAAGAUUUCAAAAUUUUCACAGUCCACGGACGGAUUGCUAGUCGUGACUGCGCACAUUACUUCGGAGUCACAACACUCGACAUUCCCAGCCGUUUUGACUUUUUCCGAUCGAGCACGUGGUACGCGCGUUUUCGAGACUAUUGUACGUCUUUUAUUUCGUUUUGCUGAGCGUUUGUUUACGUUCUUGGACGACGUCUUUAGUUGAUAUAGUUCGCCGAGUUCGCACCGCUCCACUCGCGGCGACCGAGAGCUGCCACAGUCCGCGCCCUCUUGGUGUUCAGUGUUUUUCCACUACGGGUUUUCAUCGUGCGCGCGGUCUCGUCUACUGUGCCGCAAACUCGAAUCUUCUUAUAACUUAUUAGAGAGUACGAAAAUUCGUACGCGUAGCAUGAAUUGUUUGAAAGUAUAUACGACGUCUGCACACACUGGGAUCUAAACGCACAGUGAUCAACAAUCAGAACACACGAGAUCGAUUCGAACGGAUAUUGUUCAUUUUCAGCUGUUUUAAAUACCACGAAGAUAUAACAAAUCUUAUCGGGCCGUAGUGAUAGCAAUAGCUGUUUUUUUUUUUGGACUUUUCUUAGGUUAUCAUAUUAUACACACACGUGGAUUUGAGUUUGAUAUACGGCGCACGGAGAUACAAAAAUCUAGCGGUCCAAUUUUUUUUUUUUAUUUAUUUUAUGGUGUCGGAUAACAUUUGUUCGCUUCUAAAAAUUCUCAUCAAUUUGCUAUGUGAUACUGUAUUCGUAUAUUUUAUAGUCACGAUAAUGGAUAUUAUAUGGUUUUUCAUCGAUCUCUACUGGAAUCUUCAAUAAAUGGCAGUCGAAUUAAAUCCCCUGAAUCAGCUGAUUUCUAGACCGCUAGCGCUUGUGUGACGGUGUAAUAAAAUGUUAUACAAUUAAAGAUAUCAACAAUUUAUUCUGCACUAUAGUGAAGUAUAAAUCCAGGCGGAGUGUGAUGUUUCAAGUUUUUCCUUGACUGGUGGUUUCAGUUCGGUAGACACUUUAUUAUUAAUCUAUGGUCAACCAUAGUGUCUAUUUGUUUUUUUAAUCGAACUGUGUUUUCGGUGCUGAUUUUCAAUCGAAUCUUGGACAUACCCUUUUUACACCCGCGGGCCACCGGAAUUCAUCCUGUCCCAGCAGCCACAAGUGUUUAUUUCCGCGGUAAUUAAAUGAAGUUUGAUUUUCACAGUGCUCGCAGUUUUCCUAUACGUUUUCGUUUUUAAACUUUACGAUAUUAAAUAAAUACGUACACAGACAAUCCUAUUUAUCCAGCGAAAACGCGUAAAGUUCUCGUUGGUCUCGCACGCCGGUAACUUUUGAUUCGCAUAUUUUCCGAAACGAAAUAAUAUAUUAUUAUAUUAGAUAAUUUGCGUACUCACGCUUUAAUAUAACAAAUUCUCCCACGUGCAUUGUAUUACAAUAGUCUUUAUAGUCAUGUAUAAUAAUAAUAUUAUGUUCACCAUAUGAGAUCGCCGGGUCUGUUCUUGAAGUUUUUUUUACUUCGGGCGUUUUUCGAUUUGAUAUUUUACGCGAAAACCUCAAAACACGCGUGCUCGUAAAUUUAACAUAAUAUAUAAUCGCAAUGGUUUGUUAUUAAAUAACAAUGUUUUCGCGGUAUAACAACAUUAUAACAAUAAAUUAUUAGUCACAUACAAACGUAUAUUUUUAAAAGUCGAAGGCGGCCCACUACUCACCAAUUAACUCGCCAAAACACGCAUACCGCGAUUCCCGUAGACAUUAAAACUGGUAAUAAUCAAUCGAUUACCUACACAUAUAUAUUAUGUAUAUACGUAGAUGUUUAUCUAUCCAGAGAUACCUACAAUAACCGCACGAAUAAUUAUCCGCUACGGGCGCUAGUAGGCAUACACAUUAUACACAUAUUAUAAAAACUAAACCUAUUGACUGCAGGAUUCGCCGAUUGUCUUGUAUAUAAUAUACAGAUAACACACUGUUAUAAAAUAUAGGUCGUCAGGCGAUCAACAAAGAUCGGUUGUAUCUGUAAAAAUCCUCUGCUCGUUCUUUAUUACGACGACUGUAACUGCUGCGGUACGCCCACGUUUCAUUUCGACGGUGUUUUUUUAUUUCUUUACGUACAUUUUGUCGUCACGUUAUUGUGAAUUUUACAUCGAUGACGUUUUAAAAUAAAAAUAAUAUAUACGGGUACAGUCGUGUCGUAAUUAAAUUACGACCGGGGAAUUUCAAUAAACCGCAUCACUCCCGUCCGAAUGAUAAAUAGGUACGUUUGCGCGUUAUACCGCGGUUAAAUCCGAUGUUCGGCGGUCAUAUAUUAGGCACGCCGGAAGAAAGUACUGCUACUUAAAACUUCGCGGCAACACGAUACUUCGUGAAUAUUAUAUGUUAUAGGUACACGCGAUGAUCGUGAGCGCCGUUUCUUUGUGUACCGCAUUUCCUUUGUACGCUCCUGCAGUACUCUGUAGUCUCGCUGUACGAUCAGACUGCGUGUUACCGCGGCCUAUAAAGUCACGGUAAUAUAAUCGACUCUUUUUCGCGAUAGCAAACGAGAAUUUCUGUAAAUAGAUACGUUGAUUUUGACGAACGGACGACUUUUAUAUCGAUCGUGACGUAUAUGACUGCAGUCGAUUUAUGCCGAAAUGUCACGUACAUAAAUAAACGAAUAACCGCGGCGGUUGUCGUUGUUAAAUUUUACGACAAUAAUAAUCGUUAAACGAUAUAAUUUGUUUAACGCGAGACCGAGUGAUAAUUACAUUAAUAUUAUCGAGAGCACCUAAAUUUCCGCUCGAACAGACAUAAUAUUAAUAAUAAUAAUACAUCUGCAUAAAUCGUCACUUUAACUAGGCACUUCCAAAUAAAAAAAAAAAAAAAAACAACAACGCACACACUGGGCGAUAGGCAUUGGUAUGCAUUGGUAAACACGUGACUAUUGAGUCUACCUGAUUUAGUAUAUUUUUCUUUUAUAUGAAAUACCUACUAGUUACUUUAAUGAUUAAAAAUAGAUAAUUACUGCACACGAAUGUGCUGUGCAUAUACAAUACAAUACUUUUGAUCGUAACGAUAUUCGUACACGUAUUUCGUAUCAAAAUUCGUGUACAACAAUUAAUUAAAUUUUGAACGAUAAAAUAUUUAUGUAAUUGGGUCAAAAAAAGAUAAUUGGGAAUCGCCGCAAAGCUGAGACCCAAGUGGAUAAAUAAAACAGUGCAGGCCAAUUAUAUUCGGUGAUACUCUUCUAUUGGUCGACGCGUUAUCACUGUUAUCAGCCAUACGUUUAGUCGCGAAAUCUUAAUAUUUUCUGUGCACGCGAUCAAUAACUAUAGGGAUUUAUAUUAUGUUUUUUUAUUUGAGUUUGAAACAUUUAUACUGCGUGAUAGUAAACGCGGUGAUUGUAUUCUGUGUACAAAAUAAGUAGGCUACACUAUAUUUUAUUCGUCUGUAAUAUUACAGUCCGCUGUAAUAUUGACGUAAGGUAUACGAGACAUACCUAAUAUCUCGAAAUAUCUACGAAUAUUCAUCGAGCCUUAUGGUUUAUAUCGGCUGACCGAAAAUUCAAUAAUAUUUAUAGUAUUGUGCUCGUGAUAUUAUACACUCCACAGAGUGCACGCGCCGAUUCUAAAAUUAUAAUAUAUAGUUCGAUAAAAUCGCCGUCCAUUUAUAGUUAAGUGCUACUGGAGUUAUUAACAAUAAUUAUUAUUAGGCAUAUACGGCGUACUAUAUACGUGAUAGGAAAAACAAAUUUAAAUUGUUCCGUUUAAAUUGAACGUGAACUCGUAAUGAUCAUUACUACUAUUGUUAUAUAGUUACCUAAAUAACAUAAUAUUAUAAUAGUUCGUUUGUAAUAUACUAACGAGAUUAAUGUAAUUUUAAACAAAAAAAAUGAAACACGUGUUAAUCUUCACAAAGCGUGAAUUGUUUAGGAAGAAAAAUGUGUAUAUAUAUAUAUAUAUAUAUGUAUUUAAAAAAAAAAAGAAAGGCCGAGAUAAAAAAAAUGGGGUAAAAAUGGUAAUAUUCAUAAUGUACGAGUAUUAUACGAAUACAUUUUAUGUCGAGGCACGCAAAUUGAAUCGACACGCUGACGUACCUCCUCUUUUGUGUGCUGUAUCGUGUAACGAAAACAAAGAGGUCGCGUUAAUUAAAUGACACCGUAAUUAUAGGUUAGGUAUUGAAUUUUUUUUUCUUCACACAUACGUGAACACCGCAAACACUAUCUGUAGACAUCGCGCCUAGUUGCGUUAUGAUAGGAUAGGCGUCUUGAACGCCUCGGGCGCUUGUAAGUUUAAACCGUUUUAUCGUCGCAAUUAUCGUCUUUGUAGACUCCCGAGACUUCGCUGUCGUCGUUUCUCUCGUGUUUGUGCUACACGAUUAAUAUAGAAAUUUCUAUAUUUUUUUUUUUUUUAUAAUAAUAUUCGAUAUCGAUUGGUAUUUAAAAUUACACAUAUCAUCAUUGUAUAGGUUGUUUAUCAAUUGUAUAAACAUAAUGUGUUGAUUUCAAAUCAAGUUAAGUUAAACAAAUAUCUGCAAUUUCUUCAACACGAUAUUAAAUUUACAAUUUACAGGUGAACAAUAUUUUCUUGAAUAUUAUUGUGCGAUUAGUAUAACGAUAAUCGGGGUCAAUCAUGGACGAAAUACUUUUGUAUUUUUAUUACGCCAUGAAAUUUAUAGUGAAUAUCCAUACAGUCAUAUCGAGCUAACAGAUAGAUAGAUAAGUUAAAUAGAUAAGUAAUGAGAUGUUUCAUGAUGGUGUGAAUAAAAAUAUUGAAUCAUUUCUUCCACGACUACUUAUCCAAUUACUCAUUAUAAUUUUUGUUUUUGCUAUUUUAAUCAUUUGAAUGGAGUUUUCAGUUUACGAAAUAAGUGUAUUCAAUAGAUAUUCUCGUAAUAAAAUCCACGUGUUAAACCAUUAAUUACCGUAAUUUUUGCAAAAUCGCUUCUGGGUUAUAAUAUAAUAUAAUAUAUAUAUUCACGUAAAACUAUAAUAAUUUUACAAAAAACCAAUACAAAUUAACUCAACUUAAAUUAAUAAAUACAGUUCAUUAAAUUUGAAUUCGUGGUUAACUCGGUGAACCUGAGUAUAAUAAAACAAUCAACUUCGAAUUUAACUGAUUUAAUAUUAUUUGCUAACUAAUUGAACAACCUUGAUAACAUUAUUAGGCCUACAUUAUUACAUAAAACUAAUUUAUAACAAUAAUUUGUUAAUAUUAUAAUAUUAUUUCAAUAGUCGUGCAUUUUUUGAUUUAUUUUUUUUUAGAUUCUGAGUGAAUGUAUUGGUUUAACGAUGAUGUUUAUUUUUUUAGUGUGUACCAUUUUUGUACCAGAAAGCAUACUCUGAUUAUCAAAUAUAGCACCUUUUUUGAAAGCAAAUAUUUUCUGGGUGGUACUUUAAAGAGGUUAUUUUUUUGAAAUUCUGAUUAAUAUUCGAGAUAAUGAAGAAAACUUGGUUCUUUAGGUUGAAAAUAUUGAAAAAUUAAAAAAACGGCUGUCAUUGGCAAGCGUUUUUAUUUAUUUUUUGUUAUUUUAAUAUUUUUUAAACAAUUAUUGUUGUCAUGGAAACUCAUAUUGUUGAAAUCAUUUUAGCGUAAUAGAUCCCAUAUUAUAUUUUUGACAAAGCAACACUGUCAACUGAACUCCGUUCAGAAUUGUUUUUUAGCAAUGGUUUAUCGUUGCUUAUUGAUAUACAUUAAAUUCCCGUCUGUAUCCUACCUUCCUGAAUUCCCACUUACAACAGUGGCUGCACACACGUGCUAAGUAUAUCCGUCCUUUUUUGUUAUAAUUGUCCUAUUUGCUUAUUAAUUUAUUAUAAUAUAAUAUAUAGUAACAAUAGAGAAAGAGAAUAAUAAUAAUAAUAAUAAUUUGAAUUACUUCCUUGUUGCUAUAAUAACGACUCGGUGGAGAAAAUAAUAAUUAUAAAUUAUCGGGUCAUUAUUGCAACAGGAUCUUUAUCAGCAAUUUGCAUCAUUCUCUAUAAUGAUGAAGUAAUAAUAUAAUUUUUAUUGUGUCUGUGAAUUUGUAGUGAAUUGUUUUAGCCGAUUUUAAUGCGUGUAGAUUUUUUAUUACAGAGUUUGAAUCGUGUGUAUUGUGUACACGAACAACGAAUUUAGUAAAUUGUGAAAUCUUCGUGUUUGAUUUUUUUUUUGGCCUAUUUUAUCGUUUUAAAUUUGUAAGUAACUUUUUUACCUUUUAUGGCCAUUUUUACAUAAACUACAUAUUUUUUUUUUAAUUUAUACAGGUUGUAUAUACUUUUGUUUUAUAUCCAUGUGUUUUCAAAUAUUAUUUACAAGCUGUUGUACUAAAUACAAAUAAUAACAAUACUUUAUUUAAAGUUGUAUAGUGCCUUAAAUGCACAAAUUUAAUUGUUAUACUAGAUUCUCAAUGUACCGAAGAUAAUGUUAGUUUUGCCAAGAUAGAGUUAUUUUUUCUCGGGAACCCCUAUGUUUUUUUUAGUCAGGCAAAAUGUUUUUAUUAUAAAUCCAUGCUCCAAAAGUGCAGAUUUUCCGCCCUAUGUGAUACUGUAUUUGAAAUUCCCGACAGCUCUCUUCUAAAUCUUUUGUUAUUAUUAUUUUUUUUUUGUAGAGAAAAACACUUUUAGUAAAUAAAAAUGAUUUAAAAUGUUUAAACGUACCUCCCUUAAAAGACAAGUUUUUCUCCCUACUUUACUUUAUUUGAAAGAUGUUUCUACAUUUCCAACGGCUCUUCUAAAAAAUUUAAAAAAAAAAACUUAACAAAUGACAGAUACUGUGGUUUUAUUUUUAUCGAUUUAUGGGUUGUUAUAAAUAUCCUAUACCUUCUCGAAUUCUUCCACACAACACAGUGACCCACCGACAGUACGAAAUAUUUCCGGCUUAUAUUGUAUUCACUUUUAUUGAAAUAUUUUGUUAUUCUCCGCGUGCGAACUAAAAUCGAAGAAUAUUGUUCGGCGUAGAGUGAUAUUGUAUACUGUCGACGAUAACAACAUUAUUAUUUACAAUUGAAGGCCGAAAAUAAAAUUUAAUUACAUGUCACCGUAAUAAUAUAACACAGUGUUGAACCAACGAACCCUGGCGUGAUUGGAUAAAAAUAAAUCUUUAUACUGAUCACUUGGAUAAGUAACAGUACAGCGAACAAAUAGUUGCGCGUACGAGGAUGUCGGCGACGAGAGAUAGUGCAACUUAAUAUUUUUCAGUUUUUCUGUGCAAAUAUCAACAAAAACGAGCGAUUCUCUUGUAUUUCAAUAGGUAUACCUAGUAACCAUGUUCACGCGAUUCGUAUCCAAAAUCGAGUUACAUUGUUAAAUAGAUGUUGAAAUAGAAAAUAAAUAGAUACAUUAACGGUAUAAAUGAAGCACACUUUGAAAAACAUGACGCAUAGUUUGAUUUAUUUUAAACCGAUCGAAAUUUCAACAGAUUUUCAAUCACCGAUGUAUUUGAAAACUGACGUACAAUUUCACGAGCUCGAUUCGUAUCAGUUUUCUAACUACGCCUGCUUGGUUUCGGCCGUUUGAAAAAUUAAUAAUAUUAUGUACAUUUCCGCAGCGUUCGAAUACAAUAGUAUAUAGUUGGUAUUCAACGCCUUGUCAAAAUACCGUGUCAGUUUAACUUGAAAAGUAUUUAAACGUUGUAUAGUAUAUUAUAUCGGAAUACAUUACAAUACUCAUUCAGUACAACCCCACUAGUCGAAUAACGCGAUUUGUUUUUUCAUAGUCCGCACGUAUACCCGUGUAUCAUUAGUAUAAGACACGCGGACGGUCAGCUAUGAGAGAGGUUACGACCUAUACUGCAGUACCUAUGUGUGCCAGGUGAUAUGAUAAUAUAUUAUAAAUCUCGUGGCGCCAAUUACUACGAUUACAUAUUAUAUGGGUGUAAUACGUAUUAAAAAAAAAAAUGAUAUUAUUAUUAAGCAUUAUGGCUGUGGACAGGUGAAAUAGUGUAUCGGCACAAGGUCAGUGUACGCGUUUGUCGUUUGUAAUCUAAUAUACACAUACACAAUAUAAUAUACUUCGAUAAAAUAUUUUAAGUAUAUAUUCUACAGGGUGAUUUCAACUAUUUUUAUUUGACAAAAAAUAUUUUCCAAUGUAUAGGUACUCCUAAUAUUACUUAGAUUACGUUAGGUUAGGUUUAAUAAAUUCGUAUUAUACCGUAUGCUAAUAUUAACUCUUCAUUUUUUAAAAGGAAUAUGUUAACCUUUUAAAAUUUAUCUAUUAACAUACUAUACCCAAUAAAUAUACAAUAAUAUUAUACCUGUAUUUAGAUGACAAUAAUAACCGUUUUCCCUACUACUCCUCAUUCGGACUAAAAACUGGGUUGUUUUAAACGUCAAAUCGUUUGAAAAUCAAAAUUUGACAUUUGUAUGUACAGUAUACUUUUAGUUAUAGUGAAUUUCCGAAAACAUUGUAAGCGACAGACGGCGGAAACGAAAUUGAAAAUCGAUUUUUACUCAAAAUUUACGUGUAUUAUAGCCGGAUCGUUGGAUUACGGUCGAAAAAACAAUACUACCACCCUGUAUAUAUUACGAUAUAAUAAAAUAAUAAUAAUAUUAUACGCGAAGAGCAGACCGAUCGUAUGGCGAUAGUGACAAUAUAAUAUUAUGAGCGUACAACAAGUCGACGACGGCGCACGCAGAAAAUCAAUUUUCCACAGGUGCGCGUGUUGUGUCGUGUCGGUGCCAAAAAAUGAAAAAAAUAAAAAUGUAAUAACGAUAUUAUUGACGGUAUAUUAUACACGUGCGUAUAAGUUACUUCGGGUAAAAAAAAAAAAACGUAUCGUGUUACGUUCAUCGACAGGCAAUAGUAUAAUAUAAUAUUAUUGUCUGUGGCCGUCGUCCGCAUGCAGCUGCUGGUAUAACACACACCGGACGAGCUCGUCGUUUCAAUAAGGUCAACCAUAUAGGUUCGAAUGACAAUUGUUUUUUUUUUUUUUUUUAGUCGUGCAUUUUUAAUAAGAAGUACUAUAUACAUUUUAUAUGAAAAAAAAAAAAAAACCAAGUGUAUUUGUACAUUAUUCACGAGCUAUAGGUACUAAAGAAGUUUAUAAGUACCUACAAGUAUAUCAUUUUUUUUUCAACCGUUAUUAUUUCUUAAAAUUAUCUAUAAUUUCAUACCCACCGUUUUAUAUAAUAAUUACCAUAUUAUUUUGUGCGACGACGACGACGACGGUAUAACGGUAAGAGUAUCAAUCGGUCACGAAAAUAUCGAUCGUAGGCAAGUAUAGCGUCUUGAGUGAACGCAUUAAUCAAACGACAUUUGACGGGCGAAAAGAUGUAUCCGAGAAGAAGAAAUAAUUAUUUCCUGUUUUUUCCUGCGCGAAAAGCGGUACAGAUAACACGACCUCAUGCCUAUAAUCUAUAAUAUUAGUUAUGAUAAUUCAAGGUUUACCGCGUGAUCAGCACGAAUUCGUAGCGAUUUUCAUGGGGUAGGAGGGAGAAAAUGGGAAGUUAUUUUUAUUUUUUUCUUCUUUCCGGAUACACCUUUUCGCUCAAUAUCAGAACGCGCGGUCUGGUUUUGGAGAAAUACGAGACACGCAGGUACACGCUGCUAUGGUUGAGAAGUGUGCACGGGAUGGACCGCGGCGUGUAAGCGAAAACUACACCAUCAGCUAUUAUACCCGACUAUCGACUAUAUCGGACGGCCGAAUGACCGAGAGUAGGGUACGAUGACACGAUAAGCGAGAGAGACGAGAGGAACGCGGGAAGGACGCGGAUUUAUAAUGAACGAGAGUGGAAUGAUAACGUCGUAUAUAUACACCCAAAUUGGAAGAAAUGAACCGUGGCCGGUAAUUCGACACCGGUGUCGGGGGUAUGGAAUGGAAGACGCUGCGGACAAGUGGUAGAUGGUACUGCGGUAACGGAGGAGGGACGACGGCGAGAGCGAAUUAUUGAAAGUUCUCCCCGGGCUGCGGGGGAAACGAUCUGAUUAUGGGCCCGGCCCGCGAGAACGGGGGAUUACUAUAAAGGGGCCGACUGUGAUGUAGCAGAUAAGAAACGGGCAGGCGUCUCUGGCUUUUCACUGCGCCAGCGUCGGCGGCGACGAGGGAUAUUUUCCUCUGUACAUUAGCCAAAGGCAAAUAACAUAUAUUAUUAUAUUACGUAUACAUGUAUACAGAAGAUACCUAUACAUAAUACAAUGUAAUAGCUGACGGCUGUCGAGAAGUUCGCCGCGCCGUGUGCGCCCCUCGUUUUCGGAAAAUAAGGUGUACUUUGCGGUUUAUAAUAAUAUAUCCGUCGCACACGUCUCGCAGAACGCCGGUGCACAUUUCAAGAGUUUCGGUUAACAAACCGGCCGAGAACUUUUAAAUCGGCCGUUUACGCGGACGCGUGUGCGUGUCUCUCGUGCAAUACGAUUAACGUUAUAUCGUGUUUGUAAUAAUACCGAGCACUGAUUAAGAGAUGGGCAAAUUCCCGAAAAAUGGAACAAUUAUCGACGAUUAACGUAGUAGUAUGUAUAGAAAAUUAUAAUAAACGUACGUUUAUCCAUAACAGAAUCGAUUCCGGUAGAAUAGCUCGAGUCUAUACAAUAAUGAUAUUAUAAGCGAAAUAAAAACAAAAACAAAAUUUAUAUUUCCGUAAUUUUGAUUAACGAGUAGCUAUACUUUAAUAACUGCAGAUAUUAAGUAAUCUCCGUUUGAUUGUGGACCCGAAUGAACCUUUAACAGUGUGAAUGUGUGACCAGUUUGAAGAGUAGUGACAGAAAAAUGUUUUCAAAUUCGAGAAGAACCACUGUAAUAUGCCGUGGAAAUAUUCCCGAUGAACUCACGAAUAUAUAUAUAUAUUUUUUUUUUUUUGAAAUAUCUCGUGGCAAAACACCGUACAAUCACAAGUCCGGGUUGCAAACACCGAAUGCGUAUAAUACAGACCCCCGACACUAUAUAUACGAGUAUAUUUAAGUUCUGUACAAUUUUAAUGGCUCUGUAACGAGUAAAUAAUGUUGAAUAAAAUAAUUUCUAAAUAAUUGAAUGCCGAAACACAUUUACCGCGUAUAUGUACUGAUAAAUCGGUGGUUAUGCGAAGUGUUCUCGCAAAAGCUUUUCCAUCCCAUUUCUUUCGGGCCGCAAAAAGUACACGUUUAUAAUAUAUAUUUUUGGAUUUCAAUGCGGAAAUCGGAUACGAUUCUCAAAUGUAAGUCUAAGGUCAAUCCAAUCUGUAAAGAUUUCGGAUACAAAGUCGGAACUGUAAGUUACGGCAACGUUCAGUAUGUUAUUUUAUAGAUCCGUAAGCGCGAUAUAAUGAUUCUGUAAGUAGCUACAGAACGUCUACGCGAUCCGUAGUGUUCUGUUUACUACCGACUCGUACAUUGUCAUUUUAAUUUUGCCGGAUUCAAAAACGUUACAUUUUUCAAUUAAUUAACAACGCCGAUAAAUUUUACUGCGCGCGUAAAUGUGUACGCGAGAUUUUGCGAUUUCAUUUUCUAAAAACACUCUCGGACAAAAAUCAAUAUUUUUUCUAAUAACUUUAACAGUGUAGCGUGGUGCUUAUUAUUAUAGGUAGAAAACGACGCUGGGAAAAAGUGACGCUCCGAGUCGGACGAUUUCUAAAAACACUGGAAAUUAGUAUAUUAUUGCGUUCGACUUGCCUUAAAAACCGAUUUUUAGACGACGUGUUAUACGCACCCAAUAACGGACUCUUAUAUUAAUAAAACAGUCUCCCUAAGACGGCGUCUUUCGUUCGUAUGAUUCCCAUUUCAAAAGCUCCGGUUUGCACGAAAACCCCUCUUGACCGUGUUCGCGGAUUCCCUUUCAAACGAAUUUGUAUGUCGGGAGGUUUCGUAUACGUUUAUAUAUAUAUAUGUACCUAAUACGUAUUAUGCGGAGGACUCAAACUAAAGCAGGAUUAACCGAUUUUGCGGGGUGACGUAGGAUCUGCGGGGUCAUGAGACAUUUUAUGUUGUUCGACUGCCUGGCAAUUCGUUUAGCGGUUUCCCGAGGGACCGAAAAACAAUUCGGAAUAAACGAUUUCGCGUCAAAAUCACACGGCCGAACGCGAAACGACGCACGUUGAAUAGCUAAACACGAAUAUUGCAUUUAUAUGAGAAAAAAUGAGAUGAUAUUGGAGACGGGUGCGGUCACUGUUGUAGGCGAGUAGUUGAGAAGAUGGGAUACAUAAAACUAUUUAAUUUAUACCUGUAACCAACGACGAACCAUUGCGAAGUUUGGUUACACACAUGUUCUGAAAGGCCAUAAUAUUUAUAAACGAUUUACGAUAUGAUUUUAAAACUCUAAUAAACUACAGUGUAUUCAACGAGUUUUUUUUUUUUUUUUGGGCCACUAAAACCAAAUUAAAAUUUGAUAUAGUUUUGAAAUAGAAUUAAUUGAAUUGCAAUAAAAAAAUAAAAUUUAAAAUAACAGAAGAAUUAUUUUUGUACAUUUUUUUUCUUCAUAAUUUUCCAUUCUUUUACGUAUUUCUCAGUUUUGCUCAAUUAUUUAAAAACCAUAAAAAAAUUCGAAAAAAAACUUUUUUAGUCACCAACUAUAUUAUAAAUUCAACAAUAAAUAUCACAUGUUAUUUUUCUAUUGGAACAAUAUUUUUUGUAGAAAACAUACAAGUUCAGUAAUAACCAACAGUUUUUUAUCAUUAGCAAUUAUUAUUAUCGAGCCAAAAAAAUGUGUAUGUAUAUUUUUACCGAGAAAAGUGUUAUUGGCAAGAAAAUCGUCUAAAAAUAAAAUAUUAUUUACGAAGAAUAUAUUUUAUAAAUACAUGCGAACGUUUGAUGUAAAAUAGAAUGCAUAAUAUAUAGUAUUACAGUUAUGGAAAAUAGAGAAAAUAAAAAUGGCAAUUUCUGAACACGAAAACACACUGCUGUUAAGUCAAACAGAUAGAGGAUCGCGAAAACGUUGAUUGCAGGUCAGCAAGAUACCUAUACAUGAGUAUAGCGCGAAUUACUUACUUGUUCGGACAUUUUUCAAUCGUAUAAAAAAAAACUCUUGCAUUCUUCCUGUCAUUUCGGAUCGGUGCUGCAGUGUCAGAGCUAACUAUAGAGUGCGAACUAUUCGCAUUCCUAUUUCACUCUCGAUUUUAAGUUAAAUAAUAAAGUAUAUAAUUGGAAACAACGGAAGCCGUGUAGGUACUGCAGCCUUCAGAGAGCGAAACCCGAUCGGAAUAUUUUUCGGUUCGGACACAAAUCGACGUCCGUAGUCCAGUAGAAAUUUUGAUCAAACCACGUCGCUACACGUAAGUCUCAAAUAAGUAAUUCCGUAUAAAUAGACUUGGUAUAUGGUAUAUAUGUAUACGGUAUAAAAGUAAUACAUUUUCUUAAGCGGUUAAGAGAAACGUAAUAUUAUUAUUAUUAUUAUUAUUAUAUUACAUCGAGUUACCCUAUAAAAAAUAAUAAUUUAUUGUAAUAGGGUAUACGGUAAGUUUUUUGAGCAUUUAGGUUCGUCUGUCUGUCGCGUACAUGCAAUGGGUAAUAUUAUGCUCGAGGAGGGUCAAAUUUAUACCGCCAUGAAGAUAAUAUUAUAUACAUAAUCUAUACGAGUUUAUUGAAGACACGUGUUUCGAAGCGAAACCUGGACGAUAUCAGUAGAAGAACAAAAUAAUUAACGCGUUUGAAAUGUGUUACUAUACAGAGAAUCUUAAGAAUAAUCCGGGCUGAGCGGAUAUAUCGAAUGAAAAAGUACUAAUUAUAGAGUAUAGAUAUAGGAAAAAAAAACACUUUAAUUAUGGUAAAGUUUGAUAAGAAGACGAAAUGGCUAAAUCGGCCGUCGUAUACAACAUAAUUAGAAAAUCAGCCACGAAAGUCGGUUGAAACCGAUUGUAGGGGUUAGCGCCGAAGGGGAGAAUCGCGUAUAUAGGAAGACCUACAGGCUGAAAUAUAUACGUAUUAUAUAGAAAUCGGAUCACGAAGGUUCGUAUAUUUGUCAAAGUUUCGCCCGAAAAUAGAGAUUAUUUCACUGUAUUGUAUAUUGUGUAUAAUAUAUAUUUUUUCCUCUACUUUUGGUGUGUUUAUAGCCGUCACUUCUGAAUCAAAUAAUUUCGGAUUUGGGAACUACAGUUGUGUUAUAGGCUGACAACAUUUUGGUUGAAUUUCAAUAAGAAUUUCAGCAUGUCGUUGCGAAAAAGUGUAGGGUUUAGCUUUGUGUAGCCCUUAAAACUUGCCAAAUAAUAGGCAGGGGGAGAGUCGAAAUUUUACAUAUGCAUGAUGCAAGUACCGAGGAUUUCUUUGCAAAACCGUUUUUUAAACACCCUAUUAACAAAACACGCCGUCGAUAUUAUUAGGAAUAUUUUCCAUUAUUAACGAUAGGUAUAUCUUUCCGUAAAAAUAAAACGAUAAGAUUCGGAGAUCCUAUACGUGUUACGUAGCCUGUGCAUAUAGGGCCCGGAAAUCCUGCGUAAGGAUAUAGCCGGCGAGUCGUAGGAUCCCUGUGAUGAUCAAAGACCACGUGUUUUAGAUUCUAAGUGGAGCGAAGUAUGGUUUUACAAAGAUGUUUUUUUUUUUUUCUAUGGAUGAUUUUCCUACCCGAAGACGUGCUCCGAUUUUAACGUGUAGCACUUUUUCUGGUAAAAAAAACCGGUAUGGGAAGGUACCUUACAGGUUAUUUUUCAAUUUUCUCAAGAGUUGUCUCGUCAAAUGCGAAAAACCGAAAGAAAAAACGGGGAAAUGUACGAAAUAUAUUUGUAUAAUAUUACGAUAUUUUUUUUUUCUCUGGACAACUUUUCUAUCGGCAAUUUCGCUCCAACUUAUAACGAUGGCAAUUUUCUAGAAGGAAAUUUCACCGCGGAGUUACUUUAAAGACGUGGUUUUUCGAUUUUCUCCGGAGUUUUCUCGGCAAAUGUGAAAAACUGGGGAAAACCUUGGGAAAACCGGGGAUAUCGGUACAACUUUAAACAGAUAUUAUUAAAGAAAGUAUAUAGAGCCUAUUUAAUUAUUUUACUAUAAUAUGGCGUUUAUCAUAUUGUUGACAAAGCAACACUGUCGACCGAACUCCUCUCAGAAUGGUUUUUUUUUUUUUUUUUUCGUAAUCAAUGGUUUAUCGUCUUUUUUUCUUCCCCCCCCCCCCNUUUUUUUUUUUUUUUCGUAAUCAAUGGUUUUUCGUCUUUUUUUCUUCCCCCCCCCCCCCAGCAGUCGAUUCGGCGCUUCACCCGUUCACACAUCGCUUUUCGGUAUAGAUUACAAUUAUUACGCGCGACGGUCCAAUAAUUGCUGCGCCCGGGCCCAGGAGACGGGUGGCGCGACCGCGUCGAAUACACAGAGGUCCGUCGUCAUCGUCCGCUAUCGCUGCACGCGCGCCCGUACCCGGUGUUGUGACGCGGCCAACAAUGACCCUUGCCCCGCGUUACCCGAACCCGUCCGGUAGUAAGGUGUAACUGUGCCUGAUGAACAUACGCCUAUCCAUUGGCCCGCGGGCGCGUCGCUGUGUAAUGCAACGCGGAACAUUUGUUGUUCGAGAGAUUAUCGAUUUCGGGAAAGCGCGGACCGCACACCGCGAUCGCGAUUACAAUAAUAUUAUAACAAUACACGAAUAAAAAACCAACGAAAAAUUACCGGUAUAAUUAUUAUAAUAUUAUGUACGAUUAUCGAUUGGGUAAUUAAAACGGUUUUAUGUGCGUACGUGAUUUCUCGCACAUUACAAAUAAUAUCAUCGCGUUCGGUCAGUAACACGCAACGCCGUUUAAUUAAAUUCGGGAUUCACGAAUAAAUACGAGUUGUUAUUCGUCGCGUCAUGACACGCGGAACGCCGCAGAAGAGAGGCGAGUAAUAAUAUCGAUAACGAGUAUGAUAAUAGGCUCGAUAGAAAAAAAAAAAAAAAAUGAUUAUUAUAUCAUGUACGGCCGUCGGCUGUAGGACACGGGGGCAAAAAGAGAAAAAAAGUCCGCGCUAACCCACCCCCCUCCCCCCUCACCGUUCUCAUUAGCACAAAGCGGUUGUUAAUCGAUUGGAAUAAUAAUAAUUAUUAUUAUCUUCGGCCCUACGCACUUCGUCUUUUGCGCUUUAUAGAAAAAAGAAAAAAAAAACCCGUUCGCGACGUUUUAUUUAUAUACGACACGAGUGUCGAGGCGAUGGGAGAACGAAAAAAAAAAAAAAAACCACCGUAAGAUACGUGCCCGGACGCAUCGCUCGGAUUACAACGUGCCGCACCAAUUAGCCGCGGUGCGGGCGCGGUAGCGUAACAUUUUCUUUUCAAUCCGUACGGUCCCGCGCGUUUUUCGAAUUUCGACGCGCGGUCUGUCGUCGCGUAUAAUUUCGACCGAACGGCCGCUGUUUUUCCGCACGGUUACCGUUGUAUAUGUGCGCGCGCGCGCUCGUUUCCCCCCCCUCCCCAUAAAACACCGCGUUACACAAUUUUACCAAUAACACCGAUACCCAUGCGCGCGCGAAGCGAUGCGCGCGGCGUUCCACACGCGGCGCUUGAGAAUUCGCCCUCGUUUGUCGUAUCGUUUCCGAAACGCGUGAUUGUGUCGUGGUUAUUGGGCGGCGCCUGUUUUUAAACACGGUCAAACACGAGAGCGCGCGUCUGCGCCGGGUACGCGCAAAACGUUGCGUCGCCGUAACGUACAACCGUUGGUGUGUCGCCGCGGUUUUCCGACACGCGAAAUCGCGCUACCAAGAGACGCCGAACAACCGCCACGGCCGCGGCGAGCGGUCAGCUACGCCGGUAAACCGGCCGGUUGCGAUAAGACGGCGAGCGCGUAGCGGAGAGCACGGCGGCCGUAUUGUUUCGGACGGUCGGACGCGUUCGGGGCGUUCACACGACGAAAUGAAUUGCCACGCGCACGGAUCAAGAGCAAAGAUCUGAGGGGGCGGUGGGUGGGGGGGGGAAGGUGAGAGAGGAAAGGACCCGACAGUUUUUUCACAACACGAAUACAAUUAAAAUAUAAUUGCAUACAUUGUUGUACGUUAUUUUUGCAUGCGCAUCAGUGAUUGGAAUAUGGUGGCAUCGGGAUUUAUAGAAUUAUGGAAAAAAAAAAAAAAAAUCGGAGAAAUAACAUGUCUGAGGAGAGUGGCCCAGGCCCCCUUUGGAUCCGUCCCUGAACGGACAUAAUAGUCGAUGGUACGGGCGUAUAAUACACAGUGACGUACGUAUUUUUCAAGGCGGAAUAUUGGCCGCGAAAAGAAAAAGAUACGGGCGUACGUGACACGCACGAUGGACGGGCUGUUGCAUGCGAGUAGUCGGGAAGGUAUAGUAGAUGGGAAAUUUAAUGUACGCAACGAUUAACCGUCGCUAACGAAAACGAUUCUGAGCAGAGUACGGUUAAUAGCGUUGCUUUGUCAACAAUAUAUAUAUAUGUUAUACAUUACGGUAAAAUAAUUACGUUUGUAUUAUAUUUUUAUUUUUAUAAUAUUUGUUUAACAUCGUACCUUUAUUCUCCUUAAAGAUUUUCGGUCGGAUUUUCUUUUAGAAAAAAAACGAUUUGCUUGAAAAUCUGAAUAAAAUUUCUGGUAUAGAAGCGUUGUUCACGCAAAAUAAAAAUAAAAACAUUGUAAAACCAAUAUAUUCCUCGCUCCGCUCAGAAUCCAAAAUUAGUAUUAAAUGUUCUCAACAAUUGUGAAAACUAUAAUGGCCUCUUUUACUUCUUCGUCUUCUUCUCGUAUCCGAUCGGUGUUUGCACGUGCAUCUCAAUGAGCCAACAUUGCGCGAACAUAACUCAUUCCCUUGUAAUUACAUUACAAUUCCUUCAACAAGUUAAAAAUUCGAGUCGACUCUGAGUUUAAAGUUUAAAUCCUUGAAACAAUACGAUAUUCUUAACCGCGUGUCUAUCGUAGAUAAUUUGCAUUUCAUGUACCCAAUCUCCUUGGUCCGCCUCGUCCGUUGUGAGCAGGCCAUUAUUCCGUUUUCCGUGUCUUUUGACAAUCUAUUGCUAUUGAGUAAAUAACAUUAGUUUUAUUAUUUCUAUAUUUUUUACGUUAAAAACUGCGUGUUACCAAUUUUAUAGAUGAUUGCAUCUUACAAAUUUUUCCUAUAUCUAUGUUUUCGGUAAAUCGUUACUUCGCAUAAUUAUGUUCCAACACGUAAAAAAAAAAAAAAAAAAUGUUUAACGACCGCGAAAAACGUUCAAAAAAUUUCAAUGAAAACAAAAAAAAAAAAAUAAAAAAAAAACUGCUCAAUCAUGAACUUUAUUUGGUAUACUAAAAAUAAAAAAGUGAUAUGAAAAAUGAAAAAAAAAAACGCAUCGUCUUCUGUUAAUAUUCGUAAUAUUCGCGGAUACUUUUCAAAAUGUUUUCUCCCAUAACAAUACGACGGUGUACGUAAAUGUGGUGACGGCGACGAUAAAAAAGUAAAUAAAUACAUUUUUCGGCGUUUAUUAUAUUUAUAUCGUAUAUACAGGGAGAUCAACAUAUAACGUAGGUAAUGACCACACAAUUAAUGUUUUACCCUCUCCCUGGCUACAAAACGACAAACUUAAAAUGUGAAAUAUCAUCUCGUAAACGUGUCAUGGAAACCGACAAUUUCAACACCGAAAUAUAUUUAAUUAACUUAUACUUAAUUUAUUUACGGAAUUUCUCUUAUAUCAGUUGCCAUUCGAAGAUCAAAAGUGGGUAUUGGAUCCACCCCCGAAAAUAAGGAUAACAUAAAACAACGGUUACAUUUUAUAGGAGUGCUAGUUGUUUUUUAAAUUUUCCGAAAAAAAAUUUCGAAAAAUCUUUAGACGAUUUACGUUAUAUUGUUCACUUCAGCGGUCCAUCAGGACUAUCCACUUUUCAAAAAAAAAAAAAAAAAUCUGUGUUAUGUAAUUACUACCACUGCAGUUAAAAAACGAAUUUUCUACGUAGAAAUAAAAACAGAAGGAUUUUAUAAUACUUUAGACGUCAUUUUUAUGCUCCGAAACGAACAAACGUUGUUUUAAUUUGAAAAUAAUGAUACAUGGUUAAUAGAUACACAAUAUAUAACCCAACUUUAGAAGCUUCGGACCUAACUCCAACAAAAUUUAUAGAUGGCAAAAUAAUUUGUCGCUAUGUCGAAAUAUCUUAUCUGUCGAAUGGGUUUAUUACCGAAUUGAUAAACGCCCAAUAACGACUGAGUAAAAUCUUAAUACAGAUUCUAAAUUUUAAACAGUUUAUUCCGCUGGGUAAAAAAAUAAAAUAAACAUGUGUGUAACAAGUUUACUUGAAUAUACUAACAAAAUCAACAAAAUUAUUAUAAUAUAUUCCGUCCAAACGUAUCGAGAUUAACCUAAAAAAAAAUAUGUCUAGAUACGCCACUGUGGAUCGCCCUGUAUACUGCCGAAGUGUAUGUGCAGUGUUAUUAUUAUCGUUGUCGUACCCGAGAGUCGCUCUGUUACGCGAGACACGUUCUUCGCACUGUGUAUUUCAUUUUUCACUUAAGGCACUCGUUCGCAGCCUUCUUUAUAAUAUUAUCAUCGUCCGCACAGUUACUAUAAUAUACUCCCGUCGGCUAUCGCUCACGAAUUCGUCAAAAAAAAAAAAACCCGUCUUAUUGUUGUGGCUGGAGGUAUGGGACAGCGCGGUACUGGAUUUAACUGUUUAAUAAUCGCGCGUAGUCAUCGCCCGUCUCGAUACAAUUAUUUUUAAAAAUAACACAGAACAAAAAAUAGAUUACGUUUAGAAAUAAUUUCAAACUGGAUGAUAAUACUACAUAUUGCCCAGCCCAUAUCAUAAUCAGAGAUUGGCUAUGACCGUACGAACCAAACCAAUAAUAAUAUUGUUACAUUUUCCGAUUUUUCUAAUACCCUGUCGUAAAAAUUCCGGACGUUAACCACUAGCGCUAUUAGUUCACUCAGUCGCCACAAUUAUAUUAUAGCAAAAUGACGCGUCCCAUGAAAAACGCUGAUAAGAGCAGUUUUUUGAUCUCUUAUAUUAUACAGACUCUAUAGAACUAUCCAUAAACAUAAGAAGAAUUAACCAGGAAUCACGGCCGUUUUACGUGUAAUACCAAAUUAUUGAAGGCAGCAGAAUAUAUGCGAGGUAAGGAUUUCCUCGUGGCAGAACAAAUAUCUAAUGGUUUUUAUUUUUCCAUGAUAAUUAUAAAAUAGUUAAGUAUGAAAAAAUACUGACUUAACUUUUACUGUAAUAAAAAAAAAAAGUCUGAGUCCGCGAUUUGUAAUGACAAAUACGGAUUAUUGCAUUCAUAAGACUACUAUAAGAUACCAUAAGAUACUAUUAGUAGUCUAUAAUAAGUACGUAUAAUACCUAUUUACUGCAUUUAGAUAAUCUUUGAUAAAACCGCAAAUGCGCUGUUUGUAAUACAACAAUGGUUUUAUGAUCAUUACCGGUCGAUUUAUCUUAAUAUGUCUAUGGGUUUACCUUUAUUCAUAUUUGAUCAAUUUUAUCGAGUAAACACGCCCACAAAAAAAGGUAAAAUAUGAUAAAUCCGUCGCUUACCUAUAUAAUAUAAUAGACUGCACUGCGUGAUUCGGUGGCGAUCAAAAUAUGCAAAAAAAAAAAACCGUUAGUUUAGUCCUCGAGUUAAGCCGGCAAUAACAGAGUGAGAGUGCACCAAAUAAUAUUAUCGUUUAUACUGCACAUUAAAACGUUUUUAUAAACUACAAUAUACACAGUAUUGUUUUCGUAAUGAUUCGAAAAUGUAAUCGACGGGUAGAAAAAAUAACGAAAUUAACAAGACACGAACAAACUUUAGCUGGGUAAUCUUAAAACAAAAUAUAAAUUAUAUAAAUACUAUACGAAACAAAAUAUAUUGAAGAUUUGAUCAAAACAAAUAGAAAUAUGAAGACUGCUUUACGCGAUUGACGCUUGAAAUAAUAAUAUUAUUAUCUAAUUGUAUUAUUUAUUUUUUAUUUUUUUAUCAACUGAUUUGGUUCUUAGUGAGAGGAAUGUAUUGGUUUUACAAUGAUGUUUAUUUUUUUAGUGUGAACCAUUUUUCUACCAGAAAGCAUAAUCUGAUUAUCAAAUACAGCACCUUUUUUGAAAGCAAAUGUUUUCUGUGUGGUACUUAAAAGUGGUCAUUUUUUUUAAAUUCUCGAUAACAUUCGAGAUAAUGAGGAAAACCUGGUUUUUUGGGUUAAAAACGAUUGGAAGAUUAAAAAACGGCUCUCAUUGGCAACUGUUUUGAUUUAUUUUUUGUUAUUAUUAUUUAUUUUUUUUUGUUAUUUUAAUAUUUUUGAAACAAUCAUUGUUGUCGUGGAAACGCAUAUUGUUGUUAUCAUUUAGUGUAAUAUAUUCCGUAUAUUAUAUUGUUGCCAAAGCAACACUGUCAACUGAGCUCCGCUCAAAAUCGUUUUUUCGUUAGCAAUGGUUUAUCGUUGCUUACAGAUGUACAUUAAAUUUCCGUCUGUAUCCUAACUUCCCAACUUCCCACCUACAACAGUGGUGCACUCGCAUGCGAUGUAUGUCCGUUUGUUUUAAUAAACUUCAAAAAAUUUUCGCUAAAUUCGUUUCUCUGUUUUCAUCGAAUUCGAUUAUAGGUACGUAAUGUUAUUUUUAUACGUGAUAUGACGUCGACUUUGUUGAACGCUUCGGACCGAGGUUUUGAAUGGAUGAUUCACCGCUGGUAAAUCUGUCUGUCAGGAUUUUUUUUUUUUUUUUUAUUGUCCACGUCUGGCUCAUCAUCGCGUUUACGCGGUCAUCGUGCGCAGCACGUGCGUCAAAACGUACGAAUAAAUUAGCGCCGUUCGUAAAAUAAUAAUGAUAAUAACAAUAAUAAUCAUAAUCAUAAUAACGAUAACUACGAUAAUAAAUAUAUGACGUGUAAUACACAUAAUAUUUUAUAUAUAUAUAUAUAUACAUAUAUACACGUAUAUACGUAUAAUAUACAUAGAGUGAAUCGUCGUCGGGGGAUAGACGAACGCGCGACGGAGGUUUAGUUCGAUUUGUCAAACGUGCUCGUUUUGCGAAAUAAACGCGUACCCGGGUCUCGUAAUGAGCCAAACCCAUCCCUUCGUGCCCCUACCACCGGGUAUAGGAGCCCAUCGUAUAGUCCGGUCACGUACUUCGGUCACCCUCCCCGGCGAUGGCGUUUUCCCCGUGUAUAUACUAUACGUAUAUAUUAUAUAUAUAUAUAUAUAUAGGUACGCGCACACACCCUGAUUGGAAAGAAGAAACGUCCGUAUUUCCCUGUAUACAUAUACAUAUAUAUAUAUAUAUAAACGACCGAACGGGUACAAUACGUUUGAAAACGGGGUGCAGUUACGGCGGUGGAGAUUUCGAAAAUUGUUUUUUUUUUUUCCCCAGUCCAAUAUGUCCGAAUGGAAACGAGCAGAAAUGAAAAUGUUAAGGUGUUACCGGGUGUUAGAUAGGUAUAUAGCGACGAAUAAAUAUUGUAUUAUAUAGAUUACAACGACCGGUGUAUGUAGUAGGAAAAAUAAAGAAAGCCAGAGAAACGAUGAGAUAAUAAAUAUGCGGACACCGGGUAUGACGCUGAAGAAAUAGUUGUCAUUCGAGGUUGAGAUACGAUGGCAUAUUAUGGGGAUAGUAUAUACGAGAAAAUGGUGACGGAUAAUAUGAGGUGACGCGGAGCGGAAGCUAAGAGGGUUGAUGAUCACAUCGCAUGCGUGAGAAAAAAGUGAUACUGGUGGGACAAGUUAGAAAUUAAAAUAGAUCGAGAAAGAGAAACGAUUGGAUAUAGUCAAGAAGUCGAGUGGAAUAGGUGGGAUACUAGAUGGAGACCAUAAAAGAGAAAAUAACUAAAGAAAAAAAAAAGAAGAGGUUAUCAGGAGAGAUUAAUGAGGGUUUAUAAGUGUAGUGUAGACGAGAAAAUGGCGACAAGUAUAUUUGGUAUGCGAUGUGAAAGGCGAGAAUAAGAGUUUAGUUGAACCCGACGCGCAACGGCCCCAUGAACAAACGUCGAAGGAAGAGAAUUGUUUAGGUUAUAUUAGUGUGGUUUUUUUUUUUUUUUUUAGUAAUUGACCAAUUAUAUGAUAAUUUACCUCGAACAUCAUUGAAAAAAUAGGAAAUUCCAUUUUACUUCGAUAACAUCGUUUGUUUUUAUUAUUAUUAUUAUUUUUUUUUUUUUCUGGUCGUAUUCCAUUUAAAGGAUGAAAAUCCACAAUCGUUUGUAAACCGUUGACCGGAAACCGGAGUUUUUACCGCGCCGGAAAUUUCGUCGGAAAUUACCGUUUUGUAUACAUAGAGCAUGCAGAAUAUUAUUAUAAGAAAUCGUGUUCAUUUGAAUUCCGGACGGCGCGGCGUGGUACGAUGAAACUACGUGUAAUAAUAUUAUCGAAUGAUAAAGUUUUUACGACUUGCUGUACGACGUCGUGGUCGUGUCAGAUUAGGAAAAAUAUAAUACAAAUUUAGUCUUGAUUAAAAAAAAUAUAACAGCCGUAAUAUUUGUCUAGGAAAACAGGCGCCGUGAACCACACGAACUAUCGUUUUUGAAAUAAUCGCGUUUUUAGACUUGCUUAGCCCAAAAACACUAUAUAAUUUCGUCAUGUCCGCUGUCUCAAAAUUCUUACGACUCCGUCAUUUUUCCGUCAUUUCGAUGAAAUUCUACGGAAAGGUGUGAACCUAUCCAUACAGAAUUGCGCAAUCAAAAAAUUUAAAAAAAUUAUUCAGGGGUAGUUUUCUGUACGUAGGAGGUAAACAUUUUAUUUUUCGCGUGCCCUAUUGUACGGCACAACGUCGAAAUUCAUACGGGAACCUUUGAAACUACACACUCGGGGAUUCGUAUUGGAUCCAUUUUCUAGCAACAAGGCAAACAGGAAGAAGAGAUUAAGACGAGAAAACAAAAGUGGACAAUAGACCAAAACAAGCCCAGAUUAUUUAAAAAUCAUAGAGUCGAAUGAAAUCCGGAUUUUGUCGACGGGCUCGCGUAAUCACAAAGUAAAGAAAAUGGACAAAAAAAAAAACGCCAGAAAACAGGUAAAAAUAAUUUUUGUAAAAACUAUAUCAAGCAAAAGAAGAAAAAAAAGGCACUUUCAAGUUUCAUAUUUAAACUCGUUGUAACAACGUGACAUAAACGUCCGUACAGUACUCCGUUUUAGAUUUAAUGACACAUAGAACAAACUCUAGUUACGGGCAUUUUAUUACGCGGUACAUUUUAUUACACUCGUUCGCAACGACAUGACCGGGACGACGGGGCUUAUCGGUGGAACGUAAAAGAAACAUUUCCCCCUCGAGGUCUUUCGACAAUAUUCCACAGCAGUGUGUGCGGUUUAAUGACGUCUGCGCGUUGCGUUGUUUUAGUAGUACAUGUAUGGUUGAAAUUUCCAAAAAGAAAAAAAAAUACCGCGCAAUUGUAGUAAAUGGCCCGUUACGGCGAGCAAUUUAUUUUGUCGUUAAAUGAGAAAUCGGGCUCCUCGGAAAAAAAAAAAAAACAAAAAUAUAUAAUAAUAAUGAUAAUAAAGGUUGGCGCCGCGAUCUAUCGAGCGGUUUCGCGGCUUUUUCGGAGGGAAAAAACGAAAAAAACCUAAAAACAAAAAAAAAAAAAACUACGGCGAGCAAUAUUUUCCCAAGAUAAAACGAUUUACGGUCAUUACUCAUUGUAGCAAUAUUGUUUGUUUUAUAUUUAUCGUUCAUUCCGUACGCCACUAUAUAGUAAUAGAAUAUCGGGCGCGUACGUCUCUCGACCGAUUUCCCGUAGUCGGAUAAAAUCGAAUUCUCGGCCACGUUUUAUGCGCGUGUAACGCGUGUCCGUAUAACAUACGCAUACCGUUAUAAAUAUUAUAUUGUUUACAGCCGAAACGAUCAUGAUUACCAUAGUGGUUACCUGCGAAUAUUUCACGUGGAAAUGUAAAAAAAAAACAAAAGCAACUAAAAAACAUUUAAUUCAUUAUUUGAUUGAGACAAAUUAUUUGCGUUGUGUUUUGAAACGCACUACGGUCAUCGGUAUCGAUAACUCGUAAACAUAGUGUAAUUUGAAAACGAGUCGACAUUUUUCGAACGUUUAAAAGUUGUACUAACAAUAGAUAGACCAUCUAUUGUUAGUACAACUUUUAAGUCUGUAAGUGUUUUAUUUUCAAAAAACAAAGACUGGAGUAGAUUCGGAAAUUGUAGAGGGUGUACGUUAGUUGAAGAUGACUGGUAUUAUCAAAAUAGAUAUGAAUAAUCAAAUUGAAAAUCGUUAACAUUAACACUGUCGAAAUCCGUCUAGUUUUUGUUUGGUUUUGUUUUUAUAACCGCGAUAAAUUUUAAGAUCCAGGCUCCAGGACCAUAUCGGGGUACCCACAGUAAAAAUAAAAAAAAAUAAAUAAUAAUAUUAAAAAGUUUCACUCGUAAUACUAUCGCGGAUUUCCCGACCCCGAAACGUCGUCCCUGAAUACACACCGAGCAAUAUUGUAAUAUACCACCGCUCUCGCGGUAAAAUGAAAUAUUAAACCCCUAUUUACGUAUUAUACCACGUGUGUGUGUGUAUGUGUGGGUGUGUGUGUGCACGUGUGUUUGAGUAUAUAAUCACAUUACGUACCCACAUAUUAUGCCAAAAGACAACGGAUUUCGUAUACCGUGUGCAUAAUCGAAUUCGGGCCUCCGAAAUAAUACUGUCGUCCGACGUGCGUACGGGUAUUACGAGAGAUUAUCUUUUUGCCGAAAUUCCGCUGUAAUAAUAUAAUAUCAUAUACGGAUACCUUUCUUUUACAGAUCCGGCGAUUAUCUACGAAGAUUUCGUUCAAAAUCGAUUUUGUUUUCUGUUUUCCAGUCAUAACACAGAAUCGUACGAUGCCGAUUUAUCAAUAAAAAUAUAUUUUUCAACAAUUUUCAUCGCUCCCCCUCCCCUUAUUCCGCACUACUCCAUAUAAACACAAAUCGGCUUUUGAUUUUCAAAUAUACAAUAAAUCUCUAAUUUCCAAAGAGAAAAUACUUUUCUUAAAUCUUAAAUUAAGGGGAAGGAGCUAGUUAUUUGAGAAUUAAAAACAAAUUUACUCAUUUAUUAUAGAGGUUUGAAAAUCGUUUUCUUCUCCUAUGCUUUCAUCCCGAAUUAUUUGUAGUCGGCCACCCUCGUCCUAAACUUCUACUUGACCCGAUCUUCCUAAACUGUCGUUGCAAACACCUACCGUUCUCAUAAUAUAAUUCUCAAUCGCAUCCAACCACAACCUUCGGUCUUCCUUUUCUCCUUUUUUCUCCUGCGUUUAUUUUCGAGUUCCUCUUUCUUCAUGACACGUCCGAACCGUAUCAGUCUAGUUUCUCUCAUUUUAUCUACUGCUGAGGCCACGCCCAAAACUACAUUUUACGUACUCAUCGCUUAUCCAGGAAGUUUGAAAAUAUAGCGUUAAAAUAAAAUUUAAAAAAAUCCACAAUUAUUGAAUGGGGAGGGAUAGAAAUAUGAUUUUCGUGAAACCUUUCGAGAAAAUAGCACGUGAUAAAACCAAUGAUUUCGCUACGAAACGUUUGGAAAAAUUGCCCGUCAAUAAUAUACCUAAUAUUACAUAGGUGUUGGUAUAGUGAUUCGAGACAAAAUUAUUGAAAAAAAAAAUAACCACCGCUACCGCGUAUAACCGUUUUUUUAUCGUAUUCGUGUACAAUCUCGAGUCGUCGUGCGAUUAAUUAAACGCGACCGCUUAUAACAAUAUUGUUUUAUGUAAAACCCACCGUAUAUAAUGUAUGGGUAAUACUUGAAAGCAUACACGCGCAUUAUGAUGAUAAAAAAGCGCCGGAAAAAUUUAACGAACGCGGUUGUUUAAAAGUUUUAACGGUUCAAAAGGUCUUAUACAUGUGUAGGUGUACGAGCUCCGAGCGUUUAUUGUUUUCGUGUGAGUGUGUAUACGCGAAAGUUUUUAGCUCAGCUCUCGUACACAAUGUUAAACACGUACGAUCGGUUUCGAGCGUAUAAAAUACAUAUACAAGAGUAAAUAAAUCGCUCGUUUUAUUAAUAAAAAAAAAAAAAAAACACCGCGGGAUUGGCGUGUUUUCAACAGUCGGACUGUGAAAUUAUUAUUAUAGUUUUUUUUCGAAUUUAAAAUACGCGUUUCAAAGUUUAAAAACCAUUAAAUUUCGUUCGGGAAAAAAAUCCCCGACUUUUACCGAAACGUGUUUCGUUUACUUUGUAAGUUAUAUAUUUUUAUAUACGUUUGACGUUAAAUUCAUAAGUCGGCGAUUUUCCUUCGUUUUUUUAUGUCUGUAGAUAAUUUUUCUAGACAGAUAUUUUAUGAAAACCGUAAAAAUCGCGUCAUUUCAAUACAACGAUUAACCGAACAUUACUCAGAAUCGGCUUUGGUUAUCAAUAUUUUGUUUUGUUUCCUAAAUGUUUUAAAAUAAUAAUGUUUUCGCAUAAAGCUAAUGUUUUGCAAAAAAAAUAAAACAUGAAUAGAUAAAUUAAGAGUGGAAAUAGCAGUAAAUUCGAAACACCAUAAACACGCGGUACCCUUGGGAUUGGAGGGGUGGAGGACUGCGUAUUCUGUACAUUAAUAUUCUGAAAAGCCACGGAAAUUAUCAUUUUCGAAAAUCUUAACCCCGAGGAUAAAAUAUUAUAAUAAUUUACAAUGCUUCGAAUGAAAUAUUAAUAAUUUAUUCGGAUUAUGAGUUUUCGCGAGUCCGGCCGCGGUGAUAUUGCGCGCGAAAAAUAAUAAACUCUCGCGGUUAAACAGUUUUUAAUUUCGUUUAAAUCGAAUUCACGUUUAAUGUUCGACAAUAGAGUUCAAAGGUUUCGAAUGAUUGUAUUAAUUUUUAAAAAUAUAUUAGGGCGGUCGGGACGGUUAUUUUUUUUCUUUAGAAUUCCGAUUAUUUUUUUGGUAAUUAAUGUUUUUAAAUAAAAUGUUUUUUUUUUCUUUUCAUCAAUAGUUUUUAACAGUGUGUAAACAAUUUGUUUAUAAAGAACAAUCAUAUUAAGUCAUUCACUAACAUUUUGAGAAAAUUUCGGCAGAUCUACCGAGAGAGUGAAUUGCAUUGAUUUAUCCAUGCAAUAUAUUUUGUUUAUUUCCAUGAACUUAGUACGUACAAUAUGGCUGUCGAUUUUUUGUUUGUCUUCUACUUCACUGUAUCGACUAUAUAAUAUUAUAAUAUAUUGUAGGAUAUACAUAUCUUUACAAAAAUUACGAUAUAGCUCUAUUAAUACUAUUGCUGCAAAAAUUUAUUUGGAUUGAUGGAUGGUUGGAUAUUUGUUAACCCUUUACACCAAAAUUACCGAACGAAUUGAGCUGAAGCUUUCCACAGAUGUAGAUCAGAAAUACCAUACAUAUAUUAAACCUCUAUAAUGUUAUUGGUAUUUUUGAUACGAAAAUCGAAUUAUCUUUGUUGAUUUCUGAUUUACCUUGAUGACAUAUGGAUGAAAUGUUAAAAAAAAAAAAAGAACUGUUAUUAUUAUUUUAUUCGGUUGUCGCAGACUCGAGGUGAAGUAUACUUUUAUUUAAAACGUAAAUCAUACGCUUAACCACUAUGCGGAUAAGGGCUGUGAUGGGAAUCACACGUUAAAUCGAAUUUCUUUUAUUAGUUUCUGUUUUUAAAACGAUUGACCCCGCGAGCCCGGGCUUGGCUACAGCGCAUUGUUAUUAAGUAUAUUUCGAUUUUCUAUCCGAAAUUUUUUCCGUCACAAAGUAGCGUUUAUAAUAUUACUCACUUAUAUAUACUCUUGUCAAAGGGCUUGGUCAUACGCAGUACCGCAUAAUAACGAUUUAAACUCUGGUAAUACACCACGUACUCCGCAGUAAAUCGGUCGUAUAUUCAUCGCGUAAACGAAUUUCCGUGUACUAAAACCAUAAAUCACGGAACUCAUUUACCAACACGUACGACUGUACGAUGUUUAUUAUGAUUUUGUACUUAAACAUCAAAAAGCGCGCGUACGGAUGUACGGAAUUACUCUCUUCAAACCCAGUUAUACUCAAUAAUAUACUUUUGACUUUAUAUCGUUUGUUUAUAAGUACGCUGUAUUUGUUGUAACGCGCGUGCGUAAAUACUAUAAAACAAAGUAAAGCAUAUAAUAAUAUCAAUGUAGUGAUAAAAUCAUAUGGUACAGCGUUCUGUCGUUUUCGAUUUACAUCGAAAUAUAUUUCAGAUUCCGAGGGGAACGAAGAAUACGUACUGCAGGUAUUGCACUAUGAUGUGUGAUUUUUUUUUUUUUUUUUUUUAGAUCCCGAGUACUUGUAACGAAGAAGGUAUUAGUUUUACAGAGACGUGUUUUUGUUUCUUGUCGUGUUUUUUCCUCGCCUCAAAAUAUGCGGAUGUAUCACCUGACGGUACUGCGUUGUUUAUUCGAACAAUCAAUUUUUCGAAAAUCUCAAUACUCUUUCCAACCGUCAAUUGCUUUUUGUUAAAUAUUUUUUUUUUUUUUUUAGUCAGGAAAACGCUUCAAUAAUUUGUCCAACCCUUCCCAUCGAAAAAUUGUAUGUACGUCACCGUGUAGGUAUGAUGUGAAAAUCUUUUGAGCAAAAUUUCCCGCGAGCCAACGUUCGUGUCACGACCGACGAAAUAUUGUUAUAUACGUGCGGCGCUCGUACGACAAUAAUAUAUGAGUAGGUGUACGCAAUACAAUUAAUUAGGAAAGUUUAUAAUCGAAUUAAAAAUAUUAUAAUUUACGUCAUGAUGCUCGUGGUAACCAUAUAAAAUGUUUCGCCAUGAUGAAACGAAACUUUUAUUACGACACGUGCACACACACACACACACACACACACACACACACACACUGACAAACAUUUUCGUUUCGCGCAUAAAUCAUUUUAAACAAUAAAUCGCUAUAUUGUCGUGAAAUUGGCUUGCGUUAACUUGACGGUAUUAUUGAUAUUAUUACCAAUAAAUUUCAUCAUCACUUUGGGUAUAUCCGAAUGCUGUGCGAGUCAUUACGAAUGUAACGAUGUAACUCGAUGAAGUAAAUCGGCCAAAACGUUAACGAGCUAAUUGCGAGUUUUAACGCGUUAAAAAUAAUUACAUUUUUUCCAACCAACUAUAUCGAGUACGUUUCUUUUUUCGGUUUUUCUAUAAUCGAAAAUAACGCAGAACAAACAUUUACGGGUUUGUAAGUGAACAAAUUUAAUAUUGUAAACCGAAAAAAAAGUAGAAUUUUUUAAAUUUUGAACCCUCGACUCCCCCUCUGCAUUAUACGCGCUUGCCCUGAACACAUUAUCGAGUAGACAUAAAAAAAAAAAAAAAAACAAAAAUAUGUACAAAUAAUUUGUAGGAUGUUUCAAAUAAUGCAUGUAUAUUAUACAUCCAGUCAAAUUUAACGAAUUAAAAAAGAAAUUAAAAUCGAUUCAACGUGUUAUUUAAGCGAAAUGUACUCGUUAUUUAUUCUGUUAAUAGGUACGGAACGACAUCGAAUUCAGUUAAACGAAAUAUAUCAAAGGAUAAAAAUUGAAACUAACACGACUUUUAACAUUUCAUAACUCGUCAAGCUUUGAUUUAUAAUCACUAUGUUUUUGUGUGCACAACGAAAUCUCGAAUGCGUGUACAUUGCGAAAAAUUAAAAUGCGUGCCUGCGUUUUUAUUACGGGCAAUAAUUGCGUUCAUUCCUCCACUCACGAUCAACAAAACGCCAUGAAACAAAUAGCCACCGGAUUAUAAUAUAGGUAUCCUAUUCGUCUAAUAAAACGACGACGCGCGCUCCUUACUAUACUUGAAAAAUACGAUUUUCGAUAAUUUUUUUAAUAAAGCUUAAAUUGAUUUUGGUAUUUGUUUUUUUUUUUUUUUUUUUUACAUACAUAAUUGUACCGUGCAAUUUGUUCAACUAAUUAUUUUUUCAGUCUAAAUGAUAUGCGUUUUAUUUUAACACGUAUUGUCCUGCUGAAAAUUAAAAUAUCUCAAGACACUAUACGAUAUUGUAUACUUUUUGUUUAUCAAAAAACUCAUAAGUUAUUUGGCUUAAGAUAUGUCGGAGCAAUUCGACCGUUUAGAAAUUAUGCCGCCCGUAAAAAAAAUAACGAAAUAACUAGAAAAACAAAAAUAACGUGUUUAAAGAUAUCGUUUACAAAUACGAACAAUUAUAUACGUUUACAAGUAAAAAUAUAUUACAAAUUUCUCCUCCAAUUUGAAAAAUCAUUUUAUUCGAUUAUUAUUGACCGUUUUGUUAUUUUGAUUAUUUUUGUUUUCGUUUGGUACGUAUCGAGAAUCGACGGCGCACUUAAUAUUCCGGCGCGUUUAUCAGAUAAACAAAUAUUACAUAAAAAAAAAAAUUCUUUUACGCUGUCGCCGUGGAACGUUCUCAUAAUAAAUCACAAUGGUCCCGGUGAGGUGGCAACGGCGGCGUAAAGGUGAAAACAUGUUAUUAUUACGUUGUUUUUUUUUUUUUUUUUUACUACUCAUUGUUUUACUAAAAUAAAAACUCCAAUAACGGGUAACCGGAGGCGUGGGAUGGGGGGAUAUGAUAUUAACCGCAAACGACGACAACGGUGCGGUUAAAAGAUUAAUGAACACAAACGUAGUGAUUUUUCACCCUUGUAAUCUAUAAUAAUAUAAUAAUUCGCGCCGUGGAAUAAUAAUGAAUAAAAAAAUAAACUCCGAAAACAGAAUCGCUGCGGUUAAUAAACGUUGCGUAGUAAGUGCAUAUAAUAUAUAGGAUUUUUUUCUUCGUUCAAACGCUCGAAUAAACUGUUAUUUGUCUUCAUUUUUUUGUUAUUUUCCAAUUUAAUAAUUACGACACGCAGGCGAACAGUUUACCCAUAAUUGUUUGUCACAAAAUUAUUUUCCCGAGUAAAUCGACAAAUAAUAUAUGACUUUUUAGAUUCUGAGCGAAGCGGCUAUAUUUUAUUAUUUUAGGAUGUGUAUGUGUGUGUAUGUGUGAGUGUGUGUGCUUUUAUUGUGUGUGGGUGAACGAGUUUUCUGCCAGAAAUCCAGUAGGAUUUUGGCAAAUUCUCUGCUAGGAGGUCGUUUAAUGAUUUUCCGUCUAAUUUUCUUAAUAACCAGGGAAACCCGUGAAAAACGGGAAAGUUUACGGCAUUAACAGUUUCAUUGAUUUUUUUUUUUUGUAGUUCAAUUAAAAGCAAUAGUAGAGAAUUUAAUUUUUCGCAAAAUACUAACUUUAACCUUUUCCAGAAGCGGUAAAAUAUUCUAUACAUUUUGGCGAUUUUGAGCUAUUUAUAUGCGCAACUAUACGAGUACAUUUGACAUUUCUUUAGUUUUUAUGUAGGUCACCUUAUACGGCCUUAAAAAGCUUAAAAGUUUCAAACAAGAUUCGUAUAAAUUGCGUUUAGUGGUACAAAAGUUCAAAGUUUACGGUUUAACGAGAAUUAUUGUAAAAAUCACGGAAUUUAAAAAUGCGUGACUUCUGUUAUAGUGAAGUGGCUCAGAAUCGUAUUUUGUUAGCAACAUAUUGUUGAGUACUGACAUUAAAUAACUUUAAUUCUCCUUCCAUUCCAAUUUCCCACUCACAACACUAUUAGCAUUAUUAAAUAAACAGUCAAUACGCGCGACGUGUUUCAAUUUGUCAUUAAAAGACGUGAAAGAGGUUUUUUUUCUUUAAUAAGACAAACAAGUAAAAAAAAAAAACAAAACGAACCGAACGUAUAUUGUAAUAUUUUAAAUUUCCAACUCAUUUCCAUUUAUUAUAUAUACGAAGAUAUACCCAUUGUAAUAUCUCCGGAGUUAAUAAUAAAGAUAAUAAAAUUUUGUUUUUUUUCUUCUUCUUCUAUUACUCACGGGGAUACACACUAGAAAUAUCUAUAUUGCAAUUAAUUUCUUAUGCUUCGAAAAACUAACGUUUUACUUCCAUUAAAUUCGUGAACUUUAAUCAUUUGUUAAAGUUCGGAUAAAAGAAGUGUACAGUCAAUUAAUCGUAAUAAUAACAAUAAUCAAUUAGUGAAUUCGAUUGCGGCAUGUUGCGUAAUUAUAGGUGGUUUUCUCUCUUCAUAGUUUAUCCCAGUGUGUAAUAAAGAAUAAAACAACAAAAUAAUUCGUUUAUCUUUAUUAACUCCGGAGAUGUUACAACGGGUAUAUCUUCGUGGGACACCCUGUAUAAUGUCGUAUAAUAUACUCACCAGCCCACGACAUCCAGUCCACCGCCUUCUUCCGCCCGCCGACUCCGAGCGAAAUAUAAUGUCUUUAUAUAUUCUUUUAGGACGUUAUAUAAUAUUUCCACCCUUCCGAAUCCUAUAAUAAUAUUAUACUUAUACGGUCGACUAUAGUAAUAAUAAUAAUAAUAAUAAUAUCGUCCGUUGUAAUUUCAUAGUUUUACCAAGUUAAAAACUAAACGCCAUCCGUAUAGAAAAUACAAAACUUUACCCCGGACCCUAUAUACUAAAACUUCGGUGCAGUAUUAAUCAUUUUGCAUCCGGACAAAAAAGUUUCCUUUGCGAGAUUUUUCUCGUUUCCCCUAUCUCGUGUAUAUCAUACAGUAGUAGAUACAUCAUGAAAUUGAACUACUAUUCUAUAUUAAUGUCUGUCGUCCGUUUGUCCUGUUCGCGAAUUCGCGAAAGUAUUUUUAUAUAAAUGUCAUUUGAAUAUCAUAAUAUUACUGUCACCUUAAAGAGGCAUUUUCGUUCUGCACAGCCGGUUGAUGCACAAAUGCAAUUUGUUUUACAGUAUCAUUAGUUUAGGGGCGAAAAGUAUUGUAUUAUUUUUGAAGCUUAGUUACUCGUCCGAUACCCAUUUCAGUAAAUUUAGGAGUUGUGUCUUUGAUCCUUCACGAUCAACUGUUUUACAAUAUAUUUCAGUCUUUUUGAUCUUCACACGCGGUUUGUCCUUUCAACGUCCACCUCUACAGUCGAUUUCAACAGAUCUUCGUGUAUAAUUAAUUAUAUGGCCAACCCACUCAAUUUGUUUCCUCAUCAAACUUUUUCAAAUUAAGAUUUUUUUUUUUACGAUACUUCAUUUAGUAUUUUUUCACAUCAUUAUUACCGUUUAUCACAACACUUUAUUCGAUCUAAAAAUUUAAUUUGUUUGUGUAACCGAUUACUUAUUUUGAGUACCGCGAUAAAGUGGACAGAUUCUUAAAUACACGAACAAACAUACUUACAUAAAAAAAAAAAUCCCCCGAAGUCUCACUAGACAUUUUAAACAUUUUAACACAUUUUAUCAUAAUAUUAAAAUAUCCUUUGUUUUAAAUCAAUGGCGUCUGCGUUUUAUUGAUUGUUAUUUAUUUUUCCUCGGCAGUAUAGAAUGGCGCGUGGGUAGCUUAAGCGAAGUGUAAACAUCGAGUUAAACAUUUUACUCGGAACGAUUGCGCAAAGAAAAAAUUUUAAAAUGUAUUAAAACGGUUUUUAAGCGUACAAAACCCCAAAAAAAAUGAAAUAACAAUACUUAAUGGCACUAAGAAAAAUGAUAAAAAAUAGAUUUAAAUAUUUUAGUGAAAUUGUAAAAUAACUUCUUAUAUUUGUUUGCACUCUUGACCGUAAAACAUUUUGUUAUAUGGUAUAUUGAAAUGUAAUGUUUUUACGGGGGCGUUUUGUUUAGUAAACGCAAAGAGCUGAAUCCCACCGAAGUGAUGAAAUAUAGUGACUCAACGGCUGUAUUAUUUGAUAUAGCUUUCCGAAAUUCGAUACAGGAUAAGACGUCAAAAACAUCUGAGGUGCCGUUGAGAACGAUGGAAAUUAAUUUGAUGUCGGCUUUGGGACGGCCGGACGGCGUACGUUUAAUCUGAAUUCGAUAAUAAGCAAUCGCGUGAUGAGAAUUUACUAUUUUCAAGGAUAUACGAAAGAAGCGGACCCGUAGUCGAAAAGGCUUAUUAUAGUUCUGCAAGAACUUAUAAUAUUUUGCAGGACACGUUCUAAUUUAAUUUCGAUUUAUGAUUAGCUUUAGACGAGGAAGGCGAAUAAUUAUAAUUGCACCGUAUUAUCGAAUGUAGAGAUGACAUUGACGCAAAAUAAAGUGUGCGCAUAGGCAUUCAAAGGUGCCGUAGGCGACUUCGUGUUAUACGCUCAAUAAAACCAAGGAUUUUGAGAAUAGUUUGUAUUAACACACCAGUGUAUGUAAGUAUGUAAAAGUUUCAAUUUAGAAAUUUCACAGACUCACGUCAGUGUACGGCGUGUACAUAUACGUAACGUCGUCGGGUAUCCGUUUUGAAAAUAUUAUUGGUCAACUAUAUGAGCACGAUAGCAAACCCUACUCGCGUUACACCGAGUGACGGCCCGGGUCGUAUUUCCCACGAUGACAUUGCGGGGCAGCUAUACAGUACAAUAUAUAUAAGGACGCGUAUCAAAUUUUCCCGGAUCGAUUUAAUAUUCAAAACGUGUCACUCUUGCGUAUACGACACUUGUUUAUUUUUGUAUUAACGCCGCCGAACAUUUUGGCCGUAUAGGAAAGCGCAGGAAAAACAGACAUACGUACAAGAGUUUGCUGCGAAGUUGUUGCGAAGGAAAAGAAAUAACCGCGUGCAUUCUCCGCGAAUGUUCCUGCAGCAGAAACUUGUCAAUUAAACCCCUCGCCCUCUACACUUAAAUCCGCACACACACACACACACAUACACACGCACAUUUCAGUAAGUUUUCUACGUUAGAAAAUGCACGCGUCCAAUGCUUUUUAGAUGUAUACAAAUCUUAUAUGUAUAUAAUGUAUACGAAUAGGAUUGAAUAAAAAAAAUUUUCUUUUUUCUUCUCCCCCCCUUCCUUCUAUCGGUCGUACGCUUACUUCUAUUCUCUCGUCAUAUCUCCUUUGGGGUAACUCUUUGUUGAAAAAGCACUUUGGCUAGUUUGAAUAUUAAAUUCCGUACGUAUACAUACAUUCCGUCCCUACCUAACCGGGGCCGCACAGGAUAUCGCGCGUAGGGGAUAGAACUGAUAGAAUAAACCCGGCGAAUAACUUAUAAUAUUACUGCACGCACGCGUAAAAAUAUUUUCAAUAGCCUCUGAAAAAUAACAAACGCGGUUAGUUUAGCGCGUAAGUUUUUGUAUUGCUCUUAUAUAAAAUUCGAUCGGGCGCAAAAGAAAAAAAAAAAUGAGAGCUGAUACUGGGAAUGGGAGCGGCCACUGUUGUAGGUUAGAAGUUAGGAAGGUAGGAUACAUAAGGUUAUUUUAUUUAUAUCCGUAAGCAAUGAUAAACCAUUGCUUGGUGAAAGACGAUUUCAAGCGCAGUUCGGUAAUAUACAGUUUGAAGUACGAAUAUAAAGAUUUUGGAAGUUCAAUAUAAGUAUUAUUACGAAGUUUCAUGUAUCUACGUGUAUCUAUAAACGAAUUAUAGCAAAAAAACUACCAAAAAUUAAAAUUCCUUAAAAGUUCGAAAUUGUCUCAAAAGUUUUGGUGAUAAUACCGUGAGAAAUUAAAUUAAAAAGGCAACAAAAAAGGUGUCUUGUGAUUUUUCAAUUAAAUCAUUUUUUCUGGUAGAAACGUCGUCCGUGUUUUUAUAAAAUAAUGAAAUCGUGAAAUUGUACAUUUUUCUACGUUUUUAUUUAAAAAACGAUGUCAGAAAUCAAAAAAUGACCCCUUUAAAGUACAAUGUAAAUAAUUUAAGCUUUCAGAAAAGUUGCUAUACGUAAAAAUUUGAGCAAGUUUACUUGAAAAAAACGUGUCUACAGACUAAAAUAAAAAAAAGAAAUAAACAUCUUAGUAAAACCAAUAGUUCCCUCGCUACGCUCGGAAUCUAAUACGAAAACGGAACGAUGACGAUAAAUCAAAGCAAAUACAUUUUUCAAACAUGUCUGCUCAAUGUUAUAAAACAGUAGCGGUUGACGAGCUGUCCCGGCGAAUCAGUCCGAAAAAAAAUAAAUAAAAGACAACAUUCCAAUACUAUCUUUAUAUACCGUCAUCAUCUUGUAUACGCCGUAAGUACGUUAUUCCCCUCUCUCCGUUGCUCAUAACGAUUUAAUCUCGGCUGUGAUUUCGUCGCAUUUAAAAGGGAUUACGGCGGUGCGAGUAAAACGCGAGAAAAUAAUAAUAUUAUCAUUAAACAUUACGCCAACAGCUUUAUAAAUAAACCAUCUCAAUAAUAAGCCGUUAAAGAUAAGUGAUAACGCGCGUGUGAGAUAACACGUGUGAGCUGCAGUGCUAUGGCGUUUCGAACUUGGCGAAUUCCGCAGUAUCAUUGCUCGCACAAUUCACAUUCGCACGCGUCGGCGUAAAUUUAAAUUGUGUUCUACAACGUCCGAACGGUUUUCACGACCUCUCUACGUGUUGUACGAGGAAUUAAAAAACAAUAACGAAUAUAUUAUAAUUGAAUACUGCCGAGAGGUUACAAUAAUAUUGUCUUAUGCCGCGGUAUGCUUUUAGAAUAAGGUUCUUUUUCGUCGGGCACACGCGAUGCAUUUGGUCAUAAUAAACAUCAACCAGAUCUCUGGCCUCUCGAUGUUUGUACAUUCAAUCUUAUCUUCCUUAUAUUAUACGUGGUAUUUUCUUCCUGCCUCAUAGGCGAUUUACACGUUUUUUUUUUUUUUGUUUUUUUUUACAUUAAUAAGCUGUAUGCAAUUGAGUAAUAUAAACACUUUUUUCACACUGAUUAGACCGAAAUAUAUAUCUACUUUUUCGUAGCCAAAUAAACUGUUUAGUGAAAAAAAGCAUUGCAAAAUUCGUAAUUGGUUAAGGUAUGAUUGGGACAGACAAAUACGGUCAAAAUCUUACGCUACUUAAAAAACGGUUUAAAGCGCUCGCGAAAAAAAUCACUUUAUGACACACUAGUAUCUGAGUUACUGUCAAUCAAUUCGAUUUAAUUUUUAAGCCAAAAAAAAAAUUGUACGUAUAAAGUCCGACGAUAGACGUAUUAAUUCUUCCGACGGGCAUUUAUCGCGUCUCGGGUGCCUUUCCGUCCCGGUGCUGUCCGGAGUUUAUGGGUUUAUACGGUUCUAUUUAGUAAUACGCGAUGAGUUAUCGAAAUAUUAUUUGUCGAGUAUACACACCGAUUGACGACGGAGAUCGAUAUAAUAUUCUUAUAUAAAAUGAAGCAAAAAUAUAUUAAAUAAAAAGGUUUUUCGGCGGGAUAUACGCCGCUGCGGCGGUUUAUACUCUAAAAAAAUUUACAGAACAAUUAAAGAACGCCAAGAAAAAGUUUUACGAUUACAGUUUCUUUUAUUUUUAUUAUUAUUAUUAUUAUUAUUUUUUUUUUUUUUUUUAAUAACCGCAAAAGCUCCGGUUCAGCAUAAUUAAAAGUAUAGGAGGGAAAAAACGAACGAACGGAGACCGAAAUAUGUUUAUUAACCAUAGAAGGGGUUCUUCGCAGCUCGUUUUUUAAUCCCCAUAAGCCGCGCAUACCUAAUGGGUUUCUUUUCAUCGGUUUCAAUUUUGUAUUACUAUUAUUAUUAUUAUUCAAACCUUCAUUUGGGCAAAAAGCAGCAAUCGACCGGAUACGGAGACUAUUAUUUCAGCGGUGCGCCGAGCAGAAGGCGCCCGGCAACGGAACGAUAAUAUUAUACUAUAACUGUUUUUAAUAUAAAUAUACUACACUCGCGGACGAAAAUGAAAACGGUAGAGAGAGGAGGGAGGAGAGAGAAACCACCGAAGGAAAAAAACUUACUUAAAUAAUAACUGCAGAGAGCGCAAUAACCGGAGAGCAAAUAUUUGGCCGGAUUUUGUUAGUAUUUUUAACGAUAUAAUAUCUGGAAUAUUGGACGACGACGGCGAAAAGAAAAAAUAGACGUCCGCGUUUGUCUACGUAGCGAAAUUCACAUAUACGAUAUCGGAACGUUUUUAUUUUUUCCCGUCGUCUCUUUUAUUAUAUAUAUAUAUAUAAUAUAGGUGUGUGUAGUACAUCGUUAGUUACGCGAGAGAGUUUAAAAAAAAACCCUCACGUCAUUGUUGACUUUUGUCAUAUACAUUUAAUACUACGUGUAUAUAUAUAAGAAACUUUCGUCCGCAUACCUAUAGAGAGGAUGAGUUAUGACACGGCCGACCGUUCAACCGUUCGUUAAUUUCUUUAGGGGAGAAUCGUAUAUAGGAGACACUUUUUCCCUCCACCCGAUCGAGGUGAAAAAAAAAUAUAAGCCAGUGGAUUCACGAAAGAGGAAAAUGACGAGACUAGAUUUCGAGUGAGUGUAUAUAUCUAUAAUAUACGAGUAUACAGUGCGCAGGGUUCAGGGCUAAUGGCAAAUCGAUGAUUUUCGCCGACGACGAGAGAAAAAUACCGUCGUCCGAUAAUAAUUUCUCCAGUACCCCCGAUAUACCAUCAUCAUCAUCCGUCCGUGUGUCCUUUAUUUUUCUUUCGCCGCGGCACGUCGUUAAUACGAUCCGAUAAAAUAAAAUAAAAAAAAAAAAAACUCAAAAAAGUAUAUUGUAGCCGUAUACGUAUAUUGUAUACUCUACUAUAUUUUUUAAUAACUUUCAUCGAUCGUUCGCAACAGCAGCAGCAGCAGUCUAUGUUGCAAAUCCCGCGAAAAACCGAAUUGAAAUUAUUUUUAAUAGGCUAUUUUUUAUCAGCGCGGUUGGCGGUCGGGGAAAAAAAUAACCGCGCGUUCUUCAAAGUCCACAUUAUCGAUUUUUAUAAUAAUUUAAUUUUAAUUUUUUUUUUUUUUAUAAUACUAUUGUACUAUACAAACGAGAAAUACUGUUUUCUUUCUUUCUAUUUAUUGUUGUAUGCAUAUGGAAUCAUUUAUCGUUUAUUUUCACUCUUGGUGUGUUAUAUUAUAGUUUGUUAUUCCUAAUUUGUAUUUUCUUAGAAUAAAAAUAAUCGUUUUUAAAAGACCGUACAAAAUAAACAACGCCGUCGAACGUAACCCCCUUAGACCAAAUAAAAUGAAUUGUCAAAGAUUUUUUUUUUUUUUUUUACGAAUGAACUGAAUACCGUUUAUAUUUUAAACAUAUUUCAAGUGAAGCAUAAUAUUAUACAUUGUGUAAUUCAAAUGACUAAUAUAAACUGCAGAUAUCUGACGGAAAGACAUUAAGGAGCAGAGAAACUGAAGAGUCCGAAAAAAUAAAGAAUUAUAUAGAACACCAUUGUCUGAGAGCUAACGUAUCGUAUACGAAUUGUGUUUAAAAGACGAUUACUACAAUGGUCAGACAAAUGGUGGUUCGAGGAGGUCUAAAGAAGGAUAGCUGAAAAAGUCGGUUCGAUUCGGAGAUCCUGAAGGUGAAAUGUCUAUUAGGACAUCAUCUGCGUGCGCAAGACUAGAUGAGCUGAUAUGAAGUAAAGAUAAAAGAGCAAGGGAUGCAUUAAAGACACAUAUGGAGAUCGUUGGCAUGCAUUUUUAUUGUGAGUAUAUAUGAUCUUUAAGGCCGUAAAAAAAAAAAUAACGAAAAUAAGAUGAUAAAUAUUUCAUACAAGUAUGUAUGAAGUAUAUAAGUAUACAAGUAUACAAGUAUAUAAUAUUGUUAGUUGGGCGCGCAAUAUACAACGGAAAUCCCAUCGAAAACCAGUCUCCAAUAGCCUCUUCUUUUUUACGACUUUGAAAUAUUCGUUUACCGCAGAAGCCCACUAAGUAUCGUCGUAUAAAAUAAUGUGUUUUUUUAUUUUAUUAUUAUUGAUUAUCUCAAUCAUCUCAUCUCUAUACUCAGAGGGAUACUGAAAUUAGCGAUUCAUUUAAAAUGCGAUUUUUCUUUUCCAUACACAAAUAUACUCAGUCUUAUCGAAAUUACUUAUUUUUAAUUAUGUCUACUUUAAUAUUGUUCGAAUAAUUAUAAGAAACAAGACACUAUAUAUAUAUAUAUAUAUAAUUACAGAAACCCGCCAUACGUACAAAAUAUGCUAUAGUGUUGAAACGGUACCGGUGUCUGUAAGAAUGAGUAGUCGAGUAUUUUUAAUAAUUUUCGGAAGUUCAAAGAAAACUGCAGUAAUGAUUAUUGAUUAUUUCAAGUAAUGAAAAGGCGGUCGUAGGACCUCCCGAUGAAAGCAAUUCGUUUCGUUGUUCGUACCAACAAAAUUAAACGAUAUUGUUUUUUCUAAACAUUUGAAGGAGUUACGUAUACACGGUGAAACCAAUGCGUUGUACGAACAUCUAGUAAAUGUUACAUGUCUAUCAAAACGGAAUCGUCGUGAUCAGUUGCGAGCUCGAAGUACGCGGAUUCGGCCGUGGACUUUAAUGCCCGGCUUUACCACUCUGUAAUACUCAUGUUUUCGAUAAUUGCGCGCGGAAACCCACCGCCGUCAACGACAGACUAUUAUUAUAAUGAUAAUAAUAACAUAUAAACUCGCGUGCAAACGAGACUCGACACUUGUUUUUUUAUUUCCAUAUUUCCGGUUUUUUUUUUUGGUUUUUUUUUGUUGAUAACGAGCUGUCGUUUUCAGUCGUUUCCGCGAAUUCGUCAAUAUCGGUACCUCUCGGCGGUAUUUAGCCAAAAAUACAAGUAAAAAAAAAAAUCCCCCUUAACUAUAGUCUGUGUCUUGCUGCAGGGGUAGUGGAGCUCGAAAACCUCCCCGAAAAUAAUAAUAAAAAGAAACCCAAGCAAAACGAGUACACUCUUUGAAAAAAGGUAAUAGCAGCGGUCGUGUCGUAUCGUACGGAAGGAGCCAUGUUUGAGUUAUGUGACACACACGACGCACACGCGAACCGAAUACUCUUUCUCUCUAUCUGUGCGCAUAAAACUGUCGAUGGAAAUAGUGAUAAUAAAAUAAAAGAAGAAGUAUAGAGAAAAAAAAAAUACUUAAGAGCUCGAACAGACAACAUAUAAUAUUUAUAAGUGUCGAAUAUUGCUGCGGGCACGGGGUUAAAAGCGAGAGGGGGAAAAAAGGUUUUCGGAGAUGUUUUUUAUACAUAUAUAUAUUUGUAUACAUAUUUUAUUAUUAUUUUUUUUUUUUAUGAAAACCUUCGCGCGCAUAAACCAAGAAAAAACAAACACACACAUCGGGAGGGGGGGGAGAAAUGCACCCUGUUCGAGUAUAAUAUAAUAUAACGCACCCCUGCCCGGGAGAUUGUUUUUUAUUAAAAAAAAAAACCAAAACAAAACAGAAUAAUAACAAAAAAAAAUGUCGAGGUUGUGUUUCCGUUUUCUAGGGUUUUGUCGGACCAAUCUGAAAAGGUCCCUGCGGCGACGACGAGUUAUUAUUCUUCUUUUAUUCGUGACAUUAUUGAAAUUUAAAUAAAUAUCGUCUUAAACGCGCGCGCGCGUGUGUGUGUGUGUGUGUGUGUGUGCGAUAUUAUAAUAAUAUUACGUGUUUACUCGAUACCGCAACGUAAUGUCGAACACGUGCGCAGUAUCCGGUUCGCCUAAAAUCGACCGCCGCGGUGUUAUAUUAUCGUUCGACACGGCAUUCGGAUAUAUGACAAUAACACACACCGAUUCGAUUGUAUGCGUGUUUUUAUUAUCAUUAUUAUUUUUAAUAUUAUUUUACAUGGGUAAAGAAGAGAAAAGGAUAGAAAAAAAAAAAAAACAGAAAAAGAGAUACUCACCUAAAGCGUUUCGAUUACGGAACGAUGCGCGGCGGUGAUAAUACGACACGGUUCGGACGGGCCGGGCGGCGGACAGAGAAUAUUUUAUUUUGUACAUAAAACGCGGCCGACGUAUAAAAUCAAUCGCGUGCAUUAUUUAAUGCGAAAUGAAAAAUAAAAAAUAAAAAUGAAUAAACUCGGCCCCGCCGCACCGAAAGAACCUUUGACAUGUAAAACGUGACUUUGAAUCGCGUUCUGGCGGUAUAUAGUUUUUUUUUUUUUUAUUGUCGAUAGAUAAAAACGCGUUUUAAAUUAUCGUUAUUACAUUGUGUUUUCUCGACACAGUAUAUUGUUAUAUUCCACGCGAGUACCCGUCGACGUUUUCCUAUCCGUUUUGGUCUGUUGAAAUAUAUUCGGCGGCUAAAUUGCACGUGAGAAAAUACACACGUAAUAAUGUGUAGGAUGAUUUAGUUUGUAUAAUUUGCUCGUGUACUGUAAUUAAAACGUACGACAGCGGAGACAGUGGUUGAUGGAGACUGGAAUCGACAAGGAAAAAACGACGGGUACGCUCGGAGGACGGAGGAUCGGACGGAUAGGUCUCGCGACGCCUUACACCCGCGAGGAGAGGGAAGGGCGCCACUCGUCCACUGGCCGUAUAAUGUGACGAUAAAUUCUGAGCGGUGAUUUCGUGUUUUUAUUUUGAUAGAUAAUUUGAUAACGAUAAUAAACGCGUUUCGUGUAACGGUAAAACGAUUGUCAAAUAACACGACAUUGGGUUAUUGUAUACUUUACGAGACAAAUAUUACGUUAUGACAGCUCCCGCAACACAUUCGGCCGUGAUAGUUUUGAUUUAUUAUUUUCGAAAUAAAAAAAAAACAAACAUCGCAAUCGUUUUUAUAUCGUCAACGCGAUAUUAUAAUAUUUUUUAUUAUCGUCGCAGACGUCUACGUGUAAAACGUAUUACGCGUUUAAUAAUAUUGUAUUCUUAUGGGAGGUACAAUAAUAAUAGUAAAAUACAUUUGGAAAUCCGGACCUAUUGUCCAGAAAUUAUGUUAUUUGAAUGAUAAAAGACGAAACGACAAAAAAAAUAAUAAUAAUAAUAACGAAAAUGCAGCAAGUACAUAAAUAAUCCAUUACCGACAUUAACAAGUCGAACCUUCGUGCUGAGCGUAUUAUAACGCGACAUACGUGUAAGUGAAAAGGUCUUCGGCGCGGUCAUAUCCGCGAACGUUUCGACGUUUGAAUGUUACAACGUUAUUUUCGAAAACCGGAGAUCGUUGAGUGUUCGGGCGUUUUAGAUUCUGAGUGCUACGAAAAUAUGUAUAUUGGACUUUAUACUGAUAAGCGUGCUGUUUUGUUUUUUACAUUUUUUUCUGUCUUUAAUCGACUUUUCUACCAGUGAUCCCGCUCCGGAUUUCGGAUUCAGCAUCUUUUCCCCGCGAAACGUAUUGUCUAGCAUUCUAGUCCGUGCUUUGGAAGGCCGGUUUUUGAUUCUUCUUUUUUUUUUUUUUUUUUUUGGUAGUUUUCUUAUUUAUGUUUAUACAUUUUUAUCAGUUUUAGUCAUGUACGAUUAUACGGUGUAUCGAACAGAGUAUAUUAUUACAUUGAAUCCCGAGUGUCCCAGCCAAAUUUUUGGCGUUCAGUCGGGUCCAGUGUAUUCUCUGUCACGGUAUUAGGAUUUGUUGUAAAUCGUGCCUAUCAGUAAACAUAUAAAGGUCGACGGGGUAAUGCGGAGUAGUUGUUUUUUUUUUUUUUUUUUUUUUUUUUUUUUUGAAAUUUCGACGAAAAUCAUGGAGUUUCGAAACGUGUAAUUCGUAUCGCGUUUUAAAUCGAACUCCGCUCGGAAUUCACGAACCGAAUCUGCGCCCCGGUAACAUAAUACAGUAGUACGUGUUGUGAAAAUUCUGUGCGAACCCACGAAACGUACCGAUACGUUCAGUGUAAUCGACGGCAGUAUAGAAAAACCCGCACGCAUUUCGCACCUAAUGGAUUUUCGUCGCGCGAAAACGAAACUCGGAUCGGCAAGGCGCGCUCGACACUCGCGUUAUAAAUAAUUCGUAUUAAUAAAUAGACCGGCAGUCAGGGAGGAAGAUUUUUUUACCGGUUUUUUUUUUUUUUUUUUUUUUUUUUUUUUUUUUUACGACUGCGGGAACGGGUAAAACGAUAUUAUGCGGCGGCGAAAGAGUAAUAGAUAUAGGUACACGUUUCCCCUCUGUCCCCUCGCCACCUCGUCACACAGACGGCGGCUCGUCAAAAAGGUGCCGCCGUUUCCGAUCAACGAGAUUUAUAUAUUAUUAUCGUAUUAUUAUUAUUAUUAUUAUUAUUAUCAUUGUCGUUAUAUUUAUUACCGUCGCGUCGCAUGCGGUGGCGGCACUUAUUUUUUCGUAUAUACACACCGAUUUGAUGAUUGUCUGCGGGCCACGUGUUCGGCCCGCGUGCGUGUGCAUGUGUAUGUGUGCGUGUGUACGCGCGUAUACACAGCACCGAGUAUAUAUAAUAUGGUUUCGGAGGAAGGAAAGAGAGAAAAAAAAAAUGGAAAAAAAAUCUUUAACGAGACUGCCGGUAAUCAAUCAACGCAACGACAAGACGCGUAUAAACGUAUAUACAUAUACGAUAUAUGUGAACAUAUAUGCGCUAUCGAGGUUGACAUAUUAUAUUUUGUAUACAGGGUGGUUUUAUUAUUAUUGUCAUUAUUGUCAUCCGUGAUUCAGUAACGAUCGCGUCCGCCGAAAAUAUCGAGUAAAACAGAUUUCCAUCUGUUGUUUUAUUGAAUCGCACACUCACUCAAUAAUUUCAACAUUUCGCCAUGGUAUACUCGCGGUACGUAGGCACGGUGCAUGGUACGGAAACCGAAUUCGGGCAGGGAUAUCGGAAUUUAUCCAUAGGCCACUCGAAAUUCACCGUCCCCCCAACCAAAUACCGAUACAUUGUUCUAUAUAGCUACGUUUGUAUUCGUCAUUCGGAGCCUACGAACUAUAUAAAAAGUAAAAUUAGUUUUUACAAUUAAACUCGAUGUUUACAACUCUAAUUUGUUGGGCCAGCUUCGCUACAGAAUCUGUUGAUAUAAACGACUUAAAUUCAUAGAAAUAACAAACAAAUCAAUCAAUCUGUGUAAUUUUAAAACUGUUAACUAGACAAUAGUCCAGGCCAUCCGGAAAAUCCCCACGUUCAGACCUGCCACUCUCCCCCCGACCUUAAACACAAUAUAUCGAUUUUCAACGCGCAUUCGAAAGAGAAUAUGCAUAUUUGUCUAAACAUUUUGAUAUGCUCAACCCUGUAUGAUAUGCAUGAUUCAUGAGCUAUAACAAAUUAGGAUUUAGUCCGCGGUGGAGUAUAGGAGAUUUAUCAAUAUGAGUCAAUACGGUUUUAUUCGUUUAUUCAUGCAUUUAUCAAUAUCAUCUCAACUGAUAUGCAAUUUAUUAGCCGAGUAUUUAAUUACAACUAGAUAUAUAGAAUUAACUUUAGAAUUGUUCAUGAUAUGAUCGACAUUUUCGAAAAUCAACAUGCACUAUACUGUUGGAACAAAGCAAUUAUACAAUCCCAUAAAACAACGAUUGAGUAUAAAAAUUGGAAAUCGAAUUUAUUUCGAAUUCUUCGAGAAACGAUCGACGGAUUGAGAUAAAAAAAAAUAUAUAUAUAUCAUCGUCCUGUAUGUAACAUUAUUAUCCGGAGUCGGCGACAGCGUUUUCGUCUAUCGAGUUCGGAAUUUUUUUCAUUUCUUCUCGUCUUCUCGGUCCUUUUAUCUUUACCGGUCGUCGAAGCGUGCACCGUACCGGAGUACGUUCGUCGCUCCUACGUUCGCUCCUCGUCGCUCCUCGUACGUUGGCUGUCGGACCCUCUCUGCCGAGAAAAACCUACCGAAAAACAUCCUGAAAAAAUUUAACGUAAUAUUUGCGGCUAUCGCCUAAAAAUAUGCUCGACAGUAUCAAUCCUAUAAUACACUUCUACGGGACCGUCUCUCGUCAAAAAUGUCCACGUCGCUCUCAACGAAAUUUCUUCUCGGCCUACGUCGCUUCGUCAGCCGCGUUACUUUGGAAAUCCGUUAGCGCUCGUCCGAUACGUUCGGAACAAUAAUCGAACAGUAAUUACACAUUUUAACGUUAAAAAUAAACGCGCAUUAUGACGAAAUAAAAACGUGUUUCUGAAGCGCGCUGCUAAAAUAUUACGCGCGCGAGCGUGACGGGAAAAUGGCGAUCAAAAUUUUCCGGUGAUCUUUUCCAGACACGACAAACCGUCGGAAAACGAAUAAUCGUACGAAUAUUUUAAAUUUUUAUAUAUAUAUAUAUGUGUAUACAUGCACGUAUUUUCGUUUCCUAAUAAUUGAAAUUCGUGACAGUGAAUAUUUUAUCGCCGAACUAAAAAAUACAAAAAAAAAACCAGCAUACUUCGCGAUUUGUUAAUAGAAAAUUAUUACUCAUACGCGUAGAACUAUAAAUACGUACAUAAUUUAUUCAUACCGCAGUUCGUCCCCGCGACCGGGCGGCAAACUUUCCCUAUACUCGGCUCUCGUUAAUAUUCAAUAAGUUCCGGGAAAUUGUACUUUUGAUUUGCAGACGACGACGUCGAAAACGGUACCGACCGAACGACCAAAUAUUACCGUAUAAGUAUUUACGACGAGGCUAAUAAUAAUGAAGUAGCUGUAUAAAAUAUAAGGUAGUCGGAGUAGCGAUUCGAGUUUUAUACGCACCGACCAUAAUGAACAUCGCGGAGUUGCGAUGUGUCAUAACGAAAUAAAACGUAAACGGUUUGUGAAAAACCGUGACGUCAGUCAUUCAGAGCCAACCGAACUGGCGAGUGGGUAGGGCUGAAAUCGCGAUGAGAAGUAGGUAUUUUUGAGGUAUUGGUUUUUGAACAUCGCAUCAAUUAUGAUAUUUUACUCAUUUCGAGACAAUAAUUUUAGAUUUCGGAAUCCGGAUUUGUCCUGUCACUUGCAGUAUAUCUUUUCAAAGUGUAAAACCGUAAUUUUGUCAAAUAUAAUCAAAAGGAAAAAAAAAUAGAAAUACAAAACGCAUUUUUCGUCGAAAAAUCGGUUUGAAAAUAAUAUUCAGUUAUAAUGUAUAGCCGAGUGAGAUUCGGUUUUUUGAAUAUUAUAUGUACAAAUCACACGCGUCGUUGUCGUCGCUUUGAUGUCGUCGUUGUCACUUUGAUGCGGUCGGAAGAUAGACAACGGGCUUGACGCGUUCGUUCGUUUACAGCUAUAACCAUUACUAAUUUGUGUGUUUACGUAUACGUAUAUGGCUAAAGUUGUUAAAACGACAGUGACGACGCCGAUUUGUAUAAAUCCGAAUAUUUUUAUUGCGACUAAAUAAAAUUGUUAUUGUAGUUCGACUUCUUUCUGCGCGUUUUACAUUUUACGACACGCGCACAAUGUCGCGUUUGAAAAAAAAAAUAAACUCCACUUCUUACUUUAUGACAUUUGUUUGAUUUUUUCAUAGCGGGUUUACUGUAAUUCGUAAGGACGUAGUGUGUCUCUUGAUUUUGAAUUUUCGGUAUGCUUAAUAAAGAUCCGAAUUCCCUUUUAAAUGUCACUGUGCCAGUGACGUUAGUCAUCAUCAUUUUUUAACAAAACCGAGAAAAAAUGUAUAGAGUAGGUACUUUUAUAUAAUCGAAUUUAUAAAUGUACGCAGCGAUAAAAUGAUUCCGAAUAAAGUUUGGUUUAACGUGUUCUGAAAUUUUACGAUUUGUGCGAUUUUCAUAAAAAUUAAAUCCUUAUGAAAAAUUAACUAAACUACGCUUAUUUUUUUUUUUUUUUUUUUUUUUGAGUCUAUGUCUAAGCCAUUUAAAACGCCAUAUUUAUAGGGCAUUUCUGUUCGACCACAAUAAUAUCUUUUGCAAAAAACCAAAUAAAAACUUAAAAAAAUACAUCUUAACCAUUCGUUUACACUAAUAAUCUCCGAUAAAGUCGUAGGAAAUACCACUGUGCAGAACAGAAGGGAUCAAAGUCCUUUCAAGUCAAUUUUUGGGAUUAUUUUUUUAUAAUUUUGUCUUGCGUAUUUUUUUGUUUUUUUUUGUUUUUGAGUCUAUGUCUAAGCCAUUUAAAACGCCAUAUUUAUAGGUUAGACCAUUUAACAAUAUCAUGCCGUUAUGUUAUUAAGCUAUUUUCAGAAUUUAAUGCAUUUCCAUUGAAAACUAUACAAAUUUGACUCGAGCGACCUGAGCUUUCUUUCCCUGGAACCAAAGAAAUCGUUAUUUUAUGUUUACUUGGUUUUUCUUUUUUUUUUUUAGAAAUAUCAUGCUUAAAAAAACAUAUUAUAUUGUUCCACGACUAAUAGUAACUUUUUAUCGAGUUAUUUAAAUCGAUCCCACGGAAUUUCGGUUAACGUUAUGCUCGGUAAAUCUUUUGGAAAUUAAAAAAAGAAUAAAAACAAAAAUGAUACUGUGAAAGACGCGCAGGAAGACAUUGUAUUAAGUCAUCAUUGUUUUAGACUUUGUUUUAUUAAUAUAUCGUUUUUUAUUGUUCCUAACGGUAAUAAAUCAGUACGGUUACAGUAGCGUAUUAUGAUAUUAGUACGCAUGAUGAUAAUAAUAUUGUAUUACAAUAUAAUAUAGUGCGUAAUAAUAUACGGGAGUAAAAACAUAAAUCUCAUCUCGUUAUCCAGCAUAUAGGCGUAUAGCAAUACUAUUAAGAUAAUAAUAUGUAUGAGAACCAAAGCAUAAUAAUAAUCGACUGAUAAUGAUUAUUGGAUUCUCCGAGCAGGUAUACGUAAACUAUACUACUCCAGAUUAAUCAAUCGGACGUUCGUUGUAAUAUUUUUAAUAUCGAAUAAAUAACGAAAAACCGGAGAUAGUUCACACCGCGGGUCGGUGCCGACACUGCCGUCGGUGGGAAAUUUCGAUAAACUACCGACGUUCUAACAUUGAUUUAUAAAUGAUAUUGAUUUCUACUAUACGAUGUGUGUUUUGCCGCGCGCGUGUAUCCGCAAAUAACUUCUCUAUACUAGAAAUAUCGCUCCAAAUCUCCAAUCGAAAACUUUAAAGGAGCUUUUUUUUUUUUUUUAUGUAGUAUUUUCGGUCUAGUCUGUGCAUUUAGGAAGUAGUCGUAUUUGAUUUUCCUUGUAGUUUUCUUUGUAAAAGAGGGGAGGAGAGUAAAACAGCAAUUUGUCUUCGAUCUUUGUUCAUAUCUGGGUUACUUUGGCAACAAUGGAAAAAUUACGACUAAUAAUACUCGGCUCGGAAUCGGUUUUCGUUACCUACGGUUUGUCGUUGUGUACAGCUAAAAAUUAAAUUACCUCUAUAUUAAUUCCGCCCUCACGACUUGCCGCCUCGUAACGGCGGUACGCCCAUCAGAGAUAUCCGCUUUCCUCCUCCCCCCCUUGUAGCUAUUAAAAUAGUUAGUCCUGCAGAAAUCGACCGAAAGAAAACACCGAAGGGUCGCAAUAUUUGUUUUAAUAUUUUCGAAAAACCGUUUUCGAGUUUAGAAAUAUUGAUGAUUUCGAAUAAAGUGCCGUCCAACAGAAAUUCCGCGUUUUUCGGGUACGAAAAAUAAAAAACGCUCAGAAUCUGGGAACUAAUAAUAGGACAGACAUUUUUCAAACACAUAUAUUUGCACAUUUUUCUAACGGUAUUUGUUUUAUUUUUUUGUUGCAGGUAAUUUUGGAUAAUCAAGAACGGCAUGCAGCGCGUAUUCAUUCGUACAAUAACCUCGCCGCGACCAGCCACGUCGCCGCCGCCGUGAUCGGAGGGACUAAAAUUUCGCCCCCGGAACGUUUUUCAUGUAAUUUCGAACCGCGCGAUAUCUGCUGCCGAACAUAAAUCACUUGUUUUUAACGGUUCGAUUACUUAAGCGCCACUCGUUCCUUUUACCGUCGAUAUGUUAUUAUUAUUAUGUACGAUGAUAUACGACGUACAAAAUCUCUGUUCCCGAAAAACCGUCAUAAUAAUAUUAUCCAUCAUCGCCGUGAUGCUGCGGUAUGAAAUAUUAUGAGGAUACGCGAUCGUAAUUUUACGUGCUAUAUCAAAUCGCAGGUUCGUACAGCAUACGAAAAUAUCGUGCCGGAGGACGAUAACAACAACAAUAAGAAUACUAAUAAAAUGAAUAAAAGCAAUAUUUAUUAUAAUCGAGGAUUUUAAAUACAUCGGGCGCCGAGGGAUUUUCGAUAUAAUAUAGUCGCUAUUUUUUUUAUUUUUUUUGGCCACGACUCCGUGAGACCGACCAAAAUUAAACCGUACCCGAAAAAACCCAUCUUGAUUUCAUUGGUGGAAGGGGACUUAUGAUUUUUUGAGGAACAGCGAAUUUUCUACUACAGAAAAAACACAUUGGGGGAGGGGGGAAUCUUAAUGUUAUAUCACAAAAACUUUUUUAUUAUCUUUCCAUUAGUUAUACACAUUAAUAUAUGGGUUUCUUAACAUUAAAAUAGUUUGUAUAGUACAUUUUUCUAUACGUUACUAAUUGUUUUUCUUUUUUUUAUUACAUAGGUUUAGAGAAUAUAGUUAUAAGGUGCGUCGUUUGCCCUUAUAUAUAUUAUAUUAUAACCUUAAAAAUGUAUCACUAAAUUUCUACAUAAUAAGGUUUCAUAUCCAUUAUUUUAUUAUCACGUAUCGUUUUCAGGACUCACCAUGUCAUUGAUUUAAUAUAUUCUAGGAGGCGACUCACAAUAACAGUUCCCGUUUAUCGGGUAUUUUUUCAUCGCGUUCAAAUACUACGCAGUGUUGCUAUUUCAUUUUGGUUUUUGCAACAACGGAAUAAGUAAUUUCCUUUUUUUUGUUGUCAAUUUAUAACGAUUUCAAAUCGUUUAGCCCGUACUUUUCUCCCAGAAUUAUAACUACGGUAACCCAUAAGCCAUGAUAAAAAUACCGUGCCGCAUUGGUCAAAGGCAACUGAGAUCAACAUUCGGGAUUCAUGACACUGAAAUAAUUUUACACUCAAAAUCUCGACAAAUUCAUUAAAAAAUAUUUUUCGACCACUGACACUAUUCAUAUUUUCAAAAUAAUUAUGUCACGGUAAAGGUAAACGGAGCAUUUAUUUUGAAAACGAUACUGUUGAAAAGCACUGGUAUCGAUACGAAAUAGCUGAAUUCUGGUGCUUAUCGCACUACACCCUACAAGCACCGCGUUAAGUUGACGGGAGAAUGGAAGGCUCCCAAGUAACUUUUUUUUCGAGUGGUGGGGAAGGGAGUUGAAUAGGUACAAAUUUGAACACGGUACCGUCAAAAAGCAUUAACCGACACUAAAUAUCGGUGUUGCGUAACGGACAUUAGCGCUUGAUUUUUUUUUAUGCUAACUUUAUGAUGAAGGGGAGGGGUAGUGUUAAAAACUAUAUUAGCACGUUUCACAACAAAAAAAAAAAAUGUUUGCGCUACAAAACCGCAGCCUUUAUUAAAAAGAUUUAAUUGUUUGAGACGCUUGACAUCAGCAUCUACUGUCUAUUACGCAUUACACAAAAUGUAAAUUGUUGCGUUUACGUCGAAGUAAAAGCUUUGACACAAAUAAUAAAAUUUAAAAAGGAUAAGUAUUUCCGAGGGCUGAGUACGUAGAUAAAAAGAAUCAAAAACUAACAUGGUUGUAUGACAAUUUUCCAGGGAAAAAAAAAAAGCUCUUUAAAUUUUGUCGUUGAAGUGUUUCGACUCCGAUUUGAAAUUAAACGUAUUAAUUGAUGCUGCUCUGUAGUCCGAGACAAACAUACAGGAUGUGGAGGUUUUGUUAACUUGACGGUUUUUUGUUGACGCAUUCCGUAUUUGAUCACACGAUGUUUAUGCAAUGUUUACAUAAUAGUUAUGUUUAUUACUGAAAUUAAAAUAUUAUUAACAUAAUUCCUGUUUAUGGAGGUCGUUGGGUGUUUCGUAUGCAGUUUGGACCGCGCGCCAUACGAAAAAUGGUUUUAGUGCCACGGUAAGUUCGACGACUGGGUUAUGCUGGCGGUCUGCGUUUUCAUGCCCAACGGAAAUUCCGUACGCCCGCACGAGAGAAACGUGAUUAUCAACGCGAUGAAAUAUCUGACGGGUAUGGUGAAACGUUGGCAGUUCGUUUUCCGUGAAAAAACCCACGGAACGCAGCAACGUUCCGGUGGAGACGAGUUGAUCGGAAGCGAUGGCGUCGACAAAGAUUCAUCGAAUUCGACGGGCGAACGGGUUCAAAAUUGUAAAAGAAAACUCGACGCGAACGGUUGCGUCGUUGUAUGUAAAACGAAACUCAAAACGCUUAAACGCAUAAAACCGACGACUAUGAAUAAAAAAAGUUUUGUAUUACGACAAUAAUCGUGCGUUCGUGUUCAUUCCACGAUUCGUUUAUGCCUUUUCUGUCCUUAAUAAAAUCUGUUCAAACUAUACACCUAUAUUAUGUGUGAUAAACGUUUUCUUUUUUGGUCUUGUCUAUAAACAACUUUUCUAUCAGAAAUCUUGCUCUGGUGUAUCGACUACAGCACCUUUUCUGGGAGGAAAUUUUAUCUAGGCAAUUUUUUGAUUUUUUUUAGGGUUUUUUCGAAUAAUUGGGAAAAACUAAAAAUUAAAAUUCAUUAAUAUUUACGGCAACGUAUAGCGUCGUGGUUUAAUUAUUAUUUUAAUACGUUCAACUUAUGUUUACUACCAUAAAUAUUGUUCCAAUGAAAAUCCGUCAAGAGAUCUUUUUUGUUGAACUUUCAAUCUUGUUGGUGAAAAAUAAGGUGGGGUUUUGAUUUUUUUUUUAUAUAUUUUUUUUUUUUGAUAAUUAAGCAAAAAAAAAAAAAGGCAGUAAGAUAUACGAUGUUUUUUUAAUGUAAUUUAGUUUAAUAUAUUCAUAAAGACUUAAAUUUUUGUCAGAAAACUUAAAAGCAUUUACUUUUUCUAGGCGUGAUAAAAUUUUCAAAUUUUCAAAACAUUUCAGUAAUUUUUUAGUUGUUUAUAGACAUUUUAAUUUUGUGAGUUUUUUUACGUAAGUUUUAUUCGGUAGGUACUCUAUGGAUAAAUUAUUAGACUUAACAGAAAUGCUUGAAAAUUUGACAAGAGGUUGAUUAUAGGCCGUACUAUUAUAAGGCCUUUCAAAACGUGUAUUACCGAAAUUCGCUCCGAAUCGUUUUUCGUUAUCAAUGGUUUUUCGUUGGUUACAGGUAUGAAUUAAAUAACUUUAUGUAUCCCACCUUCCCACUACCCAUUUACAACAGUGGUCACACCCGUUCCCAGUUUCAGCUUUUUUUUUUUUUAAUUUUCAUACAAUAUUAUGCGUAUGCGACGGUUGGUUUUCUGGUACAAACCCCCUUUUUUUUUCCUAGUAAACACGAGGGAUUAUGUUAUUACUAAACGUGUUAUAUACUAUACGUCUGUCAUAUUUAUAUUAGGUGAAAUCACAUUAUGAAUUGUACGCAUUUGAUAAAGUAUAUCGAAUGCAUAGUAUUCUCUUUGUUCAUAAUAUAUAUAGGUUAAAAGCGAUAUCUGUAUACUAUCGGACGGAAAAACAAUAUUUAUUUAUGAAAUAUUUAUUUUAUCCCAAUCACGCCGAUAAUAAUGAUUAUUCGAAAACGGGAUAGAGUGAAAAAAAGUUCUUGUUUUAAUACAUUUAUACCGCGAAAAAAAAUCGCACGUAUAUUUCGUCCAAUAGGCAUGCCAAUCUAGAUGGUAUGUAGGGAGGGCAGUUCAAUUUGUACACCGAAAACAUUAACGAAUAAUUGCAAUCAAAAAUCGAUUUUGAGCAAAGCUUGAAUUUCGUUAUUUAUGAGAUUUUUUAGAAAUCUAUAAGAAAAACUUGUCGGAAAUCUAGCAAUAUCAUUGAUAAAAGUCUUCCGACGUAUGAUGCGAACAAUUUGGAUUAUAUUAAGUAUACAAAAUAACGUUUUAAAAAAAUAAAUAAACAACGCAACUUAUGGAAACCAAUAGAUUCUUCUAGACACUUAAGAUCGGUACAAUCCUAUAGGAAAUUCUCACGUAUGACUGUGUAUAAACUUUAAACAUAAAAAAGUCUGAUGUUGCUGAUUAACGUGCCAAUGUUUUAAGAGGAAAUUUAGAAGGGAAGAUAAAAUAUAGAGUAAUUUAAAUUCUACUUUUACGCAACGAUAAACGAUUUUGAACGGGGUAUUUUCAGUGAUAUUUUUCGCCUGUCGAGGUAAUCCUACAGAAGUCAAUAAAAAUUAUACCGAAAAUUGCCAGUGUUUUGCAUUCGUUAGAAGACAAACGAAAAACGGCUUUCUGAGCGCGCCAACUAGAUCGAAAACACUACGAGAAAGUUUCUAUGGAGUUUUCGAUCAGAUAUCCGGUUGAAAAGUCGUUUACGGACAUCAGAAACACAUCGCAGUAAAACGGAUACGUUCCAAUGUGAUAUGCGCUCAGAAUUUGAAAAGAUAUCGAAAUUUAUUGACGACAAUAUUGCGCGUGUUCUGCUGGCGAAAUAUUACGCGGUUCAAAAUACCAUACGUUAACAACAAUAAUAAUAAUCGCGUUAUUUUAAUAUUAUCAUUAUUGCACAAGACGUGGCGCAAUAAGUGCAUGUUUACACGUUCAGAUUGAAACAGUCAAUAAUAAUAAAUAAUCAAAGCGUUUCGUAUUCGUUUAUUUUUUUUUUUUUUUCCCCGAUCAUAUUAUCGUUUGUCGCGGAUUACAAUAAUAAUGAUAACACAUACGGACAUCAACAGAGCCGUUUCGUCUGUCGCGAUGCCAACGAGACUAAAAAUAAUAAUAUUAUUAACCGUCGCGUACAGAGGCGUAUAUUACAUUAUACACGAUACGGUUUAUUCUGGUGCGCCGCCGCCGCCGCCGCCGUUGUCAUUUAAACGAGUGUCUGCGUCGCACGGUAUAACGGCGCCGAAAUCGUUGUAUUAUAUUUCAUUUCGGAUCGCGUACAAUGAUAAUAAUAUCAUGGCGAAAAUUUGCUAGUGGAAAAUUUCGGAAUGUUAUUUAUGCGUUCGCAUUGUUAUAACAUCACGGUCCGGCGAUAUUUUACAAACGCGCGGUACGCCGACUGCCGCUGCCCCGCCGUACGAACGAAUCGUAUUGUGCGUGUAGAGAUGACGAGUGGUUUUUUUUAUUAUUUUUUUUUCCGCAUAAGUCACGUAAAUAAUAAUAUUUGUUGACAUUUUCGGAUUCCGAGCGAAGCGAAAUAUUAAUAAUAUUAUGUAUCGGUAUACGAUGCGUUUUUUUUUUUUUUUCCACGCCCGUAAACGACUUUUCUACCGGAAAUCUCGGUGCGACCGAAAAACGUUUUGUAGCGAUUUCGAUCCUGUUCGUGGUGCGCGUUGAGAUCGUAUCGUCGGAGAAAACGGUCGAUUUUUCUUUAUGAUUUGUAUCGAUUUCCGCGGGUUACCUUGGUAACAACGCGGAAAAAGUACCGACUAAUAAUAAUAAUCUGUUGAAAACCCGUUUUUCGUUAGCAACAUAAUGUUUUUUAGUCGCGUACAGAUAUAUAACGUUAUCAAUAUUAUUACCGGUAUCACUCCGUCGUAUAUCCGUUUUUACAACAACCCUCCUAAAACAGCGGUGCACCCGUAGGCAGAAUCAGCACAAUUUUUUUUUUUUCAUUUCUCUAGGUCACUACGGUCGUAGUAGUGCCGUUGACGUUCACCGGCGAAUUCGGUCAAAUUUUUCGAUUUUACUAUGGAUGUACGGUUUUUUUUUAUUUCAAUAUCUGUUGACAACUUUUGUUGGUACACCGGAAAUAUUACUCAUCAAUUUCUAGCAGUUUCUAGGAUCGAAUUUCGUCUAAUCGGCAAAUUGUGGAGGUGGUUUUUUUUAUAUUGUCUUAAUUAUUUGAAAAAACCGGGGGAUAACGUCGAAAAAAACAUAGAACAAUACAAUUUUAGUUGAAUGUUUUCAACAAUUUUAGACGAGCUGCACAUUAAAGAAAUGUACAGCAUGCAACUUUUGAAAAUGCAAGAGACCUAAAAUUGUAUACUAAUUUCUAGGCGUGUUACAAUUUUCAAAACAUUUUGGUAAUUUUCGAGUUUUUAGGUUUUAUUCGGUUUUUUUCAGUUUUCACGGUUUGUCAAAGUCCUUGAAAAUAUGAUACAAUAGGUUAAUCGUGAGUCGUAAUCAAUAAAGUCACGAUUUUUUUUUUUUUUUAUAUAAGUUGAUAUUUUAAUUAAAAUCAGAUUGUUGCAACUAUUCAUUUUUCUCUAUUUUUAAAUGUACAUUCUUCCCACUACGAUGUAUUUUGCAGAGUUGGUAUUUCUGAUGUGCGCGUCUUAGUAACUCGAUUUGACUUCUUUCCUUGGGCAUCCGAACCGCAUGGCCGAAACGAAACAAUAUUAAAAAUAUUUCAGAUACAGUUUUAUCGAAUUUUUAUUAAAAAACACAAGGGUUCAUCCGAAUCACCCUCGCCGUCAGAUUGUUUUAACACAACGAAACAAAAAAAAAUGGAAGAUCGUCUUCUCGGUUUAUCGAGUUUUUUCAAACAUAUAAAGCUCGCGGGCAAUAAAACUUCCCCUAACAGGAACACCUCCCGAUAACGGGCGUUUUUUUCGGGAACGGGGAUAUUUGCACUAAUGUGCAAAUGAGAAAUCUCCGAAUAGCAGACACCUGCAAAUAGCGAACGAAAUAUCGGCGAUCGAGAGUGUCCGUGCUAUUCGGAGGUUUCGUAGAUUUUGAGAAAAUUUGAUAUUGGCUUUUUAUCACUACGAGUUAAAAGUUAAAUUUUAAGUCAAUUUUUAACUUUUAAAACCGUUUAUCUUUGAUUACCUCAACAUUGAACUUUAUUUUUUUUUUAUUAUUAAUAUUUUUUUUUUUUUUACACUAAGGGGGCCGGAUUAUUAUUAUGCGAUUGUCAAUAGAAUACUAUUAUUAUGAUUAUUAUGUGCGUACACGGAUUUAUGAUGGGCGUGAAAUUCGAACUGGAGUUAGGUGCUCGCGGGAUCCGCGGAGUCGCACGUGUCCGCGCGGAAAUGAAUUAUACAACCGGCUCUCGUUUUUUCUCGGGUUUUUUAUUCCCCUCUCCCGUUAUAUAUAUAUAUUUUUAGUAAACUUUUCCUAUUGUGUCUCGCGGCUGGCAUAAAUCAGCGGACGCGAAUUAAACGGCCGCGGCUUUUAAUCCGAUUAAAAUUCUCCGCGCGUAUAUUUAUUAUCGUUAUACAUAUACACCUAUAUAGCCGAUAUAUACAUAAAUAUACAUAUAGUUGCUACGAGAGGGGGUGACGGAGGAACAAAUCGUUUUUGGCUCGCGUAUAAUUUUUUUUUUUUUAUUCUCCGCGCUUUUCGGACCCGAUACCUACACACGAUUAUUAUAAUAUAAGAAAAACUUUGGUCGACAAAUCACAAAGUAGGUAACUGUACAAUACACAACGCUAUAUAGUAUUGUACGACUUUUCGGGGUAGACUGUACACCAAUAUAUAUAUAUACAUAUAUAAAUACGAGUAUGCCGCGUGGUUGUCCCCCGAACGCUCGUAUUAUUUAUAUAAUAAUAUGUCCACCGCCUCACACCUCGGUGCCGCCGCGGGUGCAGCUGCCCUCGAAAAAAACGUGUUUCGGAUCGUAUUUCAUAAAGUCGGGAUUUUUUUUUUUCCUUCCAUCCCUUUCGAAAUUCACUUCCCGGGGGACCGCGCGCGCGCUCGCGCCUUUUAAAUCGGUCGACGAUUUCUCGUCCGUUUCCUCGGCGCGCUGAUUGACUGCGCGCCUACCCGAGAAAACCGGGCAGACAUAACUCCUUGUUAUUAUCCGAACCAGUACAAUAAUAUUAUGGUUCUCCGACAGCAUAUAUAUAUAUAUAUUACAUUACGGUUUUAUAUUGCAGCUGUCGUCAUUUUGCGAGAAAACCCCCGGGCUCGAGUCGAUUUCGGCGUUGCUUAAUACAUAGGAAUAUACAGUUUACACCUAAGUCAAUUCUGCGUGAAAAUUCCAGGCACGCUGAAUAUCCGCCGCAUUAUACUCUAAUUUUACACGAGUACGUUUUGUGACGGAAACAUUAUGAAACGCGGUAGAUAAAAUAAGUCUUUUUGGUAUGUUUUUUCCGGACAGUAGCGUGCCCAAUAAUUUUCCAACGGAAGAAGAUUUAGCAAACAAUAAUAAUAUUAUCGUAUAAUCUUCCUCCUAGCCGCCGAUAAUAUGGAAAUUAUUUAAAAGCCGAACCUUAAACAUUCGAUUUUAAUUCAAUUAAUCAAUACAGUCUUUUUUUCUAACUGUUCGGCUGAAAUAUAGAUUCAUUGAAUAUUAAAUCGCAUUAACUCCCAACCUCACUCUUCCCUGUGCACGCCAUUGGUUAAAUACCUUGGUUAAGUAGUUUUUUUGUCUUUGUAAUGUACCGAAUAGCUAUUUCUAACUGAAGGAGCCUCGGUCACUAACAUUUGUUCCUUCUGUCUCGCGCACGAAAUAAUACAACUACUAAUUAAGCAACUAAAACCCACGGUUACGUCUAGUCGAGCGAGUUUAGGGCAAAGACCUAACGUAUGAACGUUUUAAUUUCCAAAAACGUUGUAACGGGUUGAAAUUCAUAGAAGAUUAAAACUCACGGAUUUUGAUAGGAAAAAAAAAAAAAUCAAAAUAUUAAAAAUGAAAUCGUUUGUAGGAUCCGUAUUACAGGUAGUGGGUAUUUCGUCUUUAUAAAAUGUAUAAUACGUCCUUUUGUCCUAUCCUAAAGUGCACGGAAAGUCGGAAUCGCGGUAAUGCGGAAUGCCUUUGUCGCUGUGUGGGUAACAAUAUAUGGGACAUAGGUACCGGAGACGGCAGGACAGACGGAAUAAACGAAACGUAUCAGCGACCGAGGGGGUUUUUCUCUUGAAAAAACCGCCCGUUAUUAUUGGUCCAUCGACUCGUAUAUAAAACCCGCGUAUACGGACGGAAAAUCGAUAUUUUCCAACAUUGCGCGACAUUCGUUUUGUCCCGUAAUAUUAUUUAAUAUAACGGUUCGCUAAAAUGUACGCGCGGUGUACGCCGAAACCCGGUAUAUUACACGCCGCUCGACACUUACGUUUUACACUCAAAACCGUUAGUUUCGACAUUAUUGUUCACUAGCCCGAAUAUAGGGUAGGUAUAAGUAUUUUGCGGAAAGUGAUAAUUAUUAUUAUUUUAGUUGAAACUUUUCGCGUCGUGGGUAGAUAUAGCCGGGUACGUUCGGCGGGACUUUAAAGCGGUUUACCCGCGCUGCGGGCAACGAUGGCGUAUACCCACCGGCGUUUUUUCCCUCCCGGCGACGAGUGAGGGCGAAAUAUAUUAAAUUAAACGUAUAACGUAUAAAACGUAUUAUAACGUGCGAGUUUUCGUUAACGAAAUACGUCAUUGCAUUCGAGUGCGUUUCGCAAAGUAAAUGAUUGUGUACCCGUGAUGAACUUGCCGUAUUUAGUAUUUGAACCCGGUCGAGUAGGUAUGACUACAUGAAUGGUGCGAAUUCCCGACGGUUAUUAUUUUAGAUUCUGAGCGGAUCGAGGAAUGCAUUGGUUUUACAGUGAUGUUUAUUUUAUUUUUUUUUUGUGAACAACAUUUGCUCCGAUUCUCAAUAUUAGUAUAUGUUCUGAAAGGAAAUCUGACUGGAGUGGCACUUUAUGGAGGACGUUUUUUAAUUCCCAUCAAAUGGGAAAACCCGGGAAAAUAUAAGUACUAUAUUAAACGAAUAUUGUUAAAGAAUACAUAUGACGCACAAUGGGUGAUUAUUUUAUCAUAAUACGGCACGUGGCGUUGUCGACAAAGCAACGCUGUCAACUGAACUCCGCUCGGGAAUCGGUUUUUUCGUUUCGUUAGAAUUAAGUUUUCCCUGUCCGAAUAGUCGUGUACUAUUAUUAUUAUUAUUUUUAAUUUUACCCCCUCGACCGUUUCGGGUACGGGGAUGAGGCCCCCCAUAGUCCCCCUACCGGGUAGUGCGUCGCGGCGCACGGCAGUAUACCGGCAGCCGCAAUCCAUUUACGCCACAAUCCUUCGGACCGUAUGAUUUAAACAAUAACGUCGACCGCCACUCGUCGUCGCCGGGUAUAAUACUGAACAAUGCGCACAGAAAAUAAUAAUGUUUCUUUACAUUGUUGUAUUAAUAAUUACGUUGGCCGUAAACGGUUUCGAUCGUUCGAUACCACAUAAUAAUUAUUAUUUCGUCCGAAUUUAAGGCUUAUAAGGUUAUCUCGGUUAAAUACGAAAAAAACCUUAUUUCGUAUAAUCGGUUUCGUGAAUCCGCCAUAACGACGACGACGGCUGCAUUAUACUCGUUAUUGUUAUAUCGUUAUAUUGUUCUAUAUAUAUAUAUAUAUUUUUUUUUUUUUUUUUUUUUUAUCGAAACGUUUAUACGAUGCGCCAAUCGUUUUUUCUUUCUUUGAUUUCCACCGGCUCCGCAUCAAUCAUGCAACGCGAGCAUAAUACGAAUUAAAAUUGAUUACAACUCGUAUUAUUACGCUCGUAAUUAUUAUUGAAUUAUUGCCGAAUAUUAUAAUGUGCAAUAGCCGAUAAUAAUCGGACACUGUGUAUACGUUUUUUUAUUACCCGUUUCGUCGGAUGAAAGUGUGCGCGGCCGAUCCGGUGUUUUCGUGAUGAUAUUUUCAUCGAUCGACGAGCAUUCUCGUUUGAUUAAUGCGGUUUUCUUUCGAGUUUAAAACCUUAAACCGAACAGUAUAAUAAUAUUAUAUAUUUUAAUGCGCCGGAGUAACGUUUACUCGAUAUCAACGACGGCGACGACCAAGAAAGGCCCAAUUCAUUUUACUUAAUUGCAUUGGACUUUUUUUUUUUUUUUACUUUCAAAUUAAAUUUAUAGUUUAUCUCGUUUUCAAACAAUUCUAUUCCGUCAUCUUGACAUAGCUAUCAUCGUGAAAAUUUCAGAUCCCUGGGAUUAUUUUUAACACCGAAUUAAUAACAAAAACCUAAUCGAACAUACCGACAAGGUCCAAUAAUAUGGGACAAUACCGGUCUCUUAUCGUUUUUCGAUUGGAGCAAGUUAUCUGCGGGUAGAAAAGAAACUGUUCACGGACAAUAAUCAAAAAGAAAGCGUAUUGUAAAACUAAUAAGUUCAUUGCUUCACAUUCAGAAUUUCAAAAAAAAAAAAACCCCGAAAAUUUACGAUAUUUCGAAUAAAAUUAACAUUUCUCUCUCCCUCCUCACCCCCAAAAAAAAAAAAAACCACAAAUACGGCGAUGCAGCACCCGCCGAUCCGAUCGAUUUUUUUCUCGAUAAUACUGCACGUAUACUACGGUUGUAAUGAUAAUUUUCGGUUGUUUUUCGGCCCCGUUGCCCGUAGCCGCUCGUAUCCCAAACACGUUUUAAAAUACGCGAUUUCGUUGUAUUUUAUAUUGUUCGAUCAAACCGGAAACGCGCGUGUAAAUAUUUACGCACACAACGCCCGCGGUACACGAUAUCGGUUUUAGGGAUUUGUCUUUCGCGCUACCCCUCGCGGUCCACAAGCGCGCGCGCGCGCACACACACACACACACACACACACACACACAUAUACCUAUAUAUAGGUAUUUUUUAAUCCCGUAAUAGGCCGACAGUGUUCCCGGAGAAAAACGACCAAUAAUCCGGGUGUUAUAUUAUUAUUGCUUAUAAAUUCGUUUACCGGUAUUAAUAUAUAUAUGUAUAUUAUAUUAUCGUAUCGGAUCUAUGCCUACCCAUUCCCGAGCCCGACCGGUGUUUUUUUCCCCUAUCACCCCGCCACCGGGUAUUAUUUUCAGCUGCAACCCUCCGCGCGUCCCCGAAGUCGGCGGAAACGGUAUAAUAUAUUAUUAUCAACGAAAACAGAAACAAUAUAUAAUAUACGGCCUAUCCUGUACCUGUGGGUAGGUAUAAAACGCAAGUAAUAUUCUAUUUUCGUUUUGUUUAGCUGGCGGUGGUGGUUUUUUUUAUCUUCCGACACCGACCCCUGCAAAUUAAGUAUUUGGUUUUGUACCGUGUCUUCCGCGUGAAACCGCGACGGGCCGAUGAAUGGGCGAAAAUAUAAAAAACCAAACGCCCUCUGCACCCCCCGGAACCGCGUUGAAUUACACCGCACACGAUCAUUUAUUAAAAAAAUAUAUAAUAAUAAUCGUCGUCAACUCCUAAUGGACUGUUAAUAUAUACCUAUACGAUAAUUUAUUAUGGGUACAUUAUUGAAUUACAAUUAUUAUUAUUAUUAUUAUUAUUAUUGUGUACUUUACCGAACAAAAAAUUAUUCUAACAGUUUUUUUUUUUUUAAUCAGAUGAAACGACUUAAAUUCGGAUAUUGUAUUGCGAUUGUCAGUUAAUACAAUGCUGAAAAAAGUUUUAUAAUGCACAAUAUUAUAUUAAUUCUAAUGUUAAACAAUAAAAAUUUACGUAAUGCGUUAGGCAUUUUUUUUUCUGUUCAUCAACUGAUAUAAGUAAAAAGUUAAUUGUAAAAUGGCAUUUAUUUUUUUAACUAUUACCAUUCGUUUUUUGAGAGAGAAAAGGCGAAAGACAUCAGAUUAUACUCACUUGAAAAUCGAAAUUCAACACGCAUUUUUAGUUUGAAACUAUAAUCUACACGAUAGAUGACACUUAUUUAAACAUCGUGUUAAAAUUAAAAGAAAUCGCCGAAAUUGAACUCAAUUCGUGUUUUUAUGAAGUUAAUUCAAAAAUCAAAGUUUACUUGAUAAAAAAAAAUGUAAUUUAAUUGUUCGUGUCAUUAUGUGCCCAGCCUCGAAAUCGCAUACAUCAGUCAAUGUUAUUGUAAUAAAUUGUAUUGUUUGUUUUUCUUUGUUGUUAUUAGUUUAUUUACACCAAACGACCGUUUGCCACUGUUUAUAUCUUAUUGGGAUCUAAAUUCAAAGGUUCCGCUCGUUAGUGACAGUUUAAUGUACACAAAAAAAAAAUAAAAAAAAUAAAUAGCCUAGCUCUGUGGUACAACACCUGUCACAACGAAAAAGAUCGUGUUUAACUUUUUCUAAUUGCCUGUCUUAUCUCUUUUGGACAACCGACGAGCAUAGACACGAGACCGUGAGUAACGCUGAAAAAACGACUUACACGGCUUCGGGUAUAGAACCUUAAAGGCUACGGUCUUUUUCGCUGCGGAAGGCGGUGAUAAUAAUAUUAUAUUGCGGCGUAUUAGCGCACUCUUCCCGACGCGCGACGACGACACGCAAAAAAAAAACCGGUAUUUUCAAACGAUAAAACGUGAUAUUAUAAUACGCGUGGCGUUUGAUAACAACGUAAACAAAUGCGAGAGCGUCCCAUUGCGACAAUCGACAUCAGCGCUGCCUACGGUUGAAUUCGGAUCCCGAUGAGGUCAUAUAAAUUAUGACAACGCGCUAAUGUGCCGUUUUAAUCUCGUAAUUGUCGUUGAGAAAUUAAAUGUCAAUACAUUACCGAACGCCGUAUUGCAUUGUCGUUUCGUUUCGCGCGGGACCGAACCGCCCCGCACGGAGCAACGCGAUAUUCACAUAAUAUUCGUGACGGACUACUGUCGGACAGUUCGAUUUGCCGAGUCACUCUCUUGUUAUUAAUAUAUUAGGCGUUAUAAUUUCGUGUUAUUCGUGUGGCCGCGGCAUAUUAAAUUACGAUCGGUGUAAUAUAUCGUUUUCCCGUAAUAUAUUACCGAGUCGUUCGACUCGUCUUUAUUUUCGCCGACACAAUAUUAUUAAAAAGAAAAAACAAAAUCAAAUUAUUGUAAGUGCUCGUGGGGGGAUAAUAUUUUUAAAUUAAAUUUUUGACUUAACGUGGGUAUCCGACCAAUAUUAUAAAUGCAAAAGUCUGUUUGGAUGUACGUUUGUUACUUGCACUUUUCGCCCGUACUACCGAACGGCUGAAACUUUGCGCGGAUAUAGCACUGGAUCGGGACUAACAUAUAGGCUACUCCCCGCCCCUCUGAAUUCUUUUUUUUCCCAAAUUAACUUGUUAAUCCUCGACUGAAGUACUAUUAAACUACCUAGCAUUAAUAUUAGGUACUUAAAAUGUUAAAUAUGUUUUUAACGGAUUUAAUAAAAAAAAAAAAAAAUCAAACGACUUUUAUCGAGUUUAUAAACGAAUUUAUCUUGUCACUGUCGAGGACCAUUCUUUUGUAAAAAAAAUAAAAAAAAAUAAAAAAAAUAAAUAAAUAAUUAUCCUAUUAUAUUUUAUUCGAAGCGGCAACAUAUCUAUAAAAAAAAAAAAAAAAGCGACUAANNNNNNNNNNNNNNNNNNNNNNNNNNNGUACUAUUAAACUACCUAGCAUUAAUAUUAGGUACUUAAAAUGUUAAAUAUGUUUUUAACGGAUUUAAUAAAAAAAAAAAAAAAAAAAUAAUUAUCCUAUUAUAUUUUAUUCGAAGCGGCAACAUAUCUACAAAAAAAAAAAAAGCGACUAAAACGAGAUUUCGGAAACGCUUCCCCGACCUCGCAUAAACUAUUCACUUUGAACGUAAAAGUAAUAGUAUAUUUAAGUGAAUCGAAUACAACGACGCGUCGCCAGAGAGUCGAAUUGGAUAUGCUGCGCCCGUGCGAAAUUGUUUUCUGAGCGCAGCACGCUAGAGUAUUCCAAAAAUGAAGAAAAAACGUACCUGGAAGAAACGAAAUUGGGAAAAUACAAUAUGCAACGGCGCCACUUUCAAAUUAUUAUUGCCCCUAUAUACAUAGGCACGCGAAGGUUACAAAAAUAAAAAAAUUACUCCAGUAUUUGUAUGCGUUCGUUUUUGAACGCGAAAAAACGCCGGAGCGUAGCGGUACCCUACCACUACUACUGCUAUAAUAUUUUUCCUCUCCGGCCGGUCGCCGCGCGUACAUACGUAAGGUCACAAAGGUUGCUCAAUACAAAAGGCACGAUAAUAAUAAUUUCGUUUCAUACAUAAGUCAUUGAGUGUUGUAGUCACGUAUAUUAUAUAAAUAUAUAUAUAUGUAUAUAUAUAGUAGCGGUAUAGUAGUUAUUCGCCUUCGAGGGCCCUGAUGUGUGUAACGACCCCGGAGAGAGGAAAACUCGCGCGCACUUUCUCCCUCCGCGUUACGGGUGUAUAGGGAAAACAAUGUUUAAAAAGUAAAAUAAAAAACACUUACCUCCCCUUUUUUUCAUUUUUGUUCAGGUUUUUUUUUUUUUUUGCCAGAGUAAUAGGCACAUUUCUUACACACAAAAUAAAAAACAAACGAACAUAAUGUAUGUAUAUACGUAGGUAUGUAUAAUAUUGAAAAGGGAAAAACCGAGGACUGUAAUAUACGAAUACUGUAGUUACGUGUACACUGCGAAACGUACACAAUAAUAAUAAUAAUCAUAAUAAUAAUAAUGAUAAUAAUAAUUAUUAUUGUUCAAUGGACUGGCUGCGGGUCGUGUGACGUUAACACAGUUUUGUGUUCGUUUUUUUUAUUUACAAUAGGUGCAGUGCUACAUGUUAUUAUGCUGCCAUACACGCCACGAUUCGUUCUAGGUGCGAUUUUAUUGAAAUUAUUACUGUGAUAAAUUACUACCGUUGGUAUUAAAUAAUUAUAGUGUUUAAUGUUUUCCACUAAGUAAGUACUAGGCACUUAUAUAUUAUGCGCCGUUUGUAAACGUGGAAUUUAAUUCACCGCGCAACAAACACGUGAAAUAAGCCCUGAAAAUUUGUUCACGGAACCGCUUAUUAUAACACUCGCGCAAUCUAUACCUACGCUAUCUGUUGGACUAUGAUAAAUCACGAUAAUAGUUACGCGUUUUCCGCGGUGAUUUUUGUUGGGUGAAUGGAUUAAAAUAGUACAUUUUUUUUAUGCCGUAUUCGAUUAAUUAUGCGUAAACGAUACAGGUAUACCGUAUAGACUAUUUUCUAUUCAAACGUAUUUUUUUUUUAUGAUGCAUAUGAAUUCCGUUUAUUUAAACUAUAAACAUAACAAAAUAUAUAAAUAUGUUUUUUUUAAAUGUACGCAUCAACGAGAAAAUAACAACUAUACUGAUCAUGACAGCUUUUGUACGUGCGCGUAAUCGUAUUUUUACGCUAUCGACAAUUAAUUUUAAAAGUGUAAAACUGAUAACAAAAUGACAAGUAUUUUUCGUGAUUAAUGAACCGUGUGUAUACAGGUACCUGUACGUAUAUAGUGCAUCGUAAAACCUGCUCAAUUUUUUUUUUUUUUUUAUAAUAUAUAUCUAUAUAAAAAGGUUGAUACUGUUAAUGGGCGUGCCACUGUUUUAGGCGGGAAGUAGGAAAGAAGGAUUUAUAUUAGAGUAAUUAUUUAUUUAUAUCUGUAUGGUACGAUUAAUCAUUGCUAACAAAAAACGAUUCUGAUUCGGUCGUAUUUUUCCUUUGUUGUCAAUGCGUAAUUGAGAAAUCAACAAAAACUAUACAAACGAUUGUCAGUUUUUCCCAAACUAUAAGGAAAAUCAAAUAAUUACAUCCCCGAGUUCACCAGCUAAAUAAAAAGGCUACGAGAAAAUUCUUAUAAAGUUUUCGAUUGAAGCGAGAUUCCUGGUAUAAAAUUUAUUUACAGAUACCAACGAAAAGACCGUAUUAUAUAGUAAAACCAACACAUUCCUCGCUUCGAUAAGAAUUAACAAAAAAUAAAUAAAAAUACAAUAUAAUCGGAUAUAUUCGACCGAAUUUAUUACGUGUGUAUAAUAGUGCAAAAGAAAAAGCUGUCCUAGGAUAAUAAUGGCAUUAUCAUUGUUAACAUUUUAGUCAUAAAUUCAGUCAUUAUAGUAACGUCAUCGAAGAUUAUUAUGAUUUUGUCUAACUAUGGACUAAAAACAGUUCAAGACCGUCUUAAUUAAAUCACUGAAUGUAGUCUUUUGAUUUGGCGUUAAAUAAAGUCGCAUUCUGAUCAUCAUAUAUGACAACGAUUUUUGUCUACUCGUUUGAUAAUUUAAAGAAAAUAGGUGUACAAUAUUUCAGUUAUUAACUUUUAAACAUUAAUAUUACCUAUUUGUAGAUUUAUGAUUAUAUUUUGUAGUGUUAAAUGUGGCGUUUUUAACAUAUGCGUCAUUAAAUGAAAUAGAAGACCAUGAGCGAAAUGAAGCUUUUACUUUCCGUACAUCUGUUUUAAGAAAUUUCUGGUAUAAAAGUUGUCCACGGGAAAAAAAAUAAAUAUUUUUGUACAAACAAUACAUUCCCCUCGCUCCACUCAGAAUCUAAAAUGGUAACGAAUCAAAUAUAAAUAUAUAGUUAUCGAAAAAGUGUACUGUCUAGUCUAUACGCCGUUGCAGUUGUGGAACAUCGAAUACUAUACCAUAAUACGUUAAUAUAAUAACCGUCGGCAUACGGCUAUUAUAGUGACACAAUGCCAACCGACCGCGUUAAAAGCAAAACAAAACCGGGUGAAGGGGAAGGGGGGGAGGCAAGAAAAAAAGAAGAAAGAGAGUUGUACAACCGCUUGUAAAAUAUAUUAUACGGGAUUUCGACCGGAGCAAAAGGUUUCGAUAAUUAAAUAUAUUAUUUAGGGCGAAGAAUAAAAUCGUCGUCGGAUCCUCGGAGAGGAGUUAGCGUCGGCAGCAGCAGCGAACGCCGUUGGCUAAGGUCCAAGCGCGGCGGGGCUGCACGGCGACGGGAGGACAGCGCGCGGGGACGCGAAAUCUCCGGGCCGAACGCGGACGACGACCGAUGAGUCCGCCUCUUGUUCCCGGCCCGGCGGCGGCGUCGUCGUCGUCGUCGUCACACAAUUCCCUUUCGCGCGAAAUCUUUGCGGGGUGGCGUCGAAAAUAAUAAUAAUGAGAAUAAUAUUAUGAUUCGCCCGUAUAUUAUAUUGUACACGACGAGUACUGCGGCAGUAUAAGCGCGCGGAUAACAUACUUUCGUCAUUAAUCUCUCGGAACGUCUACCGUGUCUGCCGAGCGCGAGAGAACGGUCCGCGUGUGUGCGCUCGCCGGAGGAUUUUUCCGGAGGACCGUGCGGGGAACCGCCGUCGCCGUCAUACUUCCCGAAUAUUAUAAUUCCCGCGCUUUACACGCACCGCGCGAAAUUACGGGUUUUAAUUAAAUUUCCGGGACGCGUGGUGUAGCUCUCGUACGGGUGUAAUAAUGCGCGCGCUAGUUCGGUAAAAUUCGCCCGAAAGCCGUGUAAAUAGUAUCGCUUUGCUGUCCGGGCCACGAGAAAUAUAACAUUAAAAAAAAAAAAAUAAUAAAAAAACCAAACGGACAUACUUAACGCACAGCGGCUGGGCCACUGUUGUAAGUGAGAAGUCGGAACGGCGGAAGGGAAAUUUAAUAUGCAUAUCUCGUAAUGUGUUUUCCAUUUAUGAUGAAAAAUACUAGAAAAGUGUAGAAAAUGCACUACACUUGAAAAUCGGAGCAAAAUUUCUGGUAGAAAAUUUGUGAGCAGAAAAAAAAAUAAACAUCACAAAAUGAUUUUCUCGCUCUGAUUUUUAAAGGCUUAUUGGUUAUUGUUACACGUGAACGCAUUCGUUCGGAUUAUCUACUACAUACAGAACUAGAUAUGUACAGUCCGUUAAAAACACAAUGGCGACCGUCGCGACAGAAUCUUAAAGGCGUUAAAAAGCGAGAAGAGAAAUGCUAACGAAAUCGGAAGAAAUGUGAAAAAUAAACCUUUUUUUCGACCGCUUUAAGGAAACAAUGGCGGAUCUCGACGAAUUACCCGCGAUUCAACGACGUGGCGAUGGCGUUGCGGAACAUCCGCUCGAAAAUAUGGAUAUCGUAAUGCAUAAGUGUAAUGUUUAUAGCGCGUAUUCGACCGUUAAGUCGAUGUUUUACGAUCUCGGCGUGUGCCCCGACGUCUCCGGCGAUAAAAGCUUAACCCCCUUUGCGGUGGUAUAUAUACGUAUAACGUGUAACCCGAUAGUUAUCUUGUAAAAAAAAAAAAAAAAAACCGUUUACGCGUUCGGCGCGAAAACUGCUACACCUAAAUCCGCCGGGACGACUUUGAGAAACCGUUAUGUUUAGGCGAUGCCGAAACAAAUGUGCAUUUUUUGUAAAAAAAAAAAAAUAAAUAAAUAAAAAACGGUCUUCGUAAUAUCACCACACUCACACACGCACGUAUAUAACUUUUUAUUUUUGGCAGUUAUCCAGUUAAGUUUUACUGUUUUUAUUUUGUCCCCCCCCCACACCGUCCCCCGGACGGACGAAAAAAUGCUAAACCCCUGCGAGUGGACACGGUGUUACGAACCGAACAAAAAAAAAAAUAUGUACAUCAACAACAACAAACGACAAACUUAUUUAAACAUUUAUUUUCACAAAGCGACGACAAUACAACGAAAUCUUCAAAGAGAAGAACUAUUUUUUUUUUUUUAAUCAAACGUGCGAUUUUUAUUCGGUAUAAUACGCAUGUGUAUUGUCUGUGAUCGUUGCCGCGACAUAAUAUUAUUAUUAUUAUAAUUAAAAAAAAAAAAAAAACCAAAAGACCCGGUUGCGUAUAUUGUUAUUUUUUAAUAUACCCACAUAAUAUAUUUUCUCUCGACGUUUUUGAUCUCGUUAAAAAACAAAAAACAAAAAAGGCACAGUCGUAUUAUAAUACUUCGUAGUUUAAACCGUGGGUGUGUUACCGUUGUAGAUGGAAAGUUGGGAAAGUUUAUGUGUAGAACGUAUAUGUAGGCACGUAUAGGGUAAUUCAAUUUAUAUUGUCGAUUACCAGUUGCUAACGGAAAAGGGAUUCUGAGCGGAAUAUUCGGUUAAACGCGCGUUCUGGUAAAGAACGCGGACAGCUGUCCGGAUUUUCGGAUUUUUUUUUUUUUAGUGUCGUUAGAAUAUGAGUAAAUCAAAACUUACGUGUUCAAAAAUAAAAUUUAUCAGAAAACAAAAAUGCCAAAAGGUUUUACCAGACAAUAAAGAAAUCCAAAAUUCGAGUUUUUUUCCCAAAAUUUAAGUUUCUUUAAUCGUUAUCAAUGUUUUGUUUGGAGUUUGAAGUUUGGAACACGUGCCUUUAGACUUACGGAACAUCCGAAUUUCGAUAGCAGUUGCGAUGGACCGUGUUUUCCGGUUUCCAUAUUACGGACUGUGUGAUUUCUGACACGAAUUAAGCACUCGUAUAUAUAGGAUUUCGACACAGAUAGCGCUUCAUUGACGUUAAACCCAGACCAGUUCUGGCGCGUUUUGAAACAAACCGAUUGCAAAUUCGGAUUCGCCUUAAAAAAAAACAUAUUAAACAGUGUUGCCAAUUUAUUUUCCCGUUUUCGGAACAUGUUAGUUUUGAUUCUACAGCCUACUGGUAUAUUAUGACGACGAAACCUAUACAGAAUUUUUAAAGCGUUUUGAGAAGCCGAAUCGAUUUUUCCGGCCGAAAAGUUAAAUCAAUACCGCAUAAAGUCGACAAUUUUGAAAUGGCUAUAAAUAACUCGAAAAAUGUGAGAAUGAUUUUUUUUUUUUUAUCGGGUCUAUAGAACAUAUAAAUAAGCGAUAAUCAAUCGGGACAAGAUUCCUUAUAGAAAACAUAAAUAUCGUUUGCAGACAAAAAAAUAAUAAUAAUAAUAAAACCAAUACGGCAGUCACGACUCUCAAUUCACGAAUAUUUCGAUUGAAUAUCGGCGGAGGUACCGUGAAAAAAAUCACGCGCGACCGGAUUUUAGAUUCCGUUCGGUUAUUUUUAUUAUUAUUUUUUACAAAUAAAUUUUUAUAUAUAUUUUUUUUUUCGAAAAAUUAAAUGGCGCGAAAAUAAACGGUCGUUAUUUUUUAUAACCGAAUAUUACGUUUACCGGACCGUGAACUUUUUGCCGCGCCGUUGUAUGAUGAAGAAUAUAAGAACUUUUCUUAUACAUUUUUUUUUUUUUUUUUUUUUCUACUCGAAAAAAACAAAAAAAAAACCACAUACAUAUAUAUCCAACUAGCAACGCACCAUAAUAAUAUAAUAUACGGGGCGCGACAACGGUUUUUUUUUAUUUUUUUUUUUCUACUCGAAAAAAACAAAAAAAAAACCACAUACAUAUAUAUCCACUACAAACUUCACUAUACAUACACACACACAUUCGCAUACACACAGGCACAAUAAUAUAUUUAAAUAUGCUAAACACAACGGCAGCGGCUCGCGGUUACGAAGACAAAAACGAUAAUUUGCGUGCGCGCGUCGCCGUGAAAUCACGCCGAAAGAUCGACCGCGGCAAUUAAAUGACGCGGAAAACGAUACUCGUCUUUGGUUUCUCUCGCGGGACAAAGUUCGGCGCGUAGGAGAUUGACAGGUGGGCAUGUAGGGUAGGUAGGUAAGUAUUAUAUACGCACCCGAGCGAAUAUUUACGUCAGCUGCCACCUACACGCGACACCGGCCUUCGAAACUUGGUUCGAAACUUGGCGAUUUACGACCGACGACGACGACGACUAUCAUUAUAGAUAUACUACGUUUAGAAUAUUCUCGGGGUCGUUGAUUCGCAUCGGAAACGCGAAACGAUACGCACGUGAUAAAAAAUAACGAACUAUGUUACCGUACGGACGAAGUCUAAGCACAAAAAGAAGACGAAAAGUGACAGCCAUUUGUUUCUUCGCGGGUUUUAUAGUUAGGGAUAGUUGUAAGGGAUAAUAUUGUACUGAGUAAUUUUAUUUAUACGCGUACGCAACGAUAAAUCAUCGUUAACGAAAAACGAUUCCGAGCAGAAUAUUGUUUAUCAUAUUUGUUCCCUCGCAGUCGUGAUAAGAUAUUAACCUGGAAAUCAACAAAAAUUAUACUACAUAUUGACAGUUUUUGCUGUUCAUCAAGAAAACUACAAAGAAAAUCGAAAAUUAAAUGAUUAACAAUGAAACACUUCAUAGUUAUACAAACACAUUGCUCGCUUCGCUAAGAAUCUUUAUGGAAAAUGUCCAGCGAAUAUUGACAUUUGAUGUGAAUUAAUUUGUCUCGCCUCCGAUUUUUGUAAAAAAGCAAAUGAAUAAUUUGAGAUUUAAAGAAUAAUAAUAAUAACUGAUGUAAGAUAAUUAAUUUUGGAUACUGCAAUAUUGUGCCUACACAAAACAAAAUGUUGUUUUAGUUUUCUAAUAUUUCAAAUUUCUAAUUUGAGCCUCGCACGAACAUAUUACGGAAUAUUAUUUACACGAAAAAAAAUUACUCGAUCCAUUUAAAACCCAAGGUGGGCGUACCUCGGGAUUCAAUCAAGAUGACCGCUUUAGGGGUUCUAUACGAAAAAUAGUGAAGUGCAGCAGUAUAUCGGCACCCUCCCGUGGACUUGAAAACGGAUUCCCAUUGCAGCUAGUGUACGUAUAAAUAAUCGUUGAAUUAUUCAAUUCGUUUGACAGCGUUUUUUUACCGCGAGAAACAAAUUGAAAACAAAAAAAAUAAAUAAAUAAAUAAAUAAAUACGUUUCCCGACGGGGAAAAAAACAGUGCUACACUUUUAUGUUUCCGUAACAAACGUUCACUUUUUUAGUUUUCCGAAAUUCGUUUACUUUAUAUACUCGUCCGGCAUGUUAAUCUUUUUCCCCCCUACCUCCGAGAGUACUGCAAAAGUGGCUCGAAUGAUACUGUAUAUUAUUAUUUUGUGGUUUUUUUUUUUUUUUUGAACACUGUUGGUUUAGCGUACGUGUCUAGAAUUACCGACUCGUCGUAUAUGAAUACACGGAAAUUAUUUAUAGUUGUAUUUGUUUUAUCUUGUCCGGAUAGAAUUUAUGGUUCGAAUAUUAUUAUAUCGGUAGUGUUGUACAACUAUGCGUAUUAUCAGUAUAGAUAAACGAUGCGUGUAAAUAAUUAGUUUUUCCAACCCGCAAAAACGAAAACAAUAAUGAUAAUAAGGAUAUGAUAACAAUGACCACGGCGUCGUGGCGUAAAAAGCGAAUAAUUCUCUAUACGAAAUCUUUUCGCGGACGUAUUCUUUUUCGGCUUUUAAAUACCACUGUGGCUAGUGGUACACACGGCAACUGCUUUCGUUUGUCGCUACCCCGAGCCAAUGCUUCCCGGUCGUGUAUUCCAAUUCGGGGACUGGUAAAUUGGGUGCCAAAUGACCUCAUCUCGGUAAAUUAGGUCCCGGGAAAAAAAAGAUGGUAGGUAAGUUGUGUUACAGUAGUAGGUAAAUUGAGUCCCUGCAAAAAAUAAAUUGUGUAUUGUCAAAUUAAAAAAAAAAUUGAAUUUGUAUUACUAUGCAUAAAUUAUACCGAAAAAUAAAAUUGUUUAUAAUAUUAUGUUUGGAGAAAAGUGGAAAAGAUAAAAUACACUAUCACAUGUAAUAAUAAUAUAUUUAUCACUAUUAUUUGUUUAUAAUGUGUGAUUAUCUGUCGGUGCGUAGAAUUCAUUGAUAUCGCUAUAUGCUUCAGGUAUGUAAGUGGGUUUAUAGCAAAGACCCAACUUACCUUACCUACCAUCUUUUUAUACCCGAGACUCAAUUUACCGCUUUCAAAAUGUACACAAAUUUUCGCGGACCCAAUUUAUCUAGCUCCUCCAGUUCCUAUUAGAUUCUCCCUGGAUUUGUUUGUCCGCCUUUGUUUCGGUUUACCCUGUAGUGGUCUUUUAGCAACGCUGCGCAUGUUAACAUAAAACAUAAACUCGAUUUUAUGUUAAAUCAAUUUAAAAAUGUUAACAAGUUAACGCGUUUUAAAAGUUAGUAUUUUAACUUUUAACUUAAUUUUGCGUAUUUUUUUUUACCAAUAGUAAAAAUAUAGUGAAAAUGAUUAAAUCUAAAGUUCGAUUGACGUUGGGAAUCAUAUUUUCCGAGAAUAUCAAAUUAUAUACUUACUUGUUUUAAAUUCUGACCAUCACGUGUAUAAUUGAGUAAAAAAAAAAAAACUUGUUAACUUAACGUGAUGUAAUUAAAAUUAAACUUGUUAUUUAUCGAGUCAAUGGAAAACAAAUUAUAAUUGAUUUAAAAAUGUUAAGUUAAUAACAAAAAAAAAAAUUAAAUGUUAAAAGUCAAGUCGAAAUUGACUCGGCUAUCGAAUUUUCGACUUGUUAAUGUCCGGCCUUACAUUUUUAGAACCCGUUUCGUUACAAUUCCGUCACGAACAAAUUUUUGUGAUUUUUACCGAAAGAUUAUCGUCUAUUUGUUGACGAAUUUACAUAUCUUUAUCGGUAUCUAUUAUAGAUUUUAAAAAACCGCGCUUGUAUUAAUGAGACGACGGUCUGGUCAAACAAUAAUAACAAUUAUCAUUGUUAUUAUUAUCGAGAUCGAUUCUUCUAUUUGAGUUUCCGGUACGGGCCGCUUGCGGUUAUUUAUCGUCGUUACACGAGCGUGUGGGAUAAAAACAAAAACAAAAAAAAAUUACUGAAAUACGAUUAGAACGGUUAUUAUUAUUUUUUAAUUAACGCGCGUUUACGACCGGGGGGCGUUACGGAUUACGUGGGAGGUCCGAUAUUACUUCUGAAAUAUACGACUACGGGCAUCGCCGGAAACGCGUCACCGCGUAACGAUACGCGUACGCGUUUUCGGUAAAUAAUAAGUGCCGCUACCCCCGAGGACGGCGGACCUCGAAGGGUCAGUAGCGGUUAUAGGCGCGCGCGGAUACGUGUAUUUGCCGACACGCGCGUAUUCGAAUGGUUUUUUCGGUUUUUAUUUUUUUUUUAUUAUUAUUAUUAUUUAUCCGACAGCCGCGAAUUCUGACCUCAUCGAACAUCUGCUGCCAGACCCGACCGUAUACCUAUCCCCCGGACGACCCUGCAACAGCGCUCAGAACGCCGCCCAUUCCACGUGUAAACGUUGCACCGUGUAUACCAGCGGCUAACCAUGAGUAACCGUUCCGAACCAAGUUAUACGGGGCGUCCCGCCGUGUUCGACGGAUUUUUACGUGUACGAGGUAUUUUUUUUUCUCCAUUGAAGAUUUUCUUCCGUGGAGACUCGAUGCGUUAUGAGAACAAUUUAAUUUCUGUUGUCGGUUAAGAUGUAUUUUAACAGUUCUUUUUUCGAAAUGUCUGAAAUAGUUCAAUCGACACUGUUCUAAAAAAAUUAAACCUAACGCCCGGGUAACAGGGUAAUGCCCCUCGGACACGAACGCGGACAACGUUUGCUACUAAACAUUUUGGACGUCCGGCUAACGUUUGACCAACGAACAACAGACGUUUUGUUUAAUUUUUUAUUAGAUACAUUGACAUACCUACCUAAUAUGAUCUUAUUGAUCGUAUGAUGGAUGCACGGGAUACGUUAAAUAUUUCGAAAAUUUUCAAAAGUGAAUAAAAAGAAAGUUAUUAUUAUUAUUUUUUUAAGUGAUAUUGAUGUGAAAAUAAAAAUUUAAUUUUCUCCAUAUGUGCGUUCGCGUUCCCUUGACACAAAAUCCGAUUGGAGAAAAAAACAAAUUUUAACAAACUAAAAAUUUAACAGAGACGUAAAAAUCCAGAGAACACAGUGGUCCGCCCGUGGUACAUGUUUUAUAUAUAGUUAUUGUUGAAUGUACGCGGGAAUUUCGCAGUAAAACGACCAAGAUUGUUAUGGCUGUCUGUACGUUUCAACGUUUCCGCGGCGAUUUGCAUGCCGGACAGGAGACGGCGAGAUAGCGUGCUUUGGUUUUUUUUUUUUUUUUUAUCUCCGAUCCUAAAUGGGGAAAAAAAUAAUACACGAAUAUCGGACGGACAAGCACGCACGCGAACGUUCUAUAUUCGUUUUGGGUGAAUUUCAACACACUUUCGCUUCGGUAUACACUGCACAUGUACCUAUUAUAUAUAUGUACUAAAAUAGCCGCGGUAAAUUUUGGCCGAGCAUCAGACCGUGAUAAAUUAAACUCGCCGAGGUGCAAACAUCUAUAGCUACACACGCUAUCCGCUGCAUUAGAAUAUAUUAUAUUAUUUUAAUAAUGAUAUAAUAGGCAUUUCGCGGUCCGCUGAAAAACGCGCGUUCUAUUUUAAUACCGAUUCGUCCGUCUACGAGAUAAUCUAAUUGUAUUUUCGUUUCGUGUACAUACAUAUUUAUGUAUACGACGAAGGUCAUAAAUGCACGCAGAAUCCUCGUGGCGGUGUAGCCAGAAAUCUCCCAAAGAGAGGGUCCCGCAGUGUAUUAUAAACGUACGAAUAAAACACCGUAUCGCGGGUUCCCGAUAAAAAAAAAAAUAAUGGUAUUUGUUUUCCUGUUCAAAUUUCACAUUUUUAAAUGUCAUCGUUCGGUUUCCAAUCGACGUCUUUUGCUCUGUAUAGAUCAGUAGUGGUUCUCGAGAGCCGGUCCGCAAAAAAAAAGGGUAUCGGUCCGUAUUGUAUUGAAACAGUUUUUAGUGUUUCGGGUCAUAAACCAAACUCCCAAUCGGUCCGUAAUCCUCCUUAACAAGUUAUGGGCUGUGGCAACAAAACGGUCGAGAACCACCGGUGUAGAGGAUUUACGUCGAUACUCUGUAGAGUCCAAAAUCUGGAUUUUCGACAGUUCGCAACAUCUUAAUAAUUCUUAAAAAAUGUUCUCUUUAAUACUCCGUAAAAAUCCAGGUAAAUUAUUGGAGUCCGAUAAGAAAAAAUAUCGACCAACAUAUUCGACCAAUUAUACUAACAAUAUACGCCACUAUGUUUCAAACGGGUUAUUGAACGAUUUCAAUCAGUUUUUUUUUUAUCGUAAAAAUUGUAUUACAAAACGAAAAGUUAUUACUAUUUUUUUUUAAAUAGACAAUAAUACAACACGUGUUUAAACGUGAAAAAUAAGCUAAAUAUCCUCUGGGCCUCGGAAUACGGUGAAUACGAUAAGUAAAAAUUGUUCUGCGAAUCCGUCGUCAAAGUUUUUCACCCCGUUGAGCCGCAUAAAACCGAUCAUAAAAUAUGAUAACACGCGAUUCGCGUAUUUAUAGUAAUUAUUUAGGAAUAUUAAAACAUAUCGGUGCCGCUGUCCGACAAGUAAAAAAUGUCCAAUAAGGAAUACCGGCUAUACAUACGUAUGUGUGUAACAGGACUAUUUGACAAUUUUUUACACUGUAGUUCAAUAAAAACCCUGUAUAUAUAUAAAAAAAAAAUCAAGCGUGAGUUUUUACCGUCUAGUUCCGCGAUUAUCGAGGCCCUCCCGUCCCCCGUCAAAAACACUACACCGAAAUAUCUUUCGUCAGAUACUCGCGGGAAAUGUUCUGGACCCCGUAUAACAACGAUUUUCGCAUAACAAAAUUAUUAUUAUUACGAGUAUAACGAACGUAUCCGAUUCGAGAUAGCAAAAAUCUCGUGUCUACUAGUCUGUAUUAUUAUUAUUAUUUUUUUUUUUUUGUCCUCGUCAAAAUGUUUUAUCCGCUUUCGCGAUAAUACUAAAUAAUUAAUUUUUUAAUUACGUUACAUUGUUUCUUCUCGGUAAUAAUUAAUUAUUUACAACCGCGGCGAUACGCGACCUUUAAGCGAAUAUUAUAAUAAUAUGUAUACCUAAACGGCAAUUAUUUUAUUAUUAUUAUUUAUUUUAUUUUAUUUUUUUGGAAAAUGUCGUUAAAAGAGCGACGGUAGGCACGCGUAUUUUUUGUUAAUAUUUAUUAAAACUUUCUCGUUCGGUGCACGGCCGGUGUGCGCUAUACCCGGCAUAGUAUAUUUAUGACGAAUAAACAGCCAGAGUCGGGUCGAGAUACCUCGGUAAAAUAUACACGAACGACGAACGAGAAAUGCAAUAAUAAUAACGUGUUGUGCGGUGAAAAACCGCGUCCCGGGUUUACGAUAAUACAACGACUGCGGGGAAAAUGAUUUUCGUAUAUACAAAAUAAAAAAAAAAUCUUGAGUAUAGGAGUUAAAAAGUAAGGAGGUCGCACCCUAUACAAGUAAAUCUUUUACCGCACGAUCGAAAAACAUUUCAGAAAACUCGUCUCGGAUUGAAAUUUGGCAUGUAUGACACGUUAUUACCGGUCGCUCGAUACCUGCAGUACAGGUCAUACCGAUACAGAGUUUUCGACACGAGCGGUGUCUCUAUCGUUUUCACGAAUUACAACGUGCGGGUCUGACCGGAAAAAAAUUACAAAACAAAUUUCCGGAAACGCUCGUUUUACCAAUAUUAUAUCGAAAUAAUGAUUCCGUCUUGUCGAGAUGACAAGUGCUGUUACGUUACGUCUGUCUGUCUGCGAAUCUGCAGUUUUAUUCCGAUCCUAACGAACCCUUUGCGCGCUUGACAUUCGUAACGAGAGCGAGAGGCUCAGUCUAUAUGUUUUUUUUCACUCGAAAUUUAAACCCUUAAGGGUGUUUCGCGCUCGGUUUUCGAUAUUUUAAUGAGGGGAUGGAGGCUGUUAUUAAUGUUUUAAUUCGGUUGUCACAGACAACGGAGAUUAACCGCGAUUUUUUUUUUUUUUCGGAUUCGCGGUAUUUGUAUUAUGACGUUUGUUUGUGCGGGCAAGUACCGCGGAAAUAACACAGAGCUCAUCUGUUUAGACCACCAAUGACGCGUGACAGUAUUGGAAAUAAUAAUAAUUUUCAAAAGCUUCCGCCGCGGAAAUGUCGACCCACGUUGAACCAGCGUCCAGAAACCGCCGCCUACCUGACGGUACACUCGUACACGCCCUUGCCACCACUCGGUGGGAUUUUUUCUCUCUUUUUUUUUUUUUUUAACCCGUACAACUCGAGUUUUAUUAACGAACGUCCCCGAUUGCCGCCACUGUGCACGUUCGGAGGUGAUAUUAUUGUAAUAUUUUAACCGCCCGUUUCAUUAAAAACGGGGUGCCCGCCAGUCCCGGACCGUAUCCGAAUGAAAACGUCUAGUUUAUAAUUAUUGUUGUACGCAAAAGCCCGGGAAACGUUAUUGUUUUAUAUUAUUAUUGUCCGUCGUUCGCGUUUUGCCAGCAAAACGGAAACGACAAUAUUCGAGUGCCGCGGCGUAUACAACAAUAAUAUAAUGUAAAAGGGCCUUUUACAACGGCGAUAUUGUGUCGUCGCCAACUAAUGAAAAUCCCUUUUGUCCGCGGCCGUCAUCCCGAAGGGGGGGGAGGACGAAUUUCGAAAACGUAUCCUCCGUUUUGCCCCGCGUUAGACUCACCAAAACCACGGCGGCGCGAGCUAAAAUUAUCCGAUACUGCAUCACUGUCGUAGUGUUUUAUCGAAAAAUCGGUAGGGUCGGAAGGAUUCUGAGAACGAUUCUGAGCGGAGUUUAAAUAUUUAAAUUUCAAGGUGUUUUUGGGUUUUCGUCGGAAUUUUAAUUUUAAACGCUUAGAAGAAAUAAAUGCAUUUCACUCAGCUUUUUUAUUCUACCGUUAAGUACAAUUUGAUGAACAUCAGAUGACUCGAGCGUUAAUUUUGUUGAGCUGAAAACAUUGUAUCUGUAAAAAAAAACAAAAAAAAACAAACAAAUAAAUUUUAACCUUUCAACAAAAUGAUUAAUAAUAUAUUGGAUAUCCGAUAAAAUCGAAACAUUUUUCUCGCUGAAAAUGUAUUUUUCGAGGGAAAAAACCGAAUAUCUCAAAAUGAUAGUAUAGUUUUUUCGCUACUUAACAGAAUUUUUAAAAUAAAAAGAGAAAAUGUUUAAUUAUUAUAAUUUUUAUAUUAUUCUAACGAUACUUGUUUUAAAUUUGUUUCAGGUAAUUUUGAAAAAUCACGAACAUCAGGUACAUUUGUAGAAAUCUCACCAACGCGUCGAGACGUCACGCCGCCGGAGGGACUUAAAUAUUGAAUAUUUCAUGGCUUAUAAAUAGUUCAAAAAUCACCGGAACGUUUUGGAAAUUUUAGGUCACAUCUAAAUACGGCUAAAAUAAUUAUUAUAUCAUACAAUUUUAAACCUUAUAUAAUGGAAACAGUGAAUAUGCGUAAAUAUUCCCGUUUUCCUACGUUAUAUUUUCUCGAUUAUUUUGGAAACCUUACGCAAGGAGUAUAAAAAUGAGGACCACCUCGAAUUACUGAUAAAAAUUUUCUUCUAAAAAAUAUUCAUUCCCUGAACGAUCGGUUUGAGAUUCCGGUAGAAAAGUUGAUCACCGACGGGGUUGAGGGGGAGACACAUUACAGUAAAACCACUACGUUCCUCGCUACACGUUUGGAAUCUAAAAUAUUGAAAUCGGACGAACGAAUAAAUGUCGCGAGGUAUUCCAUUAGCGGAUUAAAAUAUAAAAUGCAAUCGUCGACCGUAUUAUAAAGAUGUCGAACAAAACGCAAAACCUAUGGUAAUUCCAAAAGAACCUCGAGACCGAAUGACGUACAAUAUCGAUUCGGUUCGACUGUGUAUUAUAUAGGUGUAUUACGAGCGUCGAGGAUAAUAUUCAUAUUAUAUGAAUUUUCACUCUGUGAACAGCGAAAUAUUUUCCGUAGCCGGUCUCCGGUGUUAUUUUUGACCGCCUUUUAUUCAAAACACUAUAGACACGACUAUAAACGUCCGUUUCCCCGGCGUUGUUGUUUUUUAAUUCGGAAACCGCGGUUUCGAGCAUUUUUUUUUUUCUGUGGACACCUUUUAUACCAGUGAUUUUGCUCCGAUUUACAAUGAUAGCGAUUUUUCUAAAAGAAAAUCUGACUGAGAAGGUACUUCAAGGAGGCCAUUUAUUGAUUUUCCCAGGAGUUUUCCCAAUCUGUUGGAAAAACCGAGAAAAACUUAGGAAAAACGGUAAAACAGGUACAGAAUUGAACAAAUAUUAUUAAAGAAAAUAUAGAAAGCAUAUGUAUAAUUAUCUUACCACAAUAUGACGUAAUAUAUAUUGAUGGCAAAGCAACACUAUCAACCGAACUCCGAUCAAAAUCGCGUUUACGUUAGCAAUGUUUUAUCGUCGCUUUUAUCGGAUACACAUUAAAAUUUCCCCUCUACUAUCUUGACAAUUUCUCACCUGUAACAGUGGGCUGCACCCGUCCCCAUUAUCCUAGGACAGUUUUUCUUCGUGCGAUUUUGCGAAAUAUGUCGUCGGGACUUUUCAAACCGCGGACGUUUCGCCGUGUUAUCGCGGUUAAUGACUAUAGAUAGUGCAGUGCGGUACGGCCGGUAUCUAUCAGCUAUAAAUACAUGCCUAACGGUCGGGAGAAGGGGAAGAGCUUAAAGCUAAGCGCGCGAGAUUUUCCGCCCCGACUCGGGCGGACCCGGGAGUUAAUAAUGGUGAAUAGUUUUGCGCGGGUGAAAAAUGUCAGUGAUGCGCGUAUGUGUGUGUGUGUGUGUGUGUGUGGAUUUCUAAGGGCUUGUCGAGAAGAUUGCGGGUAAAGGGGUGGGCGAAGAGAUGCCGCGGUAUAUGAUGGUAUCUCUGCGUACGCGUAUGUACGUAUAUAAGUGCAAUAAUAUAGACGGGUGUACGUAUAGAGUUUUAUCUCGCGCUUUUGUUUCUCGGCGCGCGC
rnacentral:lncRNA from 1 species